UUGGUGGUGGUUGUUUUCUCCUCACUAAGUCUUUGUGACUUACCUCUUCUUCUUACAUUUUUUUUUCAGAUUCAAAGUCAAGUGCGUAGAAAGCUUGUACCAGAGUUAAAGAUAUAUCAAUGUCAUUCUUUUGGUAGGUCUCCUAUAUGUAUGAACUGAAUGAUCAAUGUAUCUGCAGCUAUUGGUAGUCUAGAAAUGUUUUGUUUUGAAUUGUACAAACAUCUAGUUAUGUCAAUUUGAGAUUCUGCUGAUAAUACAAGUAUAUGGACAGGAUUCAUACCUUGGAUAGUAUCCAAAAUACAAAGGAUACUCUGUCGAAAUUUCAUUGGAUAUCAUUUUAAGUGAAAGUCAAUUUGAAAUUUAUCUAAAUUAUAGUUUGUCAAGUGUCGUCAUUAGGCUUGCCGGACUAGGAUGUUCUAGUUCAUGCGCCGGUCACGAAUGUGAAUUUUUGGGUCGUGACACACCAAUCCAUCAUACAAUUCUAUACUUCUUGUUCACACAGAGGCUUAACUAUAUGAUCAUGAUCUCUAUUCACUGGUUAUUCUCCAUGGAACCGUAUAGUUAUCAUGAUCAUGAUCAAAAAUUAUGCUUUUCUAGUUAUAUUAUAAGAUGUUCUAUUACACCAUGAGUUGUUAUCACUGAAUCUAUUUUUUGCAAUCUUCACUCACUUAGGUUGAGCUACCAUCACUCGUAAUUUUUAGACAUUAGUAUCAUCCUGUUAUCAUGGUUUUUGGGUGCCAAGCCAUUAAUUGGACUUGAACCUUUUGACCGUUGAUAUCUCUCUUUUUUCUUGGGAAGGGUAAAAGGAGAAAAACCCUUGAGUUUCCGAAUUCGGGGGUCGUUUUCGCUACGGGAAGGUGUUAGGCACCCGGAGCGAUUAUGGUAUUCCAUAAGAACCGCUCUCCUAAGUUUAUUUCUACGCUUUAGUUUUAUUGCUUAUUUGUAAAAAAAGAAGGUGUGAUUAGUUAAGAAUGGGGGUGAGAAGAAGUAGAAUUUGAUUUUAUUUCGGCUUGGAUGAGUUUUGACUCAUUGCCUACGUACCCUUUUAAGGGAUCAAAACCGUUCGUAGUUCUUGCUCAAAAAAUGGUUUUUUUUGUUUUUAUUGGUUGAUUUUAAGUUUGAAAAGAGAUUUUGAAGAAUAGAGAUGAGAGGCCUCAAGGGCAUAAGGUUUGGAAAGUGUGAGGUGGAUUUAGUCAUUUUGCAAAAAUAAAGUCCAAGAAGGAUUAAGAUUCAUUAAAAGUUUUACUUAAGAAAAUAAAGGGAAAAUAAGGAGUUUUGACUCCAUUUUAUUUUCAAAAAAAGGUUUUCAAGUGAGAUUAUUUGCAUGUUUUUUUUUUGGAAAAAAGUUGGAUUUUUAUCUAAGUGUUUAAACCUAAGCGCUUAUCUAACCAUACAAUCCUAUGCAUACAUCUAAGGUGAGUGUGUGCGUGUCGGUGCGUCAUAGUGUCCAUAGUCCAUAUUACAAAAAUUGCCUAAAUACAUUCUAUGGCCCCUUUGCCAAGCUACAAACCAAUGAUAACAAAUUACAUUACCAAAUGAAUUAAAACUUGCAAAAAAUAAAUGCUAAGCUAAAGAAAGUGGAGAGGGUGGUGGAAUGCUAUGAAACGUAUGGCACAUGAGAUGAAAUGGUUAGUAAUCAUAAAGCACACAAUAGUAGGAAGUAAUUAAAAGGAAAUGCAUAAAGAUGGCAAAGAAAAAGUAAUAAAGUGGUAAUAAACCUAAAAAACAUUUGAUAUGAUACCUAAAGAUGCUAGUGACCCAUAAUCAUCACAUCAUGGCAAUUUAGAAAGAAAUUUUGUUUCAAGCCAUGACAUGCAAUUAAUGGAGGCAUAUGCAUGCAAAAUAUCACACCAAGUUCAUAGAGAAUUUUGCCACUUUAUUCCUUAAGACUAAACUUGUUGCUUGCAAAACAAGAAAUUCAUAAAAUCAUAUUCAAAAACAGCAAACAAAAACACAUUUCCAGAGGCAUAUUCAUCACCAUAUUAGGCAUCCUUUAUCCAUGUCAUAAUAUCAAAAUGUCAAGAACAAAACAUAGCAAAAUGCAUACCAAAAGUGUAAAAACACGUGGAAUUAGUUCAUGCCAUUUUAACAUUUUUUUUUAUGCAAGAAACACCAUAGGAAUACCAAAAAUGUAUCAAGAAAACACUAGGAUUUUUUAGGAUUUGUUUUUAUAAAAAGAUGAGCAAGCAACAGGUGUGAAUAGCAAAAGAGCAGUGUGAAUAGCACAAAAAAUAGCAGAAAACGCAGAAAACCAAAAGAAACAAGCCCAAGCCCAACCUAAAAGAUCCGGAUGCAUGGGAUCCACACGAUUGAUCCAGGAUUCAAAAACCCUAGAUCAAACGGCCAGGAAUCAAAGGAGAUGGACCGGACUGGACCGGUCCGGUUCGCUGGCCUAUAAAAGUGGAGGAACACCGGUUUUUUCAUUUCUCUACUUCCCUUUCUCUCUCUAAGUUCUUCCCUCUUCUCUCAUCUCUCACUUCUCUCUAGAAACCUCACCGCCGGUGAGGAUGAAGCUACGGCGGAGACCUUGAAGGUCCGCCGGAAACUUCAUCUUCUCCGGCGAGACUAUGAACUCCGGUGACCUAAAAUUUCCAGAACUUAAAGAUUUUUGUAUUUUCUGGUUCGUCCUUUAACCCUAAACACGAAUCCAGCAGUUGUUUUUUCAAAUACGGUUUGAAACGACGUAGAUCUAAAAAGUUCCGUACGGUUUUGAAACUGAUUUUUGAUUUUUUGAAAGGAAAUGUUUAGGUCGUUAAAGAUCUACAUCGUUUCGUUGUUCGCUGCUCUUCUUUGAUGUUUGUUCUUGCUUUCAAAACUUAGAUCCUUAUGGAUCUAGGUUUUGUGUUUACGGUUACGGUUUCGUCUUUGAGUUCUGGAAAUUUUGGAUCUGUUGCUUGCGUGAUAUUUUUUUAGGUUUAACAGUGAUAUUACUUUUGAGAAAAGAUUCUGAGUUUUACCUAAGGUUUUGGUUGAAACCUUUAAUGGAGGAAAUCUUUGGAAAAACUUGAAUGCUCUUGAUGAUUUUGAUUCUUCUGCUUGCUUUUGGACCGAAAAUAAAUCGGUGAUUCUCCUUUUCUCACUGAUUCCGUUUCUUCAUCUUCUUCGCCGGUUUAGAACUUUGCUUCUUUCCUUCUUCUUUUCACGCUCUGUGAUCAACGCUUGAGCUUGCUUCAAUGCGAGCUCGCGUUUGGAAUUGCAGAGAAUGAUCAAUUCGAUGAUGAAGAUUCAACAGAAUCUCUGAGAAUUGAUCCAAAAAACUGUUGAUUCUGAUGAAUUUUGAUUUCUGGAAAACGGUUAGGGUUUUGUGUUCUUGGUGUUCUUGAGAGAUUCUGAGAAACUUUUCUGUUUUGAUUCACUUGCUGAGAAAGAGGAAAUUGGAUUUGUGUUUAUGAGUUGGCGUGUGAUUCAUGGCUCUGAGUGGCACUGUACACCUUUUAUAGCAUGACAUGUGUGCAUUGGAACCAAUAAGAAAAGGACACCUGGACUUUGAAAAAAAAGGCACGGCCUUGGCAAAUUUGGCUUCUGGACCUUUCUGCAAAAACAAAGAAUUUGAGGACUAAACUGCAAAAUUAAUUAAAAGGCUUGAAAUGAAAUUAAAAAAACUGUUUGGACAAAAUGCAAUUUUGGGACCUCAAUUGAGGGACCAAAACGCAAUUAAAAAUAAAAUUGAGUAAAAAACGUAAUUUGACCAAACGUAAAGCGAAACAAAAAUAAAAUUGACAAAACGGACUAAAACGAACCAAUGACCUAAAUGAGGUACUUCAAAGUAACCUCUCUAUGCCAAAAUUUUGUGUGAAAUGACCAAAAUGCCCCUAGGGCUAAAAUUGACCUAAACAGAUUGAAAUGGACUUAACACUGACUCAGACGCAAGUUUGAAAUGAAUUUUAACAAGGUUUACUGAUGAAGUGUUUAAAAAUAAUCUGAAAAGACUCAGAGACAGUCACAAGGAUGAAAAUGGGUCCCACUGCAGGAAAUGACCAAAAUACCCUUCUGUAUGACUUUUUGCAAAUUUUGAAAUAAACUGUGGAAAAAGCAAUGUAAUGAUUCAGAGACACUUUUGAAUGACUUACAAGACAAGUAAAGACAUUUCAAAAGGUUUUAUGCAAGAAAAACAUAGGUAAAAUUGUGAUUGAAAAUACUGCGAGGCAGAGACAAUUUGAACUGUGCAGUUGAAAUUUGAUAAUUGACAAAGUUUGAAAUGAAAUUGGGCCCAGUAUUUUUAGGUCCAAAAACAGGGUAUAACAGCUGCCCCUAUUUAAGUUUCUUUGUCUGGAGAGUCAAGAGACGGAGUCUUUGGCUUGACAGGAAGAAGAUACUUAAAUAUUAGCAUUUGCACUGUGUUUGGACGUAAAAAUACGCCUACCCAUUUUCAAAUAAUAUGCAUGCCAUGCAUCAUUCGGAUUAUGAAUGCAAGACCUCAUGGGGAUUGGAAUUAACAAAAUAUGUCGUAUCCAUUGCGGGAUUGGUAGACAUUGACAAAGAUAGUGAAUAGCAGAGUAACGGGAAACUAGAAACAAGUUGGAUAGGUACAAGCUGUUCUUGGAUUCAAACUAGCCACUUGACCGGGGAUUAAACAAACAGACAACUGCGAGUUGUUCUUAUGGAUUCGAACUGGUCACUUCACAGGGGAUAGAAGUUACUGGACAAACAUGAGUUGUUCUUAUGGAUUCGAACUGGUAACUCACUUGGGGAUAUUGGAAAGUGCGAGUUGUUCUUAUGGAUUCGAACUGGUGACCCGACUGGGAAAAAGAGAAAAUUGGCAAGUACGAGUUGUUCUUAAGGAUUCGAACUGGUUACUUGACUGAAAGCAAGGCAAAUAGACAGGUGCGAGCUUGUUCUUGGAUGCGAACUGGUUACUCCACCGGACAGAAACAGAUAGACAGGUACAAGCUGCUCUUGGAUUGAGCUAGCCACUUGACCGAACGGAAACAUAUUGACAGGUACAAGCUGCUCUUGGAUUGAGCUGGGCACUCGACCGAUAACAUAAGCAAAUUGAUAGGUACAAGCUGUUCUUGGACUUGAACUAGCCACUUGACCAAACAGAAACAUAUUCACUGGGGGUUGGUUUGUUUUGACAAAAUAUAGAUUGAAAUUGACUUGACGUCGAUUUGGUUUGAAAGGUAGAAAUUGACCGAUAUUAUUGGCUCACAAGGUUUUGACAGAGAACCUGACAUGAGUAUUGAAUUGAGACUGAUGUUGACAUUGGAAAUGCAAUAUGCAUGGAUGAUAUAACAGUUUCAUUAAAUGCAUGGGCACGUAAUAUGCAUGGUUAUGCAUGUAUGAAUGCUUGUGAUGCAUGACUGUUAGCAGUUUGUAGGCACGACUUCACCGGGAAGACAAGACAUUAGAGUAUUGGGCACGUAGUGGCUCGUGCUAUAUUACACAUUCUUGGAAAUCCUCUUUGGAGAUGACGUCGUUGGGAGACGUAUCGGAACCAUGGCUGAGGGCAGGUAGCUAAACAACUUGCUGGAGAUAGAAUCUUGGAAAACCCUGACUGGGGAAAACGCCGUUGUGCUGGGCAUGUUGUAGAUAUCGCAUCUGUGGUCAAUGCUUUUUGCAUGUUAUAUUUUCAACUUCCAUUCAUUCAUUUUUUUGCAUCCCAUUUUUGCCUGGAUCGCCCUUUCGGGUUUUCAAUCCACCGGGGAAAUAAAUUCUUUUCAAUGCCCCAUUUUUGCCUGAACUGCCCUUUCGGGGUGUCAAUCCAGCGAGGUGCUCAUUUUUGCCUAAGCCGCCCUUUCGGGUUUUCAACUUAGCGAGCUCAUUCAUUUUCAUGCAUUUUCAUUCUGUUUUUUCAUUCUUGCCAUUGACCACAGAUUAUCUUGGAGGAGAACCUGCUUGUAACACAUAUUGAAAUAGACACCAACAUACUCUCGCUCAUGCAUGUUUCAUUUGAAUGUACCCUGUUGCUCAGGUUUGCUUUUCAAAAUAGACAAAAAGUUUUCAAUUUUCAAAAAAAACGUUUGUUUCAAGCAUUGUCAUUAUCAAAAUAGAAAGAAAAUGUUUUGUAUAUAGCUUUGAAAGUAGAAGAAAAAUGGAGUUUUCAAACAAAAGCAAAGGCUCAAAUUGAUGUAUAAGAGUGGUGGUCAGCCCAAGGCAUGACUCCACGGAUUCAUAAAGCUUGGAAAAUGGUAAUUUUAUUGGUUGGUGGUACAUUGAACACAGUAAUCAUUACAUUUCCCAAAAAACUUUGAAUUCACAAGUACAGAAGCUUCAGAUGAAGAUGGUCAUUAACAGCUGCAGAUGCCCCAAGGGGGACGGUGGUUAGCCAGAUAUAGUUACUUGCCUUUUGUUUCAAUCUCAUUUUUGCAUGAACCGCCCUUCUGGGUUUUCGGCUCAUCGAGACGCUCAUUCUUGCCUGAGUUGUGUUCAAUCUCAGCGAGCUUUUCAUAUUUGUUUCUUUUGUCCCUUAUUUUUGCCUGGACCGCCCUUUCGGGUUUUCGAUCCACCGGGAAGCGCAUUUUUGCCUAGGCCGCCCUUUCGGGUUUUCGACCUACCACGCUGUUCUUUUCACAUUUCUAGGCGAAGUAUUUCUUGACUAUAUCGGCAUUCACUGGAUUUGGAAGUUCUACACCAUCCAUGUGUGUAAGGAUUAAAGCACCACCGGAGAAGGCCUUCUUGACAACAUAAGGACCUUCAUAGUUAGGCGUCCACUUGCCCCUUGGGUCGGGUUGCUGACUUAUCCUCCUUUUCAAUACAAGUUCCCCUACCUUGAAUUCUCGAGGAUGGACUUUCUUGUCAAAAGCAGUCUUCAUUCUUGCUUGAUACGACUGUCCACGAGCCAUGGCAUCCAUACGUUUUUCCUCAAUCAAGUUCAACUGAUCAUACCGGCUUUGGCACCAUUCAGCCUCGGAUAACUUUGCUUCCAUGAUCACACGGAGAGAUGGGAUCUCCACUUCCAAAGGAAGAACUGCUUCCAUACCAUAUACAAGAGAGAAAGGGGUUGCCCCGGUUGAACUGCGCACUGUAGUACGGUAGCCAUGCAGAGCAUAGGGUAACAUCUCAUGCCAGUCCUUGUAAGUAGUUACCAUCUUCUGGACAAUUCUCUUGAUAUUCUUGUUGGCGGCCUCAACUGCACCAUUCAUCUGAGGUCUAUAGGGAGAAGAGUUAUGAUGCUCAAUCUUGAAUUCUUCACAAAGAGCUUGCACCACAUUGUUGUUCAGGUUGGUACCAUUGUCAGUAAUGAUCUUGCUGGGAACACCAUAUCGGCAUAUGAUGUUGUUCUUGAUAAACUUAGCUACCACUUGCUUGGUCACAUUGGUAUAAGAUACUGCUUCAACCCACUUGGUGAAGUAGUCAAUUGCCACUAAGAUGAAACGAUGACCAUUUGAAGCCUUCGGUUCAAUUCUUCCAAUCAUGUCGAUGCCCCACAUUGAGAACGGCCACGGGGACGAAAUAACAUUGAGGGCGUGCGGAGGCACAUGGAUCUUGUCAGCAUAGAUUUGACAUUUGUGGCAUUUUCUGGCAUGCUAGUAGCAAUCAUGUUCCAUGGCCAUCCAAUAGUAACCUGCUCGUAACAACUUCCUUGACAUAGUAUGCCCUGUAGCAUGGGUCCCGAAGGUACCGUCAUGUACAUCAUGCAUUAACUGCUCUGCUUCAUGUUCAUCAACACAUCUUAACAACACCAUGUCAUAGUUUCUCUUGUACAGAAUAUCUCCAUCUAACAGGAAUCUGCUGGCCAAUCUUCUCAGGGUCUUCUUGUCUUGUUUGGAAGCAACCGGCGGAUACUCACGGCUCAGCAAGAACUGUUUGAUGUCAUAAUACCAGGGUUUAUAGUCAACCACAUUUUCACCAGCCUGAUCGAUCACAUCCCCAAUAGCAAACACAUGCGAAGGUCUUUCAAGGCGUUGCACUUUGAUAACUGGCACAUCAUUCCAAUGGUUUACUCGAAACAUGGAGGAUAGAGUAGCAAGAGCAUCAGCCAUUUGGUUCUCAUCACGAGGAAUAUGGUGUAGCUCAACCUUUGUAAAAUAUGUCAGCAAACGUCUCGCAUAAUCACGAUAAGGAAUCAACUUAGCAUGGUGGGUCUCCCAUUCACCCUUUAUCUGAUUGAUGACGAGCGCAGAAUCUCCAUAGAUGUCGAGGUGUUUGAUUCUCAUGUCAAUUGCUUCCUCGAUCCCAAAGAUACAUGCUUCAUACUCAGCCAUGUUGUUGGUACAUUCGAACAGAAUUCUGGCGGUAAAAGGGAUGUGAUGCCCCUGCGGGGAUACAAUGACUGCCCCAAUUCCUUUACCAUAAGCAUUGACAGCACCAUCAAAGACUAAACCCCACUUGCUAUUGGGAUCUGGACCUUCAUUAAUCAACGGUUCGUCGCAGUCUUUGGAUUUCAAAUACAUGAUCUCUUCAUCGGGGAAGUCGAAUUCAAUUGGUUGAUAAUCAUCAAGAGGUUGGUAAGCAAGAUGAUCGGCAAGAAUGCUACCUUUGAUUGCCUUUUGAGUUUUGAACACAAUAUCAUAUUCAGACAAAAGCAUCUGCCAGCGUGCAAUCUUUCCAGUAACAGCAGCUUUCUCAAAGAUAUACUUGAUCGGAUCCAUUCUGGAUAUCAACCAAGUUGUAUGAUUCACCAAAUAAUGACGCAGGCGUUUGGCAGCCCAAGCUAAAGCACAACAAGUCUUCUCAAGCAUUGUAUACCGAGUUUCACAAUCGGUGAACUUCUUGCUCAGAUAGUAGAUAGCAUGCUCUUUCUUUCCAGUUUCAUCUUGUUGACCAAGUACACAUCCCAUGGAUUCAUCAAACACUGCCAAAUACAUAAUCAAAGGCCUUCCUUCCACGGGUGGGACAAGGAUAGGUGGUUCCAGCAGAUAAUUCUUGAUGCUAUCAAAAGCUCCUUGGCAUUCAUCAUUCCAUACAACAGGCUGAUUCUUUCUGAGUAGCUUGAAGAUCGGCCCGCAGGUUGCUGUCAUGUGAGAUAUGAAUCGGGAGAUGUAAUUCAAACGUCCGAGGAAGCCUCUGACUUGCUUCUCUGUCUGUGGAGCUGGCAUUUCUCGGAUGGCCCGUACUUUAUCAGGAUCGACUUCAAUGCCCUUUUGGCUGACAAUGAAGCCUAAUAACUUCCCGGAUCUGACGCCGAAUGUACAUUUGUUGGGAUUCAAUCGAAGCUUGUAUUUUCUCAACCUUUCAAACAUCUUUGUCAAAUAUUCAACAUGCUGCUCCUCAUCUGUUGACUUCACAAUCAUGUCGUCCACAUAUACUUCGACUUCUUUGUGAAUCAUGUCAUGAAACAGAGUAGUCAUUCCCCUUUGGUAGGUAGCACCAGCAUUGAUUAGGCCGAACGACAUCACUUUGUAGCAGAAAGUACCCCAUGGCGUGAUAAAAGACGUCUUUUCUCUAUCUUCAGGAGACAUCUUGAUCUGAUUGUAACCGGAGAAACCGUCCAUGAAGGAGAACACCUUAGACUGAGCAGUAUUAUCAACAAGCACAUCAACAUGAGGUAACGGAAAGUUGUCUUUUGGACUGGCUUUGUUCAAGUCCCUGAAGUCAACACACAUCCUGACUUUACCAUCCUUCUUUGGCACGGGCACAAUAUUAGCAACCCAUUCAGGGUACUCAACUGUCAUGAGGAAACCCGCAUCAAUCUGCUUUUGGACCUCGCUCUUGAUCUUGAGAGCCAUAUCUGGAUGAGUCCUUCUCAAUUUCUGCCUGACGGGAGGACAUUCAGGCUUGGUGGGGAUCCGAUGCUCCACAAUCAUAGGGUCUAGACCUGGCAUAUCUUCAUAUGACCAUGCAAAAAUAUCCGGAUAUUCCCGGAGGAGCUGGAUGAUCUUACUUUUAACCUCUUCCCCUAGAGCAGCACCGAUCUUGAUUUCUCGCUUGUUCUCCUCGGUACCUAUGUUGAUAAGCUCAAUCUCUUCCUGGUGAGGCUGAAUGGCUUUCUUUUCUUGCUCGAGUAACCGAGUGAUCUCAUAUGGUAUGUCAUCACCCUCCUCAUCUUCGGCUUCAUACACAGGGAAUUCAAAAUUUGGAGGGACCGUAGGAUUACUGUGUUCAACGGGUUUAUUAUGGUUCAACCUGCAUAUAAUGAUUGGAUGAUUUUAGAAAGGGUUGUUUUUUCAUGCAGAUUUUUGAAAUUAAUAAGAAAAUACAGACUGUUUGGUUUUUUCUGGCAUUACCAUUUUUUCCAAGAAAAAGGCACUAAAAAAAAGGCAGUCGUGAAAGAAACGACAAUUUUUAUUCAUCAACGGCAAUGCCGAAACAAACACGCCCUUACAGAAAAUAUCACUCUCGCAUUGGGCAGAGCGAGAGGAUUGUUAUUUUUGAAAACAAAGCGCUAAAGCAACAAGACACGUUACUCGGAAAUAUGCAUGAUUGAAGGAAUGUCAAUGGCAUCCCAAUCUCUCGCAAUGCCUCCCGGCGUAACGAAAACAAGCCUGAGACCAGAUCCAGUUGCUUCUUCAGAGAUAGCAUUAACAAACCCAGCACUGUGGAAGACUCCCGAGGAAACCCUUGACGACGGGGAGAACCCGAGACCUUCUUUACGCUUGUUCUCACAGAGCUGUAUCACCUUGCCCCAACCGGCAGUCUGACCGUCCUGAAUAACCUUCUGAGCAUCUUUCAAUGAAGCCAUAGCAGCCCCAGCUUUCUUAGGCUCUGCACCCUCAAUGGUCAAACCUUGGAAAGCAGUCCCUUCAGCAGACCCUGCCUCAAUACAAGAGAAGGAAGACAGCUGGCUGACUAAGUAUGCCUCUUCACCAUGAACGGUAACAAGCUUUCCAUUCCUCUCAAACUUCAACUUCUGAUGUAAGGUGGAGGUUACCGCGCCCGCAUCGUGUAUCCACGGUCUUCCCAGCAGACAACUGUAGGAUGCAUUAAUGUCCAUCACUUGGAAGGUAAUCAAGAAAUUCUCAGGGCCAAUGGUUAUCGGCAAGUCUAUCUCUCCCAGCACAUUCUUUCGAGAUCCAUCAAAAGCUUUGACCAAGAAAGUACUCCUCCUCAAAGGGGUCCCUCGGUAGCUCAACUGAUCUAGAGUUGUCUUGGGCAUUACAUUGAGGGAGGAACCGGUAUCCACCAACACAUUUGAUAUCAUGUCUGAUUUACAAUUCACCGAGAUGUGCAAAGCCAAAUUGUGACUCUUUCCCGCUUCCGGCAACUCUUCUUCACUAAACCAGAGGUUGUUACAAGCAGUGAUAUUUCCCACUAUGCCACCGAAACGAUCUACCGUAACUUCGUGGUCCACAUAAGCCUGCUCCAGCACUUUCAACAAGGUAUUCCUGUGAGCCUCGGAGCUCAAGAGUAAUGACAAGACAGAUAUCUUCGAAGGAGUCUGUAGUAACUGAUCAACGAUCUUGUAGUCACUCCUCUUUAUUAUCCUCAGAAUCUCAUCUAAAUUCGAAUCCUCUAUGGAUUUGCCUGACUGGUUCACAUCUGUAGCAAUGGGUGAAACAACGGUUGGAGUUGCUUCUUCAAUUGGUGGAAUGGUCGGUGUAACUACCUUCUGCUGAAAUAACGGCGGGCGAACCUUCCCGCUUCUUAGUGCUGCAGAAGUCCCUUCGGCAAUAUUGCUUACUGUGGCAAAGGAGGCUAGAGGCACCUCUACUCCAUUUUCUAUCAUGGUAGCAUUGUAUUUGUAUGGAACAGCCUUGUCUGAAACAUAAGGAAUUGGUCCUGGCAACCUUAUCACCAAAGGCUCAGCAUUCUUCUUCAAAGGUAUACUCUUGACGGGCGGAUCGUGAAAAACUGGCACAAUCACGCAAACAUCACUGACAGUCAGAAAAUUAUCAUUCAUCAAGCUUUGGAUGUCGUCUUGAACAGUAUAACAACCCAAAGGAUCACGGAGGCAUCCCAGACACUUGGCAUGAUCAUGGCUGAACAGAGAAGCUUUGCACAGCUUGAUGUGUAGAGGUACCAGAGGAGUUGCGACGUUGCGGACAUCAAGUCUAGGAGCUUCCUCGCACACUUCGAUCAUAUUCACAGCGGCAUGAUUUGGAAGAGGAUUGUCGAGGACAUGUGGGACAUUAUUCUCAAAUGUCAGCUUUCCUUGAUCAAUGAGCUUCUUCACGAUAUACUUCAAAGCAUAACACCCCUCGACAUCAUGACCUAAAGCACCUUGAUGAAAAUCACAUUUGAGAUCAGACCUGAACCUUGGAGGCAACGGAUCAAGUGGGGGCUUGCCCUGUCUAGUUGUACAAUGCCCUCUCUGGAGUAAAGUUGGAAGCAAUUCAGCAUAUAACAUCGGUAUCGGAGGGAAAGUAGGUCUAGCUUGCUGAUUUUGUUGUUGUUGUUGUUGAACCGGCAUCUGUUGUUUCAUCUGUUGGGCAAUUGCAUUGACGGGUACUUGAGGUUGACCCGGUGGCAGAGGGUACUGAUGAUAAAAUGGCGGGAAGAAAGGAUGCUGAGAAUACGGCAUAUAUGGGUAUGACGGAGGCAUUUGAGCUGCAUUGAUAGGAGCAACGGUAGCCAUGGAUUGACCGGCUCCAGCUGACACCAUCCCCACUUCCGUUUCUUUCUUCUUGUGGUGUCCAUUACCAUACCUCUUCGAUGCACUCGUAGAAGAUUCAGCUUUCUCAAACACAAUAAUUCCAUCCCUGACGGCUUCCUCAAGACGGGUUCCCAUGGUGACCAUCUCCGAAAAGUUGUUCGGGGCAGCGAUGAUCAUCCUCUCAACAUAAUCUUUCUUCAAGGUCUUUAAGAAUGUCUGGGUCAUUUCUUCUUCAUCUAAAGCAGGAGUGAUACGGGCAGCUGCCCCUCUCCACCUUUGUGCAUAUUCACGGAAACUUUCCUCUUUUUUCUGAGAUAGGGACCUGAGGAACUCCCUAUUCGGCUUCAAACGAGUGUUAAACCCGUAGUGGCUCUUGAAAGCAGCGGCUAGUUCAUCAAAAGUAUGGACAUCGUCUUUGCUCAGACUAGUAUACCACUCUGCAGCAUCCUCCAUCAGACUGUCUUGGAAAUAAUGGAUCAUAAGGGAAUCAUUGUCCUUGUAGUUGCCCAUCUUCCGGACAUAUUUGACAAUAUGAUUUUGAGGACAAGUCAGCCCGUUAUACUUGUCGAACUCCGGGACUUUGAACUUCUUUGGAACAUCUACCUUCGAUACUAAGCAGAGGUCCUGGGUUUUAAUAGAGUCUCCACUUCCCCUGUUGGCCUUAAUUUCCCGUCGGAGCUCUUUGGCAAGUUCUUCCAUUCUCUCUUCCAUAGUCCCGGUUGUGGCAAUACUCUCACGGUGCGCAUUAGCAUGGACAAUUUGAGGCACCGUAUUCACAAUGGGUUCGGUAACAGUUGUUGCAGCUUGAGUCAAGGCGGUACUAACAGGAGUUAAGUUUGCCCCUGAGAUUGGGCCACUGUUGAUAGUACCAGAGGUCCCUGCCCCUGUAUUAGCAGUAUAGUACGGCGGAAGUCCGUAAGGAAAUCCGGAUGGCAUGAUAAAGCGGGGAUCAGUUGUUACAGUAGGAGUCACAUUUGCAGCUGUAGAAACUACAGGAACUGGUUGUUUCUGAGCAGCCAACAGAGCAGUCAUAGCAUCAUGAGCUUUGGCCAAUUCCUCCUUUAGAGCUGCCAAUUCGGUACGGAGCUGAGAGUUCUCUUCUUCCAUAGCCCUUUUCUUUCUUCUGUAUUCUCUGGUUCGAUCAAUUCUAUCAGGUUCGUAAACUCUCUGAGCACGAGCCACUUUUCACACUGAGGCAGAGAAACCAGGAGAUAGUGAGCACUUGGAAGCCUUUGUGACCAAUGCAUGAUGCAUAUGAUGCAUGAUAUGCAAAUGCAAAUGCGAAAGACUUAUUUUUUUCAUCGAAGGAUUUUUAAACAAAUUAGAAAUCUUGCAAAUAAACAAAAUAACAUAUUUUCAAAAGGAAGACUUUGAAACUUUAACAAGAUAAACAAAUGAAGCCCUCAAGCGUAGGAAGUAGUCGGAGCAUCAUUGGACUCGGAAUCUGAAUCACAGUAUCUGUCAAAGAAGUCUCGUCGUCCUCUGGCUCUCUUGGAAUCCCUCAUAAGCAGCUCGUCUUUCUCUUCCAAUUCCCUCCGGACCUUAGCUAGUUCCUUCUUCAACAUCAGAUUCUCAUGAGUCUUCUGCUCAUCUCUACCAUCCAAAGUCAUGAUUAGAUUCUCGGCUUGAUCGUACCGAGCUUUCCAUACUUGCUUCUCACGACUCUCCAUAGCUAGAUGCUCCUGAUACAUAUCCUGAGUCGCGGGGAGCAACGGUAGAGGCAUAGAUGGAGUAGAUGAAGACACGUAUCUCAUAGCUGGAUAAGGCAUACCAAUCUCCUCAGCUCGAUCUAUCACCCACUGAGUAUAAGCCUCAUGAGCAACACCGGAUCUCACACCUAGAUGCUUCACACUCUUCCUUCGAACCUUGGACCAAGCAUCCAUGAAAGCUUUCCUUUGUCCGGUAGGAGCAUUCGUGUAGAAGAAAAACUCUGGAGAUGUAGCAAGAUUGAUGGGCUUCGACUUCAUAGGGAAACCAAAUUGUCUCAUAGCAAGCUCGGGAUUGUAGUUGAUUCCUCCACGAGUACCAAGAAGAGGUACAUUGAGAAAGUCUCCACAACCCAUAAUGAUUUCCUUCACCUGAGCGGCCGGAGUGAGCCAUACGACCUCAUUAGGAGUAAGGGCCAUAAUCCGCUGCGAGUAGGACCAAUUCUCCGAGUUGUCAUGGAAGGAACUCGGAAGGUGCGAAAUAAACCACCUAUACAAAAGAGAUGUGCAGCAAAGAAUAUACCUACGGCCCUUGAGAGUCCUGUCAUGAAUGGCGUGGUAGGUAUCCGCUAGCAAAGUAGGAACCGGGUUCUUGGAAUGGAAGAUCUCGAUAGCAUUCAUGUCCACAAAGUUGUCGAGGUUCGGAAAGAGAAUGAGCCCGUAGAUAAGAAAAGCAAGAAUAGCCUCGAGUGUAUCCUGACGAGUAGUACCGAGAUUAGCCUGAUCAAGAAGAUACUUCGAAGUGAACCCCCGGAUGUGAGACUUGGUAAUAAGAUGGUUGGAGACGUCGGAGGUCUUGAGGUAGAGAUCCUUAGCAAUAACCAGAGGAGUAAGAGAAGUCCCGGGACCGGUGAAAGGCGUCUUCUCGGCUAUAGGUAAACCCACUAGAUUGGAGUAAGCCUCGAGAGUAGGAACCAACUGGAAGUCCGGGAAAGUGAAGCAGCGGAAGCUCGGAUCAUAAAACUGUACUAGAGUGUGCACUAGCUUCUCGUCCACAUCGGUUCGGAGCAAAGUAAGCAAUCCCCCAUACCGGAGUCGGAAACCUGUUUGACUCUUGACCUUGAGUGCCAACUCUCUCAAACUAACCAAAUCCACUUCCUUGAACUUGUAGCACUUAGUCUUCUUCAUACCUGUGAUUAUUUACAAAAAUUUCCAUUUGUUUAAGCCCUUCGAUGAAUGCAUGAAAAAAUGUUUAUGCAUGAAUGCAUGUAUGCAUGAUUGUGUUGUUUAGUUACAAUGUGGGUUGAGGUUCAAAGUAACAGGGCCACGGAUGGACACGGCGUCCGGUGAACUAAGGCUUUGGAUGGUAGUAACCAAGGUUCUAACACAGUUCCCAAACUGCAACCUCUCUCACAUAUAUCAUGGUAGUACAGGACGACACCCGUUCCAUGAUUAUUUGUGAGAAGGUCUAGUUUGAGUGUAGUAUCGCGUGACGACUAAAGUUUGAGACAACACUCAAUUUAGCCACCGCACUACGUCCUAAAAAAGGCUAGGAUGGGUUUGGCAACUACGGUUCAUAGCUUCGUCGAACAAUUGAAAGUGAAGCCUAAGCAUGACAACACACGCCGACAAUAUCACCUUCAAAAUGCCUCAGCUAUGUGAGAUUGAUCGCAUAAUUCAAUACACGAGGCAACCCCCGGAUCGAAUUGUCGAUUAUAUCUCUACCUAAACAUAAGUUCACUCAGCCCGGGUAUAGGACUUUUGAUAUUCUCACCCCACACGUUAAAUGAAAAUAAACAAGUAUUCACAUGUAAGUAAUAAAACAAAGCGUAAAUAUAAACUAAAGAAAACUAGGCGCGACCCGCUAAAAAUUUCCCCAGUGAAGUCGCCAUUUCUGUUAUCAUGGUUUUUGGGUGCCAAACCAUCAAUUGGACUUGAACCUUUUGACCGUUGAUAUCUCUUUUUUUCUUGGGAAGGGUAAAAGGAGAAAAACCCUUGAGUUUCCGGAUUCGGGGGUCGUUUUCGCUACGGGAAGGUGUUAGGCACCCGGAGCGAUUAUGAUAUUCCAUAAGAACCGCUCUCCUUAGUUUAUUUCUACACUUUAGUUUUAUUGCUUAUUUGUAAAAAAGGAAGGUAUGAUUAGUUAAGAACGGAGGUGAGAAGAAGUAGAAUUUGAUUUUAUUUCGGCUUGGAUGAGUUUUGACUCAUUGCCUACGUACCCUUUUAAGGGAUCAAAACCGUUCGUAGUUCUUGCUCAAAAAAUGGUUUUUUUUGUUUUUGUUGGUUGAUUUUAAGUUUGAAAAGAGAUUUUGAAGAAUAGAGACGAGAGGCCUCAAGGGCAUAAGGUUUGGAAAGUGUGAGGUGGAUUUAGUCAUUUUGCAAAAAUAAAGUCCAAGAAGGAUUAAGAUUCAUUAAAAGUUUUACUUAAGAAAAUAAAGGGAAAAUAAGGAGUUUUGACUCCAUUUUAUUUUCAAAAAAAAGGUUUUCAAGUGAGAUUAUUUGCAUGUUUUUUUUGGAAAAAAGUUGGAUUUUUAUCUAAGUGUUUAAACCUAAGCGCUUAUCUAACCAUACAAUCCUAUGCAUACAUCUAAGGUGAGUGUGUGCGUGUCGGUGCGUCAUAGUGUCCAUAGUCCAUAUUACAAAAAUUGCCUAAAUACAUUCUAUGGCCCCUUUGCCAAGCUACAAACCAAUGAUAACAAAUUACAUUACCAAAUGAAUUAAAACUUGCAAAAAAAUAAAUGCUAAGCUAAAGAAAGUGGAGAGGGUGGUGGAAUGCUAUGAAACGUAUGGCACAUGAGAUGAAAUGGUUAGUAAUCAUAAAGCACACAAUAGUAGGAAGUAAUUAAAAGGAAAUGCAUAAAGAUGGCAAAGAAAAAGUAAUAAAGUGGUAAUAAACCUAAAAAACAUUUGAUAUGAUACCUAAAGAUGCUAGUGACCCAUAAUCAUCACAUCAUGGCAAUUUAGAAAGAAAUUUUGUUUCAAGCCAUGACAUGCAAUUAAUGGAGGCAUAUGCAUGCAAAAUAUCACACCAAGUUCAUAGAGAAUUUUGCCACUUUAUUCCUUAAGACUAAACUUGUUGCUUGCAAAACAAGAAAUUCAUAAAAUUAUAUUCAAAAACAGCAAACAAAAACACAUUUCCAGAGGCAUAUUCAUCACCAUAUUAGGCAUCCUUUAUCCAUGUCAUAAUAUCAAAAUGUCAAGAACAAAACAUAGCAAAAUGCAUACCAAAAGUGUAAAAACACGUGGAAUUAGUUCAUGCCAUUUUAACAUUUUUUUUUAUGCAAGAAACACCAUAGGAAUACCAAAAAUGUAUCAAGAAAACACUAGGAUUUUUUAGGAUUUGUUUUUAUAAAAAGAUGAGCAAGCAACAGGUGUGAAUAGCAAAAGAGCAGUGUGAAUAGCACAAAAAAUAGCAGAAAACGCAGAAAACCAAAAGAAACAAGCCCAAGCCCAACCUAAAAGAUCCGGAUGCAUGGGAUCCACACGAUUGAUCCAGGAUUCAAAAACCCUAGAUCAAACGGCCAGGAAUCAAAGGAGAUGGACCGGACUGGACCGGUCCGGUUCGCUGGCCUAUAAAAGUGGAGGAACACCGGUUUUUUCAUUUCUCUACUUCCCUUUCUCUCUCUAAGUUCUUCCCUCUUCUCUCAUCUCUCACUUCUCUCUAGAAACCUCACCGCCGGUGAGGAUGAAGCUACGGCGGAGACCUUGAAGGUCCGCCGGAAACUUCAUCUUCUCCGGCGAGACUAUGAACUCCGGUGACCUAAAAUUUCCAGAACUUAAAGAUUUUUGUAUUUUCUGGUUCGUCCUUUAACCCUAAACACGAAUCCAGCAGUUGUUUUUUCAAAUACGGUUUGAAACGACGUAGAUCUAAAAAGUUCCGUACGGUUUUGAAACUGAUUUUUGAUUUUUUGAAAGGAAAUGUUUAGGUCGUUAAAGAUCUACAUCGUUUCGUUGUUCGCUGCUCUUCUUUGAUGUUUGUUCUUGCUUUCAAAACUUAGAUCCUUAUGGAUCUAGGUUUUGUGUUUACGGUUACGGUUUCGUCUUUGAGUUCUGGAAAUUUUGGAUCUGUUGCUUGCGUGAUAUUUUUUUAGGUUUAACAGUGAUAUUACUUUUGAGAAAAGAUUCUGAGUUUUACCUAAGGUUUUGGUUGAAACCUUUAAUGGAGGAAAUCUUUGGAAAAACUUGAAUGCUCUUGAUGAUUUUGAUUCUUCUGCUUGCUUUUGGACCGAAAAUAAAUCGGUGAUUCUCCUUUUCUCACUGAUUCCGUUUCUUCAUCUUCUUCGCCGGUUUAGAACUUUGCUUCUUUCCUUCUUCUUUUCACGCUCUGUGAUCAACGCUUGAGCUUGCUUCAAUGCGAGCUCGCGUUUGGAAUUGCAGAGAAUGAUCAAUUCGAUGAUGAAGAUUCAACAGAAUCUCUGAGAAUUGAUCCAAAAAACUGUUGAUUCUGAUGAAUUUUGAUUUCUGGAAAACGGUUAGGGUUUUGUGUUCUUGGUGUUCUUGAGAGAUUCUGAGAAACUUUUCUGUUUUGAUUCACUUGCUGAGAAAGAGGAAAUUGGAUUUGUGUUUAUGAGUUGGCGUGUGAUUCAUGGCUCUGAGUGGCACUGUACACCUUUUAUAGCAUGACAUGUGUGCAUUGGAACCAAUAAGAAAAGGACACCUGGACUUUGAAAAAAAAGGCACGGCCUUGGCAAAUUUGGCUUCUGGACCUUUCUGCAAAAACAAAGAAUUUGAGGACUAAACUGCAAAAUUAAUUAAAAGGCUUGAAAUGAAAUUAAAAAAACUGUUUGGACAAAAUGCAAUUUUGGGACCUCAAUUGAGGGACCAAAACGCAAUUAAAAAUAAAAUUGAGUAAAAAACGUAAUUUGACCAAACGUAAAGCGAAACAAAAAUAAAAUUGACAAAACGGACUAAAACGAACCAAUGACCUAAAUGAGGUACUUCAAAGUAACCUCUCUAUGCCAAAAUUUUGUGUGAAAUGACCAAAAUGCCCCUAGGGCUAAAAUUGACCUAAACAGAUUGAAAUGGACUUAACACUGACUCAGACGCAAGUUUGAAAUGAAUUUUAACAAGGUUUACUGAUGAAGUGUUUAAAAAUAAUCUGAAAAGAUUCAGAGACAGUCACAAGGAUGAAAAUGGGUCCCACUGCAGGAAAUGACCAAAAUACCCUUCUGUAUGACUUUUUGCAAAUUUUGAAAUAAACUGUGGAAAAAGCAAUGUAAUGAUUCAGAGACACUUUUGAAUGACUUACAAGACAAGUAAAGACAUUUCAAAAGGUUUUAUGCAAGAAAAACAUAGGUAAAAUUGUGAUUGAAAAUACUGCGAGGCAGAGACAAUUUGAACUGUGCAGUUGAAAUUUGAUAAUUGACAAAGUUUGAAAUGAAAUUGGGCCCAGUAUUUUUAGGUCCAAAAACAGGGUAUAACACAUCCAAUUGUAAGUUUUAAGACAUUCUUUCUACAUAUUGAACGAUAUUCAUAAAAAUUAUUAUUCAUCAACACAUCAUAUUUUGAGUAACUACAAAAACCAGUGUGUUUCAUUUCAUUGGAUCGAUGCACCUAAAAUUGGGGGAAAGAAAAAAUAAAUGGCAUUGGAUGAAACAAGUUUCAUUGUACUACAUUCCAUUUUAUUUUAUUUUUUUACGAAACCAAACAAUGAAAUAUGGUUUUAUCUUGCUCCAUUCUACUCCGCCAUUUUCCAUCAAUACAAACAUUGUAUAAGACUUUGUUUACAAGUUUGGAGGAGAAUGUAGCUUUCAAAAAAUUAUAAGUCAUUUUUAGAAGAAAACAAUUGUCAUAAAUUAUAAGUCACUUUACAAUGUUAAUGAAUUAAUGUUAUUUUCGUUUCGAUUAUACCCUUAACUGGUUUUUUUUUUUUUUCUUUUCAAAUUCUUUAAAUUAAUUUUCCGAUAUAUUUUUUUUUAAAUAUAAAUAUAUUAUCAAAAUAUAGAUUUGUCAUGACCCACCACAAUUUAGUAACAAGGCUCUUCAAACUAAAUCAUGACCGUCGGUGGGUUUUCUUUAGACUUGGAAUUAUAUUACAAAUGUGAAAGUGAGACCAAUAAUUGAAUUGCUUUAUAUCAACAAUGAUGACGAGCUAGCUGUAAAGAUUGUCAAUAAUGGAAACAUCACUUUAUACUACAGUGUUGAACAAGAUUAAAACAAGAUAUUGAAAUUAUUGUUUAGAUGUGUCUAGAAAGCGACCUGAAUCUUGCAACUCAAUGCAGUUGAUCAGAUCAGUCCAAGCUUUCACUGCCGUAAAUCAAAAUCAAACCCAUCAUAGUUGAGGAAUUACAAUUGUGGAAACUCAGCUCACCUCGAGUAUAAUUGGGGUGUGUUUGUUUCAAGUUAUAAUUGUUGAUUCUCGGGAAUAAAAUGAUAGGAAUGUAUAUGCCUAUGUUUGUUAUAAGUUUACUAAAUUUUAUUCCCGGGUAUAAAAUGUUCCUCGGAAUAUAAAAAAUUUCCCAAGGAAAAGGGUGGGAAUAAAGUUCCCAUGAAGAUGGGAAUAAAUUCAUAAAUAGUUUACAUAUUAUAAUCCCUAUUUUUAUGGUUCUUAGGAAUAUUAUAAAGCUAACCAAACAUAUUUUUCCUAAAUUCCUUGGAAUAAAAUUCUCAUAUUUAUAUUCCAAGGAAUGUUAAUCCUAAAAAUAAAUUUGGUAAACUUGAAACAAACAUUUGUGAUUGUACAAACCAUCCAAAGACUUGUAAAUUUAAUAUUAUGUUUCCUAAAAUGUCUUAUAUAUAUAUAUCACAUUGUUCUUUUAAUUUUUUUUCUUUCUUUCUGAAAUAUCAAAUAUAAUAUCAAAAUAUUGAUUUUUACCUCCAAAGUCUUUUCUUCCAAAAUUCAACUCGCAAAACUUCUAAAACUCAAUAUUUAACUUUUCAAUUAUUGCAUCAUUUUUUUAUUGUAUGAAUCCAUGUGUAUUGUUUUUAGAUUUCCAAAGUGUUGUAUUUUGGUUUUCUAAAUUCUAUUUUGAAAGAGAAUAUCUAUCGAAAUUGUUACUAGGUUGAGUCACGACCAGGUUGCUCUUUUAAGACAUUUCGUGGCACUGCUUAAAAUUGUGCAAGACAGACUAUUAACCACACUGCCUCCAGGAUUAAAAACAAGUUCAACUACAAUUGUGCGGUCAACUACUGACUACAAUUGUGCGGUCAACUACUGACUGUAGAAAACAGUUCGAGUAUUACACCUCCAAUAUGGUAUUAAGACAACUCUUUUAAUAUUGAAACUCAUAUGGUACUGUGACCACUCUAUUAUAGUGUUGAAACCACUCAAAUAUGGUGUUACCACCAUUCUAAUUUUUAACUUCUCCAACAAUGGUACUAUGAUCACUCAAAUACAAUGUUACUACCAUUCUAAUUUCUUCAAGAAUUGAAGAAGAAUAUAUUUUUAAGCUCAUUCUUAUUAUACCGAAAGUGGACUAUGAUCUUAAGAUAUUAUUUAUUCUUAAGAGACAUAAUUAAUUGAAAGGACUAUGCUCUUAAGACCAUUCUUAAUUCCGAAAUGACAAUAUACCGAAAAAGGAUUGUGAUCUUAAGAACACUUUUAAUAUCGAAAUGACAGGAAAAAUAAAUAAAUAAGGAGAAGAAUAACUCGUUAACACAAGCUGGAGGGAGAAGAGAGAAAGAGUUCUCGACAAAGGGGUGGGAAUAGGUCAAACUAGGCUUUGAUAGGUCUAAGCUUGGCUUACAAAAAAUUUUGCAAGUCUGAGUCUGGUCUAUGGCCUUUCAGCCUAUAUUUUUGGCUUGAUCUAGCCUAUUUAAAAGUCUGCCUAGCUUAAAAACCUAUUUACAGGUCUACUUCAUAUUAAAGUCAUUAAAUAUUCAACCUAUUUAAGUAUAAGGCCUCAAAGCCUAUUUAAAAAGUGCAUUAUUUGAGUUUUUUUUCUUGAUUUUUAUGUUUAAUAUAAAUUAUAUUUUAAUAUAAAUAAAAAAUAAAUUUUAAUAAUAUGCAUAAAUAAAGCCUAAGCCUAGCCUUUUUCGUAAACAGGUCAGGCUUAAACCGGAAAAUUCACAACUAACUUGCGAACUUCUAAUAAUGAUUAAAUUAAUUAUUUAAUAUUUAAUUUAACAUUUCUAAAUAAUAAAAUAUAUAUUUUUUCAACAGUGCUUACUUCAUUUACAUAAUUUUGCACCCCCUUUAAAGGUACACCUUAUUAUAUAAGGACUACUAAUUUAUGUGUCCCAUUUAAUGUGAGACUUUCACUUUUUUCAAUUCACACAACAUUGGUUCUACCCAACAUAAAAUUUUGUGUUUAAUCUUUUAACUCAAUUUUCACACAUGUUUCAACAAUGUGCCACCAAAUAUUUUCUUGACCCACCACACUUUAGCUAGCUAAAUCAUUGCAAACGUGAAAGUGAGACCAAUAAUGACUAGCUAGCUGUAAAUAUUCUCAAUUCUCAAUAUUCUUAUGAUGCUAGCGACUGCAAAUUGGAAAACCAAUAAAUAACAAUAUCAUUUUACUUGAUCAAGUUUGGUUGAUUCCUGCACACUUCAAAGAUAAAGUAAGUUUUCUAAAAUUGUUGGAAAGAUUGUCUAGUUGUUGAACCAAAAUUAAGCCUCCUAUGUAUAUUUCUACAGCAGAGUUGCUCAGACGGCUUGAACAUUUGCUGAAAGUGUGCUGGAGUUAUGGUAACCAACAAACAAUCAUGUUUUAACAAUUUUCAGUCGAUAUCAAUUGGUCUCAGGUAAAUUGCUGAAAGUGUACUUGAGUAUGCGCUGAAUGUGCCGAAAAUACUGUGUUGGAAAGAUCAGGUAAAUAUCAAUUUCAUUUUGCUUCAUCAUUCAUUCAAAUAUAAAGUAGGUUUUCUGAAAUUGUUGGAAAGAUUGUCUAGUUGUUGAACCAAAGUAUAUUUCUACAGCAGAGUUUCAAUGAACGCUUGAACAUUUGCUGAAAGUGCUGGAGAUAAGGUAACCAACAAACAAUCAUACUUUAACAAUUUUCAGUCAAUAUUUUAAUUAAUUGUUUACAAAGGUUUAUAAAUCAACUAGAGAAACCAACUCGAGUUGAUAAGGUAGAAUCAAACAUAGUCUAUAAGGAAUUUUUUGCAGUGAAUAUUACUCCUAAUUCUCUAAAUUCUAGCUGCUGCCUGCUGUCGAGAAAGAAAAAUAUUGUUAAAAAGUACGUCCUUACAACAGUAACACAAUUGAGGUAGAAAAUAAUCUCAUGGUUGUUUUUCUUUUAUCACUUCCUCAGAUUUUCUAUUUGUAUAUGAUUUCCAAUUUUGGUCUUCACUCUACUUUUCUACAUGGUCCUUUUUUCAUGACUUGUUUAUCAUUUUCAAAGAUAAAUUGGGUAUUCAGAGAUUGGCUUAAAGGAUCUUAAACUUUAAUAUUGGAUGAACUCCCAUUUGAACUUUCUCAAAUAUUUGUUUGAACAAGCUAAGAAAAUUCUUUGAUGAAAAGUGUGUCAUCAACUAUCAUUUUUCAAAUUAACAGACCCUGAAUGAAGAAAAUCUUCUUACAAUAAAAGAACAUGAAUGAUAUGCUAUGAGAAUGAGAUUCAUUAUCAACCAUUGUAUUUUUCAACAUACACAAACAUAUGUCUAACUUUGAUGUAUUGAAAUUCAUUUAGAUGGCGAGUUUUCUAACUGAUUUGGCGAAGACCUAUGUGGAGAAAUUGAUAAAUGGGGUGAUCGCAGAGUCAAGUUAUAUAUGUUGCUUCACGUGCAUUGCUAAUGAUUUUGAAGAAGAAAGAUCUAGAUUGGAAAUAGAAAGCACAACAGUUAAGCAACGUGUUCAUGUGGCAACCAGUAGAGGAGAAGUUAUUCAAGCUAAUGCUCUUUUUUGGGAAAAAGAAGCUGAUGAGCUCAUUCAAGAAGACACCAAAACAAAACAAAAAUGUCUUUUUGGAUUUUGUCCUCAUAUCAUAUGGCGAUAUAAAAAGGGAAAGGAACUGACAAAUAAGAAGGAGCAAAUUAAAAGAUUGAUUGAAAAUGGAAAGGAUCUUGUAAUUGGACUCCCUGCUCCUCUUCCAGAUGUUGAACGUUAUUCAUCCAGAGACUAUAUUUCUUUUGAAAGUAGAAAAUCCAAAUACAAAGAGCUUUUUGAUGCUCUGAAAGAUGACAACAGUUAUAUAACCGGGUUGCAAGGGAUGGGGGGCACAGGAAAAACUACAAUGGCCAAAGAAGUGGGGAAGGAACUUAAGCAAUUCAAACAAUUUACUUACGUCAUCGAUACAACAGUGUCAUUGUCUCCUGAUAUCAGAAAGAUUCAAGAUGAUAUCGCUGGACCCUUGGGAUUGAAAUUUGACGACUGUGGUGAAUCAGACCGACCCAAAAAACUAUGGAGCAGAUUAACCAAUAGAGGUAAGAUUGAUCAGAACGAGGAAAAGAAGAUUCUUCUAAUAUUGGAUGAUGUGUGGGAUGUUAUCGAUUUUGAUAAAAUAGGGAUUCCUGACAAUCACAAAGACUGUAGAAUUCUUGUAACCACGCGCAAUCUCUAUGUCUGCAACAGAUUAGGAUGCAAUAAGACAAUCCAACUGGAGGUCUUAUCUGAUGAAGAAGCAUGGACCAUGUUCCAAAGGCAUGCUGGUCUAAAAGAAAUGUCACCUGCAAGUUUGCUCGACAAGGGCCGCAAAAUUGCAAAUGAAUGCAAAGGAUUACCGGUUGCAAUUGUUGUUAUCGCCAGUAGUUUGAAGGGCAUACAAAAUCCGAAAGUGUGGGAUGGAGCCUUAAAAUCCUUGCAAAAACCCAUGCACGGUGUUGAUGAGGAAGUUGUUAAAAUUUAUAAAUGCUUGCAUGUUAGCUAUGAUAAUAUGAAGAAUGAGAAUGCCAUGAGACUAUUCCUCUUGUGUUCUGUAUUUCGAGAAGAUGAAAAAAUUUAUACCAAAAGGUUAACCAGACUUGGCAUCGGAGGAGGCCUUUUUGGGGACGAUUUUGACAGCUAUGAUGAUGCUCGAAACCAAGUUGUUAUAUCCACAAAUAAACUCCUAGAAUUUUGUUUAUUGUUGGAGGCCGGUCGAGAUCAAAGCAUCCUGAGAAUGCAUGACUUGGUUCGUGAUGCUGCCCAAUGGACGAGCAGAGAGUUUCAAAGAGUAAAGUUAUAUGAUAAAUAUCAAAAAGCAAGGGUUGAAAGGGAGAUGAAUAUUAAAUAUUUAUUAUGUGAAGGCAAGCCUAAGGAUGUGUUUUCCUUUAAGCUUGAUGGUUCCAAGCUUGAGAUUCUAAUUGUCAUUAUGCAUAAGGAUGAAGAUUGUCAGAAUGUGAAAAUCGAAGUCCCGAACUCAUUCUUUGAAAAUAUUACGGGCCUUCGAGUUUUUCAUCUAAUAUAUGACCAUUAUCCUAAUAUAUCUCUAUCAUUACCUCACUCAGUUCAGUCGAUGAAAAAUAUUCGAUCUCUUCUCUUUGAGCGUGUCAAUUUGGGUGACAUCUCUAUUUUGGGAAACCUGCAAAGCCUUGAGACUCUUGAUUUGGAUGAUUGUAAAAUUGAUGAAUUGCCUCAUGGAAUCGCAAAACUAGAGAAACUGAAAUUAUUGAACUUGAAUAAUUGAAGAAUUGCAAGGAAUAAUCCUUUUGAAGUGAUUGAAGGAUGCUCAUCACUUGAAGAGUUGUAUUUCACAGGUAGCUUUAAUGAUUUUUGCAAAGAAAUAACUUUCCCUAAACUACGAAGGUUUAAUAUUGAUGAAUAUUCAAGUUCAGUGGACGAAUCAUCAUCAAAGUGUGUGUCUGUUUUAUUCAAAGAUAAGUUUUUCCUAACUGAAAGAACACUCAAGUAUUGUAUGCAAGAAGCAGAGGUUCUUGCACUAAGAAGAAUCGAGGGGGAAUGGAAAAACAUCAUACCUGAGAUUGUUCCCAUGGAUCAAGGUAUGAAUGAUAUAGUUGAGCUUCGUUUGGGAUCCAUUUCACAAUUACAGUGCCUCAUUGACACUAAGCACACUGAAUCUCAAGUGUCAAAAGUCUUCUCCAAGUUGGUUGUACUAGAACUUUGGAACCAAGAUAAUUUGGAAGAAUUGUUCAAUGGUCCUCUUUCCUUUGACUCUCUGAAAAGUUUAAAGGAGUUGUCCAUCAGUGAUUGUAAACAUUUGAAAAGCUUAUUUAAGUGCAACCUAAACCUAUUCAAUCUAAAGAGUGUGUUAUUGAAAGGAUGCCCGAUGUUGAUCUCCCUAUUACAACUGUCAACUGCUGUUAGCCUAGUGUUGUUGGAGACGCUGGAAAUAAUUGACUGUGAGCUUCUUGAAAACAUAAUAAUAGAUGAAAGAAAAGGGCAGGAAUCGAGAGGUGAAAUAGUCGAUGAUAAUGAUAACACAAGUCAUGGCUCAAUGUUUCAGAAAUUGAAAGUUCUUAGUAUUAAGAAGUGUCCAAGAAUCGAAUUAAUACUUCCGUUUCACUCUCCUCAUGAUCUUCCAACACUAGAAUCCAUCACAAUUAAAAGUUGUGAUAAGCUGCAGUACAUAUUUGGCAAAGAUGUCAAACUUGGUUCCCUCAAAAAAAUGAUGCUUGAUGGCAUACCGAAUUUGAUCCAUAUUUUCCCAGAAUGUAACCGUACCAUGGCUUCGCCCAUUAAGAAGACAUCUUCCAAGCCAGAAGAUCAAUCAAAGUCAAUCAAAUGCAAUAUGUUUUCAUGGACUGAUAUAUAUUGUUGUGGUAAAAAAUAUGGUAACACAAGUACUAAAAUCCCAUUGGUUUCUGAGUCUAAGGAUCAACAACAGGACAACUUAAUGGUAACCCUCUCACUUUAUAUUCCAUGAUAUUUUUUAUAUUUUUUUUUAUAGGAAACUGUUGGUACAUUUUAUUAUUUGAAAAAACUAUUUUUUUAAGGAAAACAAAACUACUAAUAUAAUAGCAAAUUACUAAAUACCAAAAAGUGUUCACUUUUUUUUGUGGUGUCCGGGAUUCAAACCCCAGACCUUGCAUAUAUUAUGCAUUGUCCUUACCAUUUGAACUAAGCUCACGAGGACCAAAAAAGUGUUCACUAAUACAAUAUAAUAAUGUACCCAUUUUUUCGUAUCAAUUAAUAGUAUAACAAGUAUAAUAUUAUUUCAAGUAUUUAAGAGCAUCUCCAAUGGGAGGUUCUUACUUAACAAGGAUCACUCCCUAUUAAAGACCCCCCAUUGGAGGAAGAAAAAAUGAGUUCUUAUUAAGGAACGGGUCACUAUAUAAAGACUCUUUCUCUCCUAAGCAACUAAUGGGUUCCACGUUUAAAAUAAAUAAUAAUAUAUGUAUUACUUGGUCCCACUUGCAAAAGAAAUAAUAUUUUAAGAAUUGGUCCCACUUGCAAUAUAAAUAAUUUUUUUCUUUUAAUGAUGUAAAGUUAGUGAGACUUAUUUAAGUAAUUUUUAUGGGAGUCCUUGUUAGUGUAUUACCAUUGGAGUCAUCGGGUCUUUAAUAGAUACUUUUAUUAAAAAAAUUAUAAAUAAGUGAUGUGUACAUGCGGGAUCCAUUUAAGGAGUCCCUAUUAAAGAUUACCAUUGUAGAUGCUCUAAUAGCUUUGGUGCAUUAAGUUAAUUAUAGAUAAAUGUAAGUCGGUCUGUAAAUUAAAUAUCAAUGUUAAUUUAAUUAAAUAAUGUAGUACUUUCUUUUGGUUACAUUCUAAUAUAAUAAUUUAUAAUCCAUAGCCAUUUGUUGCAGGAAUUGAGUGGGAAUGUGGACCAUUUUCUCUCUUUGGAGAGACUCAUAGUAAAGAAUAACUCCAAAGUAGAAAGUAUCAUUUGUAUAAAUGAAAUAAAUGAACAGCAAAUGAACUUAGCUUUGAAAGACAUUGAUUUGGAUGUUUUGCCUGCGAUGACAUGCCUUUUUGUGGGUCCAAAAAAUUUGUUUUUCCUCCAAAACCUUACCCAUUUAAAGAUCAUGCGAUGUGAAAAAUUGAAAAUUGUUUUCUCCACUUCUAUAAUAAGGUAUCUACCACAGUUGCUUAUCUUGAGAAUUGAAGAAUGCAAAGAAUUGAAGCAUAUAAUUGAAGAUGAUUUGGAGAAUAAAAAAUCCUCAAAUUUUAUGUCCACAACAAAGACAUGCUUCCCAAAGUUAAAAAUGGUUGUUGUAGUAAAGUGCAACAAGUUGAAAUAUGUCUUUCCAAUCUCCGUAUGUAAAGAGCUUCCUGAGCUAUAUUAUCUGAUCAUAAGAGAAGCAGACGAGUUAGAGGAAAUAUUUGUAAGUGAAGGUGAUGAUCACAAAGUGGAGAUUCCAAAUCUGAAAGUUGUAAUAUUUGAAAAUCUACCAAGCCUCAAUCAUGCCCAGGGAAUUCAAUUUCAAGAUGUAAAACAUCGUUUCAUACAGAAUUGUCAAAAACUCUCUCUGACUUCAGCAAUAACCGCAGACUUUAAAAAGGAUCUUUCCGGUUUAUAUAUUAACAUCUACGGUAACAUCUACGGUACACACUUCUUCAAAAAAAACAUCUACAGUACACAUUCUAUCCAAUAUUUUUUUAAAUUAUUACAUGUUGGCAGGGCCGUCCCUGUGAAAUAGGAGGCUCGGCUCUCUUUUUAAAAUAGGCCCCUAGUAAAAUAAAAUAUAAUUUUUUUUUGUGUAGCUAAAUUUCAUUAAAAGAAAUCAAAAUCAGAAGAACUUCUAAACAUGAAAGGAAUUAAAAAAAAUUAAGUGAAAGAGGUGAAAUUUAUCUAACGGCGUCGUUUGAACUUGUCACUCCUCUGUUGUGGAAAAUGGUAAAACGAAUGGUUUAUGCGAAGAAAAAAUGAUUGUUGUGAUUCUUUCAAUGAAAUAGCUUUCCAAAUUGACUGAUUAAGUGAUUAUACAAAUUAAGGGUGAUUUGAUAGGAUCUGAUUUAUGUACAAAAAGGAGAACUAGAGUCUAGAAAAAAUCUCAAAUGUGUACUAAAGAAAGAAAAUGAUAUAACAUAUAUAUUUUUUAGUUAAAUGGGGGGUGGGUAUUAUAUUUAAUUUUUCGUUAAAGGCCCGUAACAUUUGAAGGCCCGAUCUGGUUGAGCACCUUGCACACCCUCAAAGCCUGGCCUACAUGUUGGUUGUAAAAUAUUACAUACCAUUUGUUUAAAGGAUAUAUAAACAACUGAAUCUUCUAAAGUAGCGAUAUAAGGUAUGCUGUGUGCAUGCAUAAGUAUUUCUAAAAUGUAAGGGCUCAUGUAGUGACCUAUCUAAUAUAAGCUUUAAUUUUAUGUAAAAUUUAAUUAUUAUAUAGAUAGAUAAACAAUGGGCUUAAAUGCACUUUUCAUCGCCUAAUUGUUUACAAAAAUAGCGAUUUUGACCCUUUUUAAAAAAAUGGCAAAAGUGAUCCAUGUUUACCCCUUUUGCAAACCUCAAUUCUGACUUUGUCAACCGUAGGUGGCCUGUGUAUUUUUUUUUUUAUUUUUUUUUAUUUUUUUUAAUUGGCAAUUCCACGCGUUUAUUAAAUGAAAUUAAAAAAAAACAGAUUGGAAGAAAAAUAGAGAAGGCACGUGCAAGCUCUCAUCAAUUAUUUCUCUUCAUCAAUUUUUCAUGUGUUCUUCCCCAAAACUUUGAUCUUCAUGUUUAUGUGUUCUUCCCCGAAAUCCAAAUCUAAAAAACAACUUACCAUCAUCAAUUGUUUGGUCCUAAAAAAAAUCAUUCUCGUUAAUAUUAGAAUAUAGUGAGAAUAAACUAGAGUUACUUAGUGGUAACUAUAGUAGAAAGUUAGUUAGAGAGUUAGUUACUCCAAGUCACUAUAAAUAAGCUACACCUAUGUACUAUUUCACCAUCUUUUAUUCAAUUGCAUCUUUGUGAUGACUCCUAGAGAGAACUACACAAUUUACCUUUCCAUUGCAUUUGAUCUAGAACCAUGGAAUCCUUUGAUUCAUAACAAUUAACACUCAAAUAUUCAAACUCGUGACUUUCAUCACAAAUUUAUUAACUUGCCAACAACCUUGAGAAAAACUACCAUAGUCUCCGAGGUUCAUCUACGAACAUGAGAACGAAAUUUGGAAAAACAACCAUCUCCAACCCAAACCCAACAUACAAACACAUAUCUGUUCCCAAAACCUUGAAAUACAACCUUCAAUUGAAACUCAUAAAAUUAAAUAGAUAAAAAACUGGGAAAAAAAAAAAGUGGAAUCAAUUUGAUGGGUUGAAGUUUUGUGUUUGAAACUAGAAGAUGAUUCAUAAUGGAUCUGCGAAAAAAAUUAAAUUAGAACAAGGAGAGUGGAAUUUUUAUGUUUGAAUUCAUUUGGUUUGAUUAUCAUUGGGUGAUGCUUCAGCUUCUGUGGAUUGUCGUGGUGCUAAUGGUGGUGGUGAUGGUGAUGAGAAGAAAAAGAAGAAGGUUGUUGGAUAGUUCUUCGUGCAAAAGGGGGUAAACAUGGGGUUACUUUUGCCAUUUUUUUGAAAAGGAGUCAAAAUUGUUAUUUUUGCAAACUUACGGGUUAAAUAGUGCGUUUAAGCCUAAACAAUAUUGUGCAUCUUUAAACAUAAAAAUGAUGAUUUUAUUAUUCUCUAUAUAAUGAUGUUAAUCUCUAUAUUAUUUCGCUGUAGAUCCUGAAUUGUGUAAGUAUUUCGUGUUUCUGUUUGUACAACAAUUAAAAAAAAAGACCAAAGGCAACAAUAGUCGUAAUGAAAAUCCAGAAACCUCAAAAAAAAUUGCCGUUGGGGUUGAAGUUAAAGCAUCAUCAGAACAUGGGCUGACUUCUCCAAAGGUCAAUACCAAUCUAUUGAUUCAAGCUUACCACACCAGAAUUUUAAUGGAUGUAAUUACUAAUUAAUAGCUUAAGAUCAUUAAUGCUUAUGUUCUUGUUACAGGAGUUGAUGAAUGAACAAUCAAUGGACCAACAACGUUCACUUGGAGAAACUGAUACUUCCGUCAAACCUUCUCAGGUAAAUCGUGUAAAAACCAAGAUUACAAAAGAAUGAGCCACCUAUACAAUUAAUUACACCUAUUGGACCCACCACCAUUUAUAUCCGUAAAUUACUCUUUAGCACUAUCACAAUCACUCUUUUAUGCAAGUGUCAUUGGUUGAGCAACACUUAAGUGUUGUUCUCCUACCCAUCGGCAAUUAAAUGUUGUUAGAUCGGUUCAAUCACUUUUUAAAUCGGUUAAAAAGUAUCUGAAUGACAGUUAACUACCGUUAGGGGGUAAAUGAAUAAUUUUGGAGCCUGAUAGCAAUUUUAGAAGCCUAAAGAGCAAUUGUCUUUAUAUCCUUGCACCAAGUCCAACAUUUUAUGAAUUUGUUUUAGGUCCAACCAAGAUUUUAAAAAAGCUAAAAGUGAAAUACUAAAAGAAAAAGAUUUUAUUUCAAGUGCUUCUUAUAAAUAUAUGGAUUGUGGAACUAACUAAUUUACAUUUUUAUGAUAUGCAAUUAGUUGGAGGGUUCUACUACAUCAGAAAAAAAAUGUAGCAAAAACGUGUUCCACCAAUUCACCAACAAAAAAUGAGCCACCUAUACAAGUAGUUACUCCUUCUUAGUAUUCAUUUUGACACUUUGUCAAUGCAGGAGUUGAAUUAUACUACAAUCUUAAAAAUCUUUUAAAUUUUAAGCAGGUUAGUGAAAUAAGUGUUGAAGAAGGAACUACAUCAGCUAAUGCCAAGAGAACAACAGCAUCAUCACAAGUGAGUUUAUUUUAUUUAACAUAGCCUUCAUAUUAACUUGGUCUUUUUAUUAUUAUUAUUAUUAUUAUUAUUAUUCAAUUUUCAUGGAAUUGGAUUUGUAAGAAUCAAGCUCGAAGCUAAUUUCGAUAUAUCGAGAAGAAAAAAAAUUGGAAUCUAUUUGUUGUCAAAAUUCCGAUUUAAAUCGUAAAAUUCAGGAUUUUGCGACUUUAUUCACUUUCAGUGACUCAAAUCCAUAGCAAAAUUCUCAAAUAGGCAAAAUUCUAGUAAAAUCACAUCAAAAUCGUAAAAUCCAUACAAAAUCGAAGGAUUUUAAAGGGUUUGAAGGAUUUUAUCCAUUUUUGUAUAAGUAUUUUGUGGACAAUUUAUAACAUAUGUUUAACAUUAUUUUUGUUUUGGUAAAAUAUAUUGAUUUUGAUUCCUAUUUUACAAUUUCUUAUAUCAAUUUUACAAAAGUAGUUGAGUAAAAUCCUUCGAUUUUGAUAGCGAUUUUACGAUUCUCGAUUUUACUCUACCAUUUUAACUUGAAGUAAAAUCCUAAUUUUGACAACCUUGAAUCCACAGCUUUUGAAUUUUGGAAAAGUUUUAUUUAAGAAAGUAUAAUGUUAGACAAGUUUAGACCAUUUUAUCCUUGAUUCAUUUACAAAAAAUUAAUUCAUUGAAUGCAUGCUUUGGGUUUUUGUAAGGGUACAAAAGAAAAAAUAUCAUUAAUCCAAAAAAAUAUUAAGACUUGAUGAUGAUAUCAUUUGUUUAUUUGAAUUUGUGUAGGAAUGUGGUGACUGCCAAAUAGUCAUACCUUCUCAGGAUGUUGAUAUUAACAUCAAUGAUGAUCAAGGUGAUGAAGACUCUUUAGAUCAAUUAUAUUUUCUUUAGUUACCUCAUCACUCACCCUUUUCAUUUUGAACUUUAACUCUCUUCUCUCACACCAUUUGUUCAGUUUCUGUAAAUGAUGAUGCUGUCAUAAAAGUAAAGGAACAAUUAUCUAAGGAUGUUGAAUUUAAAGUUCCAGAAUCUAUCAUUCCUUUGCCUCAAGAAUUUCAAACUCCUUCAAUGCUAUCCGGAGGUAUAGAUUUUCUCCCUUAUCUUAAAAACUUAAUUUUGUGCUAAAAAUAGGAUUAAUUAUUCUUUCCUUUACUUUCAGGAGACCCUUCUCAAAAUGUAGAAGAUUUAAGUUCUUCUUUGUUUGUCAAGAGUGAGCUUGAGCAACUAGUCUCCAAGAAUCAUUUGGAUUAUGAGAACUUAUCUCUAUUGACAGGUUUCCUUGUUAAAAAUCCUUCUGUUCGUUUAAAAGACAAUUCACUGCGUAAUAGAUUCAAGGGUUGUGCUUACAACUUAUUGGCAGAGCUAUUGAAAUUCCUUGAAACUCAUAGUGUCUUGGAUGUAUUAGGCUCAUGCCACUCUGAAUUUGUGGAUCUACUACUAGAUGCGCGCAACUUUGGUUUUGAUAAGGAUUGGUUGGAUAGUGUCGAAAGGCGGGCUAUGUUUCCUGAUAUACAAAUAUCUCAAGACGCCAUGCAAAAAUUAUUGGAUUCCAAGCAACAAAUUACCAAGGAAGUUGAAGUGUUGCAUUUAAAGAUAGAGAUUUUAAGUCAACAUGUGGAAGAUCUUAAGCAUCAAUUGACAUCCUCUAAAGCUGUUUUGAAGAAUAUAAUUCAACAAGAGGCGGUUUUAAGUGCACCUAUUGGUUAUUAGACUAUAUUUUCAAGUACUUUUAUUUCAUCAUUGCUGCUUUGUUAUGCUUUUCAUUGUGGGAACCUUUGUUCUUCAAUAUUUUUUAAUAAGGUUUUGAUUGGAUGGUGUCAAAAAGUGCGCUUUGUUUCUUGAUUUCCAGGUUUUGACUCUACAGGUGAGGAGUCUUCCGCCUAAUUCUACCCAAAGCCCCAAUCUCUUCCCGUAACCAAGAGACUUCAUCCUAAUAGUGUUUCCCAAGGUGAAUCAAUCCUCAAACCCUAGUGUUUGUUCCCAAGAGACAAACUCUAGUUUUGUUGUUGCCUUUCUAAACCCUUGUUUCAGCCCCCUCUAUCUCAAGGUUUACUCUGAUACAACGCAUAUAUUUAUAGUAAAAGAAUCCUCAAUAAAACUGGAACAAAUCUAGGCCCGAAAAUACGUUUCUGUUUUAUUUUCUGCUGUCAAAAUCGGCCACCGAAUGCUCCAAAUCGGUCGCUGAUUUUUGCCGAACCAAUAAACAAAAAACCAGAGUGCAAAAUCGGCCACCGAUUUUCUACUUCCAGAAUUCCAAUUUCUUCAAUUUUGAGGCACUUUCACAACAAUCUCCACCUUGACUUUAAAUUAAUGAUGAUGCCAAACCAUCAACCACCAUGCUGCUCUUUCCCUUGCUUCCCACUACACCAAGUAGCUCCACAAGUUUACACCUUAAUCCCUUCAGCCAUCGGAAUGUCUUCCUCCUUCUCAAAGGUCCUUGCAGUCCAACUACACUAGAAAUUUUAGGUAGUUCCACAAGCAUUCACCUUAACCUCUUCAGCCAUCGGAACGUCUUCCGUCUUCUCGAAGAAUCCUUGCAGUCCAACUACAUUAGGUGUUUUAGGUAGUUUCACAAGCAUUCACCAUAACCUCUUCAACACAUGACAUCUUCCGCUUCCUUGAAAGUCUCCUUGCUUCCAAUCACCCUUGGCCUUUUUUUAGGGUAAUCCCGCAAGUUGCGCUAUACAUUCUUCAACCUCCGGAAUGCCUUUCGUCUUCAUGAAGAAAUCCCUUGCUCGCCAUAGAGCAUAGCACCCAAGGUCAUCCAUAGUCGUACCAUUACCGGUGUGUUCAACUCCACCUCAAGCUGAGCGUACUCUACCUCAACUAGCAAAUGCGUACAUCCCACUAUGUCUUCAACCUUGAAACUCCACCUCAACAGGUAGAUCAUGAGUAUUAUAGAUUUGUCAUGACCCACCUCAAUUUAGUAACAAGGGUCUUCAAACUAAAUCAUGACCGUCGGUGGGUUUUCUUUAGACUUGGAAUUAUAUUACAAAUGUGAAAGUGAGACCAAUAAUUGAAUUGCUUUAUAUCAACAAUGAUGACUAGCUAGCUGUAAAGAUUGUCAAUAAUGGAAACAUCACUUUAUACUAAAGUGUUGAACAAGAUUAAAACAAGAUAUUGAAAUUAUUGUUUAGAUGUGUCUAGAAAGCGACCUGAAUCUUGCAACUCAAUGCAGUCGAUCAGAUCAGUGCAAGCUUGAGGAAUUACAAUUGUGGAAACUCAGCUCACCUCGACUAAUUUCAGUUUCCAUAAUCCACUCACCCAUUAACAAAAAAGAUUUAUCCUUAGCCAAUAAAAUUGUGCAAUUGAACGAUUCGUGGAAAAUUAUUCAUCAACGCAUCAUAUUUUGAGUGAUGAAAGGUGGAUUUCUCGGAUCUCAUCAUAAGAUCCCUCAUCAUAAUACCCCCACAAAAAAUUAUAAGAAAAAUUAUUCAUCGACACAUCAUAUUGAGAAAUUACAAAAACUUGUGUGUUUCAUUCCAUUGGAUAUAUCUAAAAUUGAGGGAAUGAAAAAAAAUAAAUGGUAUUAGAUGGAACGGAUUUCAUCAUGCUCCAUUUUAUUUCUGUCAUUUCUUUUACAAAAUCAAUCAAUGGAAUAUGAUUUUACCCCGCUCCGCUCCACCAUUUUCCAUUGAUACAAGUCUUAGGUUUUAUUAUGAGUUUAAAGGGGAAAAGAGAGCUUUGAAAAAAAUUAUAAGUUGUUUUAAGAAAGAAAAAAAUUGUCAUAAAUUAUAAAUCACUUUACAAUAUCAAUAAAAUAUGGGAAAUGCUAACUGGUGCCCCCAAGACACUGGUUAAGGAUAUGAAAAAAGAAAUUAAAUAGUAGUUAAUGCAUUGAAAUUGUAUAAUUAAUUUAUAAUAAAGUCAAAAGCAGAUUCCUUUUAUGGUAAUAAUUCCCUUUUAUGGUAUACUUAAACAGUGCUCUGAAGACACCGGUUAGCCCAUAAAAUAUUAAAAGUCAUUUUGAGAAAGAAAAGAUUUAAUUUGCAUACACGACAAUGUAAGUUCCUAAAAUAUCUUUGGAAAUACGUUUUAUGAUUUGAUUUGUUGAACAUCCUACCUUAGAUGACUAAAUCUAUAUGUUGAUCUUAUAUUUAUAUUUUAAAAAGAUUAAAAGAUAAACAUGAUAUAUCAUGUUGUAAUUGUACAGACCUUCCGGAUAUGUAAAUUUAGGGUGCGUUUGUUUCAAGUUAUAUUCGUAUAUUCUUAGGAAUAAAAAGAUAGAAAUAUACAUGCUUAUGUUUGUUACAAGAUUAGUAAAUUUUAUUUUCGGAUAUAAAACGUUCUUGGGAAUAGAAAUAUAUUAUCAAAAUAUAGAUUUGUCAUGACCCACCACAAUUUAGUAACAAGAGUCUUCAAACUAAAUCAUGACCGUCGGUGGGUUUUCUUUAGACUUGGAAUUAUAUUACAAAUGUGAAAGUGAGACCAAUAAUUGAAUUGCUUUAUAUCAACAAUGAUGACUAGCUAGCUGUAAAGAUUGUCAAUAAUGGAAACAUCACUUUAUACUACAGUGUUGAACAAGAUACAAACAAAAUAUUGAAAUUCUUGUUCUCAUCGUGGGUUAUUGUUUAGAUGUGUCUAGAAAGCGACCUGAAUCUUGCUUGCAACUCAAUGCAGUCGAUCAGAUCAGUCCAAGCUUUCAUAGUUGAGGUUUUCAGUUUCCAUAAUCCACUCACCCAUUAACAAAAAAGAUUUAUCCACCACACUUUAGCUAGCUACCACACUUUUAACUCAAGUUUUCUAAAAUUGUUGGAAAGAUUGUCUAGUUGUUGAACCAAAAUUAAGCCUCCAAAGUAUAUUUCUACAGCAGAGUUGCUCAUACGGCUUGAACAUUUGCUGAAAGUGUGCUGGAGUUAAGGUAACCAACAAACAAUCAUGCUUUAACAAUUUUCAGUCGAUAUUUUAAUUAAUUGUUUACAGUGACCAAGUUCUAGAUUUCAUACGAUUAUUACAAGGGUUUAUAAAUCAACUUGAGUUUUAUGCUUUCUAUUAUCUUUUAGACAAACUCUAAAACAAAACUCUAACACUUAUAUUAAUAUUUAACCAUCGUAAACAAAAAAAUAAUUCAAUAAACCAAAGUAUUCAAAAUUGUCUUUAAUGAGAAUCUUUUACAAAUGAAUUGUUUGCACUAUCUUUAAAGAUUCUUGUGAUUCUAGGUACUGCAGACCGGAGAAGGAUGAGGAAGAUUGUUCAUGAGACUUGAGUAUGCGUUGAAUGUGCCGAAAAUACUGUGUUGGAAAGAUCAGGUAAAUAUCAAUUUCAUUUUGCUUCAUCAUUCAUUCAAAUAUAAAGUAGGUUUUCUGAAAUUGUUGGAAAGAUUGUCUAGUUGUUGAACCAAAGUAUAUUUCUACAGCAGAGUUUCAAUGAACGCUUGAACAUUUGCUGAAAGUGCUGGAGAUAAGGUAACCAACAAACAAUCAUACUUUAACAAUUUUCAGUCUAUUUUAAUUAAUUGUUUACAAAGGUUUAUAAAUCAACUAGAGAAACCAACUCGAGUUGAUAAGGUAGAAUCAAACAUAGUCUAUAAGGAAUUUUUUGCAGUGAAUAUUACUCCUAAUUCUCUAAAUUCUAGCUGCUGCCUGCUGUCGAGAAAGAAAAAUAUUGUUAAAAAGUACGUCCUUACAACAGUAACACAAUUGAGGUAGAAAAUAAUCUCAUGGUUGUUUUUCUUUUAUCACUUCCUCAGAUUUUCUAUUUGUAUAUGAUUUCCAAUUUUGGUCUUCACUCUACUUUUCUACAUGGUCCUUUUUUCAUGACUUGUUUAUCAUUUUCAAAGAUAAAUUGGGUAUUCAGAGAUUGGCUUAAAGGAUCUUAAACUUUAAUAUUGGAUGAACUCCCAUUUGAACUUUCUCAAAUAUUUGUUUGAACAAGCUAAGAAAAUUCUUUGAUGAAAAGUGUGUCAUCAACUAUCAUUUUUCAAAUUAACAGACCCUGAAUGAAGAAAAUCUUCUUACAAUAAAAGAACAUGAAUGAUAUGCUAUGAGAAUGAGAUUCAUUAUCAACCAUUGUAUUUUUCAACAUACACAAACAUAUGUCUAACUUUGAUGUAUUGAAAUUCAUUUAGAUGGCGAGUUUUCUAACUGAUUUGGCGAAGACCUAUGUGGAGAAAUUGAUAAAUGGGGUGAUCGCAGAGUCAAGUUAUAUAUGUUGCUUCACGUGCAUUGCUAAUGAUUUUGAAGAAGAAAGAUCUAGAUUGGAAACAGAAAACACAACUGUCAAGCAACGUGUUGAUGUGGCAACCAGUAGAGGAGAAGUUAUUCAAGCUAAUGCUCUUUUUUGGGAAAAAGAAGCUGAUGAGCUCAUUCAAGAAGACACCAAAACAAAACAAAAAUGUCUUUUUGGAUUUUGUCCUCAUAUCAUAUGGCGAUAUAAAAAGGGAAAGGAACUGACAAAUAAGAAGGAGCAAAUUAAAAGAUUGAUUGAAAAUGGAAAGGAUCUUGUAAUUGGACUCCCUGCUCCUCUUCCAGAUGUUGAACGUUAUUCAUCCAGAGACUAUAUUUCUUUUGAAAGUAGAAAAUCCAAAUACAAAGAGCUUUUUGAUGCUCUGAAAGAUGACAACAGUUAUAUAACCGGGUUGCAAGGGAUGGGGGGCACAGGAAAAACUACAUUGGCCAAAAAAGUGGGGAAGGAACUUAAGCAAUGCAAACAAUUUACUAACGUCAUCGAUACAACAGUGUCAUUGUCUCCUGAUAUCAGAAAGAUUCAAGAUGAUAUCGCUGGACCCUUGGGAUUGAAAUUUGACGACUGUAGUGAAUCAGACCGACCCAAAAAACUAUGGAGCAGAUUAACCAAUGAAGGUAAGAUUGAUCAGAACGAGGAAAAGAAGAUUCUUCUAAUAUUUGAUGAUGUGUGGGAUGAUAUCGAUUUUGAUAAAAUAGGGAUUCCUGACAAUCACAAAGACUGUAGAAUUCUUGUAACCACACGCAGUCUCUCUGUCUGCCACAGAUUAGGAUGCAAUAAGAAAAUCCAACUGGAGGUCUUAUCUGAUGAAGAAGCAUGGACCAUGUUCCAAACGCAUGCUGGUCUAAAAGAAAUGUCACCUACAAGUUUGCUCGACAAGGGCCGUAAAAUUGCAAAUGAAUGCAAAGGAUUACCAGUUGCAAUUGCUGUUAUCGCCAGUAGUUUGAAGGGCAUACAAAAUCCGAAAGUGUGGGAUGGGGCCUUAAAAUCCUUGCAGAAACCCAUGCCCGGUGAUGAGGAAGUUGUUAAAAUUUAUAAAUGCUUGGAUGUUAGCUAUGAUAAUAUGAAGAAUGAGAAUGCCAUGAGACUAUUCCUCUUGUGUUCUGUAUUUCGAGAAGAUGAAAAAAUUUCUAUCGAAAGGUUAACCAGACUUGGCAUCGGAGGAGGCCUUUUUGGGGACGAUUUUGACAGCUAUGAUGAUGCUCGAAACCAAGUUGUUAUAUCCACAACUAAACUCGUAGAAUUUUCUUUAUUGUUGGAGGCCGAUCGAGAUCAAAGCAUCCUGAUAAUGCAUGACUUGGUUCGUGAUGCAGCCCAAUGGACGAGCAGAGAGUUUCAAAGAGUAAAGUUAUAUCAUAAAUAUCAAAAAGCAAGUGUUGAAAAGAAGAUGAAUAUUAAAUAUUUGUUAUGUGAAGGCAAGCCUAAGGAUGUGUUUUCAUUUAAGCUUGAUGGUUCCAAGCUUGAGAUUCUAAUUGUCAUUAUGCAUAAGGAUGAAGAUUGUCAGAAUGUGAAAAUCGAAGUCCCGAACUCAUUUUUUGAAAAUAUUACGGGCCUUCGAGUUUUUCAUCUAAUAUAUGACCAGUAUCCUACUAUACCUCUAUCAUUACCUCACUCAGUUCAAUCGAUGAAAAAUAUUCGAUCUCUUCUCUUUGAGCGUGUCAAUUUGGGUGACAUCUCUAUUUUGGGAAACCUGCAAAGCCUUGAGACUCUUGAUUUGGAUGAUUGUAAAAUUGAUGAAUUGCCUCAUGGAAUUGCAAAACUAGAGAAAUUUCGAUUGUUGAAAUUGGAAAGUUGUGAAAUUGCAAGGAAUAAUCCUUUUGAAGUGAUUGAAGGAUGCUCAUCACUUGAAGAGUUGUAUUUCACAGAUAGCUUUAAUGAUUGUUGCAAAGAAAUAACUUUCCCUAAACUACGAAGGUUUAAUAUUGAUGAAUAUUCGAGUUCAGAGGACGAAUCAUCAUCAAAGUGUGUGUCUAUUGUAUUCGAAGAUAAGUUUUUCCUAACUGAAACAACACUCAAGUAUUGCAUGCAAGAAGCAGAGGUUCUUAGACUAAGAAGAAUCGAGGGGGAAUGGAAAAACAUCAUACCUGAGAUUGUUCCCAUGGAUCAAGGUAUGAAUGAUAUAGUUGAGCUUCGUUUGGGAUCCAUUUCACAAUUACAGUGCCUCAUUGAUACUAAGCACACUGAAUCUCAAGUGUCAAAAGUCUUCUCCAAGUUGGUUGUACUAAAACUUUGGAACCAACAUAAUUUGGAAGAAUUGUUCAAUGGUCCUCUUUCCUUUGACUCUCUGAACUUUUUAGAGAAGUUGUCCAUCCAAGAUUGUAAACAUUUGAAAAGCUUAUUUAAGUGCAAACUAAACCUAUUCAAUCUAAAGAGAUUGUCAUUGAAAGGAUGCCCGAUGUUGAUCUCCCUAUUUCAACUGUCAACUGUUGUUAGCCUAGUGUUGUUGGAGAGAUUGAAAAUAAAGGAUUGUGAGGGUCUUGAAAACAUAAUAAUAGGUGAAAGAAAAGGGAAGGAAUCAAGAGGUGAAAUUAUUAAUGAUAAUGAAAGCACAAGUCAAGGCUCAAUAUUUCAGAAACUGGAGGUUCUUAGUAUUGAGAAAUGUCCGGCACUUGAAUUUGUACUUCCGUUUCUCUAUGCUCAUGAUUUUCCAGCACUAGAAUCCAUCACAAUUGAAAGUUGUGAUAAUCUGAAAUACAUAUUUGGCAAAGAUGUCCAGCUUGGUUCCCUCAAAACAAUGGAGCUUCAUGACAUACCAAAUUUCAUCGACAUUUUCCCAAAAUGUAAUCGUACCAUGACUUCAUCCAUUAAGAGGUCAUCUUCCAUUUCUGGAGAUGCUUCCAAGCCACAAGAACAAUCAGAGCCAAUCAAAUGCAAUAUGUUUUCAUGGACUGAUAUAUAUUGUUGUGGUAAAAUAUAUGGGCACAGAUUAAGGAGUACCACAUUGGUUUCUAAGGAUCAACCGCAGGACAAUUUAAUGGUAACCCUCUUACCUUCUAUUUCUUCUGUGAUGUUAUUUUUUGUAAUUUUUUUAAUACGAUACUAUUGAUCUCUGAAGCAUGGGUACAUUUAAAACGGGGGUACGCGUACGGUGCUUAUGGUACUUCAUUUUAGUUCAUUAUUCUAUUGUGAUUUUUUUUUUUUGAGGUAUUAUUCUAUUGUGAUUGAAAAUUGUGACUUUCUCUUAUUUAUUAAUAUGAUAAUAUAGUAUUAUAUUUGCAUAGGAGUUUUUUGUGGUUGUAAACAGCUAAAUUUUCUUACUAUUUAAACUUUUUAUUGUGAUGUUUUUAUAAUAAAUUGAAGAAUUUAGCCCUCUCAUGUUAUAUUAUAUAGCAAAACUCAUGAUUUUAUUGACGUACCCGUUCUUUAGUUUUUUUAAAAAUAAACAUCUUCUUGUACCAGUACCCGUAUCAUAUUUGUACUCAUACCUAUGCAACAUAGUUAUUGAUACAAUUUAUUUUUUGGAAAAAAAAAACUAUUUUUAAAUUCAUUUUAUUAGACAUCGUAUGCUUGAAGAUUACUAUUAAUGUACAGUUUUUAUUUGGGUAGAAAUAAGAGAUAUUUAACUUCUAUUUUUAUUUGGAUGACAUGAUUGCAGAAAUCAACAUUUCCACCUUUGAAAGAACUUGAACUCAAUAACUGCGGGGACGGUAAAAUCAUCAAGGUAUCUCUAUUUUGUAUAUCUUUGUUAUUUGUGAAUCUAAACUUCAUAAUUUUAAGUCAUCAUAUAUUUUUAAAUGAUUUUUUUUUUUUUUAUAAAAAGUUCCCCCACAUAAAUUUCUCUAUUUUUGUUACUUAUUAUAUUUUGAUGUUUAAAAAGUUUAUAUUUCAUUCAUCUUAUGCUAAACAAAAAUUGUGGAGCAACAUUGAAUAAUGUUCAAACCAUGCCUGUAAUUAGGAUUUUAAAAGACAAUUUUUGUAUAAAAAAAGUCUUGUGGAUUUUAAAAGACUUUGAAAAAUCAAUCCUUUAUAUGCUUGGUAACAUAUAGUGAUGAAAUUCAAAAAGAAAUUCAAUUUUGAUUGCAAUGUUUUUUGAAGCAUGACAGACAUUGUGAUGAUAGUUUGAUACUGUAUUUCAUUCCAUAAAUAAUUGGCAUGGAUGAGAAAGUAUUAUAAAAAUGUCAGGAAGUUAUUGUGUGGGAGUUUGGCUAUCACAUUUUAUGGUAUAACAGACUGUGAAAAUGGAAGGGAUGAAGCUACAUAAAAAACAUAUUUGAUAGAAGGACAUGAGAGAAAGGGGAAGGAGAUAAGGGAGAUGUAAAAACAAAAAAGAAAUAAAAAAAUGAGAAUCCAUAGAAAUCUCAUGAUGUUGGUAAAGACUUUUUAAAGCUAAAAAAUCCCUAAAAUUAAAAGUCCAUCAAAAUCCAUAGAAAUCCCAUUUUUUUAACAAUCCAUCGAAAUCAGAAUUUUUUUUAAUACCACAAGACUUUUUGAAAGUUGUAAAAAGUUUUGAUUGAAUAUCACAAGAUUUCUAGACUUUGUUUUAAAAGUCUAGAAAAUCCUAAUCGAAUACCACUAAACUUUUUUAAUUUAAACAAAAGUCUUGAUUGAAUACCCCAUGACUUUUUCAUCAUAAAAAAGUCUUUUAAAAUCCUUCCAAAUCCCAAUUGAAUACACCCCAUAAAAAAAUUAAAAUUCAAAGGAUAAUUAAACAUGUUUGGUUUCAUCAUAAACUGUCAAUGAUAGAAAAUAAUUAUUUUUUCUUCAAAAAACAAUCAAUUUAAUUAUUAUAAUUAAAUUUUAUUUCAUCGACGCUUGUGGUAAAUAAGAUUUAAUUAUUAUAAUUGUCAAUGAUAGAAAAUAAUUAUUUUUUCUUCAAAAAACAAUUAAUUUAAUUAUUAUAAGUAAAUUUUAUUUCAUCGACGCUUUUGGUAAAUAAGAUUUAAUUAUUAUAAUUGUCAAUGAUAGAAAAUAAUUAUUUUUUCUUCAAAAAACAAUCAAUUUAAUAUUUGGUGUACUGGUACACUCAAAAUGUUGGAUGUACCAUAGAAUUUGCCAAAUUUUAAACUUCUAUACUUUAAUUUAAUGAAAUGACAAGGAAGAAAAUAAAAGCUAACAAUAGUUAUCUAUAAAAUUUGAGUUCUAUAUGAAGUUUUCAGAAGUCAAAGUUAUCCAUAAUUGACACUAAACUAAUUAGAAUAUCAAUAUUUUUUUAAGAGCAUCUCUCUUUGAACCAAACAAAAUUGUUUGGCGUAAUCAAACAAUAUAUUAAUGAACUAGCUACUUGUAAAAACUAUGUUAAUUAUUCAAGAUAUGUUUUUCUUUUGAGGUGGCCAAUGAUACCCAUUGUUAUGAAGCCCUUCGUCCUUGUCUACAACUUAUAUGAAAAUGUGAAUGUGGGGGUUGAUUCAAUGGAGGAAGGGUAGCAGAUUGAAAAACAAAAAGGUUGGAGUGUUGAAAAUUAAAUAACAAUAUUAAUUUAAUUAAAUACUGUAGUGCUUUCUUUUUGUUACAUUAUAUUGUAAUAAUUUAUUCCAGAGCCUUUUAUCAUCUCUAUUGUACUUAUAUGACUUUGUUAUUCUUAUUUUAUGCAUUGUGUUUAUUUCCCAUUCAUUUAUUACAGGAAUUGAGUGGGAAUGUGGAUAAUUUUCUCGCUUUGGAGAGACUCAUGGUAACGAAUAACUCCAAAGUAGAAAGUAUCUUUUGUCUGAAUGAAAUAAAUGAACAGCAAAUGAACUUAGCUUUGGAAGACAUUGAUUUGGAUGUUCUGCCUAUGAUGACAUGCCUUUUUGUGGGUCCCAACAAUUCGUUCUCCCUCCAAAACCUUACAAGAAUAAAAAUCAAGGGAUGUGAAAAGUUGAAAAUUGUUUUCACCACUUCUGUAAUAAGGUGUCUACCACAGUUGUAUUAUAUGAGAAUUGAAGAGUGCAAUGAGUUGAAGCAUAUUAUUGAAGAUGAUUUGGAGAAUACAACAAAGACAUGCUUCCCAAAUCUAAAAAGAAUUGUUGUAAUAAAGUGCAACAAGUUGAAAUAUGUCUUUUCAAUUUCCAUAUAUAAAGACCUUCCUGCGCUAUAUCAUAUGAGAAUUGAAGAAUGCAAUGAGUUGAGGCAUAUUAUUGAAGAUGAUUUGGAGAAUAAAAAAUCCUCAAAUUUUAUGUCCACAACAAAGACAUGCUUCCCAAAGCUAAGAAUACUUGUUGUGGAAAAGUGCAACAAGUUGAAAUAUGUGUUUCCAAUCUCCAUAUCUAAAGAGCUUCCUGAGCUAAAGGUUCUGAUCAUAAGAGAAGCAGAUGAGUUAGAGGAAAUAUUUGUAAGUGAAUUUGAUGAUCACAAAGUGGAGAUUCCAAAUCUAAAACUUGUAAUAUUUGAAAAUCUACCAAGCCUCUAUCAUGCUCAGGGAAUUCAAUUUCAAGUUGUAAAACAUCGUUUCAUACUGAAUUGUCAAAAACUAUCUCUGGCUUCAGAGUCAACACCAGACUUCGAAAAUGAUAUUUCUGCUUCAGAUUUUGGCUACGGUACAGACUCUAUCCAAUAUAUUUUUAAAAACUAUUACAUGUUGGCCGUAAAUAAUUACAUAUCAUGCAUUAGUAUUGUUAAAGGAUAAAAACAAUUGAAUCUUCAAAAGUAGCGAUAUCACGUAUGCAUGCAUAAGUAGUGACCUAUCGAAUAGGAGCUUUAAUUUUAUGUAAAAUUUAAUUAUUAUGUAGAUAGAUAACCAAUAUUGUGCAUGUUUAAACUUAAAAAUGAUGAUAUACAAUUGAAAGCGGAAGUUUUUAUUUUUAUUUUAUUUUUUGUGGUGUCUAGGGUUUGAACCUUGAACCUUGCAUAUUUUAUACAUUAUUCUUACCAACUGAGCUAAGCUCAGAAGGAUGUUAAUCACUAUUAUGCUUGAGUUACUAUAUAAGGAUGUUAAUCUCUAUUAUACUUUGCCUGUAGAUUUUGAAUUGUUUGACUAUUGGAAGACUCUGUUUCAACAAUUACAAAGAGAGACCAAAGGCCACGAUAGUGGUAAUGAAAAUCCUAGUCCACAAACCACGAAAGAUUUUGUGGUUGGGAUUGAAGUUCAAACAGCAUCGGAACACAAGUUGACUUCUCCACAGGUAAAUACUAAUAAAUAGUUUGAGGUUAGGAUUGAAGUCCAGAAAUCCUGUGCUUACCACUUCUGAAUCCAAUCACCAUGACAAUAUAUUUGAAUCAAGGAUGCUAUUCUUUUGUGCAGAUAAAAAUGAAAGAAACACCACAGACGGAGAAUGAACUUAUUGAAAAUGCUCCUGAUUUAGAAAUACCAACAAACUUAAAAGUGAUUUCUAGUCCAUGUUUGAAUUGAGUUAGAUAUUUAAUUGAUGCAAUUAAUAGCUGAAGAUCAUUAAUGCCUAUGUUCUUGUUACAGGAGUUGAUGAAUGAACGAUCAAUGGACCAACAACGUUCACUUGGAGAAACUGAUACUGCCGUCAAACCUUCUCAGGUAAAUCAUGUAAUAUCGUACCACCGCAUUGUGCAUAUAAAGCUAAACAAAAGGCAUUUCCCUCAUUUUGCUAGUAUUCUUUUGAACACUUUGUCAAUGCAGGAAUUGAAUUAUACUACAAUCUUAAACAUCCAUUUAAUUUUAAGCAGGGUAUCGAAAUAAGUGCUGAAGAAGGAACCACGUCAGCUAAUGCCAAGACAAUAACAACAUCAUUAGGUCCAUUAUCUACUUCUAAGCAUAAAACAUCUUCACAGGUGAGUUUAUUAUAUAUAACAAAGCCUUCAAAUUAACAUAGUCUUCUGUUUGUAGGUAUUGCUGUCAUAUUUUUCUUUUUGUUAUUAUUUAAUUGCAAUGGAAUUGGAUUUGUAAGAAUCAAGCUUUAAACUAAUUUUGAUAUAUAAAGAGGAAAAAAAAUUGGAAUCUACAGCUUUUAAAUUUUGGAAAAGUUAUGUUGCUGUCAUAUUUUGGAAAACUAAUUUUGAUAUAUCAAAAUGAUUUGUCCACUUGAGAAACAUGAGGGAAAACUAACAGACGCAAUCCAUUCCAUUCCCUACUCUCUCGUUCCGAACCUUUCGUCCUUUUUAGUUUGGCUACAGAUAUUAAGAAAGUACAAAAUUAGACAGGUUUAGUCCAUUGUGUCUUGCUUUCCUAAUAGAACCAAAGUUUUGGGACAAAAAUAAAAAGCUGAAAGAACCAAAGAUCAAGAACCGGCGGAGUAAUAUGUAUUGAGGCUAAUCCUAAAAAACAUAUCAAGACUUCAUGAUGAUAUCAUUUGUAUGUUUGAACUUGAAUUUUUGUAGGAAUAUGGUGGCGGCGAAAUGGCCAUAUCUUCUCCAAUUUCCAUAACAAGGCCUCUUACCACUCAAGAAGUUCAUGUUAAUAACUUGCAGGAAACUAGUAACACUAAUGAUGAUCAAGGUGAAGAGUCUUAGGAUCAAUUUUAUUUUCUUAAGUUAUCUCAUCACCCUUUUCAUUUUGAAGUUUAAAUCUCUUCUCUCACACCUUUUGUUCAGUUUCUCUAAAUGAGGAUGCUGUCGUAAAAGUAACCUCAAUUGUUGAGGAACAAUUUUCUAAGGAUGUUGAAUUUGAAGUUCUAGAAUCGAAGCCUGCCCUUAUCAUUCCUUCGCCUCAAGCAUUUCAAUCUCCUUCGAUGCUAUCCGGAGGUAUAGAUUUUCUCCCUUCAUUUUAUUUUUAAGAACAUUAUUUGGUACUCGGAGAGGACUAAUUAUCAUUUUCUAUACUUUCAGGGGACCCUUCUCAACUAGAUGAAGAAUUAGUAAGUUCAUCAUCAGGUCCAUUGUUUCAUUAAUAAUUGCCAUUCGAUAGGUUUCCUAUGAAACAAGAUUUAAACUAAUUCUUAUAUAAAGAUUUUUUUUUUAAGUCUAUUGCUUCCGAAUCUUACAUUCAAACUUAAGGGAAUUGUUGCUCAAUAUUUGUAGAUGCUUAACACUGAAAUUCUUGUUUUCUAUUUUUAAUUUUAUCUGUAGUGGAAUCAGACUCUUGCAAAAUAUAAUAUAUGGUGUAAAAUAUAGUGAGGUUGAUCCAUUAUAAGAUAUGAUAUAUCAUUUAGUGAUUUAAAUCUGUGUAGGAAGAUCUUGAACCCCGGGGUUUGCAUAUUUUACGCAUUGUCCGUACCAACUGAGCUAAGCUUACGAGGACAUUCUAUUUAUUCAAGUUAACCACAUAUGAAUACAAUCAUCAAUGCAAUGUAUUUGAAUCAAACAUUUAUUUUUGAUGCAGGAAGAAAUGGAACAAACACUAGAGACAAAGCAUGAAUUUGUUGAAAAUGUUCCUCAACAAGAGAUGCCAUCAGUAGCAAUAAUACCAACAAAUUCAAAAGUAAUUUGAAGGCCAUGUGAAAAUCACUUGGAUAUUCCUCUCCAAAUAUAUACAUAUUCAAUAUUAGUCUAGUAAUGAAAUAAUUCAUAUGUUCUUACUACAGGAGUUGAUGAAUGAACAAGAAAUGGAGCAAAAACGUCUACGUGGAGAAAUUGAUGCUACCGUCAAACCUUCUCAAGAAAAUAAUGUAAUAUAGUACCACCUCAUUGUGCAUAUAAAUCUAAAAAAGAAACGUUAAAAAUAUGUUGCAACUAAUUUACAUUUUCAUGUUAUGCAAUCAGUUGGAAGCAUCAACUUUGUCGACCAUUUUCUUGUAUUCUUUUUCACACUUUGUCAGUACAGAAAUUGAAUUAUACUACAAUAUUGACAGGUUAGCGAAAUAAGUGUUGAAGAAGGAACUACAUCAGCUAAUGCCAAGACAAAAACAUCUUCACAGGUCUUCUUCUUACAAGUAUUAUUGUUCAUUUUUUAUAUAUUUCAUUGCGUUGGGAGCCUACUGCUUUUGACAUUUUGAUUCUUUUGUUUUAUAUUUUUUUCUAUAAUGAAGUAAGCCUAUUUCAGACGAAAAUAUCUAUAGCGUGGCUGAUCCUAUAAAUAUUAAGAAUUCAUAAUGAUAUCAUUCUUUUAUUUGAAUUUUGUAGGAAGAAGGUGACAACCAAAGAGCAAUAGCUUAUACUCCAAUUGACAUAACAAAGCCUGUAACCACUCAAGAUGUUGAUGUUGAAAUCUGGCAGGAAACUAGUAACACUAAUGAUGAUCAAGGUGAAGAAUCUUUGGAUCGCUUUUAUUUUCUUAAGUUACCUCAUCGCCCUUUUUAUUUUGAAGUUUAGCUCUCUUGUUUCCCAUCUUUUGUCAGUUUCUCUAAAUGAUGAUAAUGUCAUGAAAGCAAGCUCAAAUACUGAGGAUCAGUUUUCAAAGGAUGAUAACAUAUUAGUUUCCAAAUCAAGACCCUCUUCUAUUGCAUCUCAGUUUCCUUCAAAGCCUUCUGAAGGUAUUUUAUUUCUUUGUUUUAUUUUUAAUUAAUUUACUUGUGCUUAAAUAUGCAUAAUUAUUCUUUCCUAUACUUUCAGGGGACCCUUCUCAAAUAGAUGAAGAUUUAAGUUCUUCUUUUGUUGUCACCGGGGAGCUUGAGAAUCUAGUCUCCAAUAAUCAUUUGGCUAUUGAGAAAUUGUCUUUGUUGACUGACUUCCUUGUUAAGCAUCCUUCAGUUCUUCUAAGGGACACUUCAUUGAGUAGCAGAUACAAGGGUUAUGCCUACAACAGCCUAGCAGAGCUAUUGAAAUUCCUUCAAACUCAUAGUGUGUUGGAUGUGUUAGGUUCAAGCAACUCUGAAUUUGUUGAGUUAUUACAAGAUGUGCGUAGAUUUCCGUUUGAUAAGGAGUGGUUGGAUGAUGUUGAAAUGCGCGCUUUGUUUCCUGAUUUACAAUUCUCUCAAAAUGCAUUGCAAAAACUAUUGGAUUCCGAGCAGCGUGUCACGAAAGAAGUUGAAGAGAUGCGUUUAAAGAUAAACAUUUUUAAUCAACAUCUUGAAGAUCUUAAGCAUCAAUUGACAUCCUCUGAAGCUGAUUUGGAGACUAUCAUUCAACAGAAAGCAAAAAUUUUAGAAACUAAGGCUGCUUUAAGUGCCCCUCUCGGCUAUUAAACUAUCGUUUGUUCUUGGAUUGGAGCUUUUUAUCAUUAAAUAUUGUUUAUUUCUUUGCUAUUUUCUGCUUUUCUCAUUUGAAAUGAGCUACUAUGCGUAUUUUUAAAUUGUUAUCGAUUAUUAUUGUUGUAUCAAACAAAGGAAACACCAAAUUAAGAAUAUUGGAAUCGCAUAAUGUUGAAGUGGAGCUAUGAUUCUUAAUUACAACAACCAUUAAUAUACUUACAACAAGCUACCAUAACUUUUGUUUACAUUGCGUUGUUGCUAUAAGAUAUAUCUGUUUCUAAAUUGUCACAACUACUCUGUAAUUAAAUCACCUCUGUUCGAACCCUGAGAAUGUAGGGCUUGAAACGUAACAAGGGAGAGCUUUAUCGUUAAUAUGUAGUCAUAUUCGAUUAAAGGAUUGCAAUACUCACUUUAUAUACCCAAAAAAAUAACCUCCAGUUUUAUCCAUCAUCUUUUAUUUUAUGAAAUUAUCUACCAUCUUUCUCUUAUAGUGAUCCCAUGUCAAAUUAAUAAAAUCUAGUCUGUAUGGACCUUCAUGACCGUCCGUGGCUAUAAUCUAAGAUGUGGGUCUUUGGCCUCUGCUCCCAGAAUAUGUGAUUUGGUUGUCAGAUCUCUAACAACAAACCUAAAUGUCGACUCAUCGUAUGCACACUCCAUCAACCGAAAUGCUGAAAAUGUCCCCUGAUCUUAAAAGAGGCACACAUGUUGAAAUAUAACAUUUGAACAAUCGUACUCCUCCAUCUACAGGCUCACAUCCAUUGCAACAUGUCUCCUCAAUGUUAUUACCACCCAAUAUGGAUGUAUUAGUGGUAUUUUUCUGCAUUUUAUCGCAAGAAACUUUGCAGCGUAGCCUAGUAAUAUGUUAGUGUGUAGCCUCUAAAGAUUGGAUAGAUUGUUCAGAUUUUUCAUCUCAGAACUUUUGAAAGGGCUAAGAAUAAAGUUGUCUGUUGUAUGUGAUUAGCUUGGAGCUAUUCUUGGAAAAGGGGAAAAGAAAGCAUUGUAUACAGCAAUUGAUGCACUUGGUACACCAGAAAAUUUGGAGAGGCUUUAUUUAGAGGUUCAAGCACCAAAUACCAAUCCAUCAUGCAAUUGUAUCUACAUGAACAUGAUCAUCCAGUAACUCAUAGGGACCUCAAGUGUGAUAUAACAUACUUGUCAAUGGACAUCUUGGACAAGCAAAAAUUGGUGACUUGGGAUUUCCAUACAUAAACAAUUUUUAACUUUUAAUGUUCAAGGUAUGCUACCAGCAACACUUUUCUGAUUUGAAGAUGCAAAAGCAUUGGAGUUUAUUGGAAAAUGCCUAGUGAAUUAUAUGUUUUAUUCUAAUAUAUUUCCACUUUGUUAAAAAUAACCAAGUUGACUUUGAAAUUUCACAAGAAUCUCUGAAUCUCUCUCUUUGAGGUUUCACAAUUUUACUGUUUUGAGCCGCCAGGAAUCAAUCAAUUGGUUGGUAGGUUAGAUUCCAAAUUCAUAUGAAAAGCAAAGUGUGAAGAAGCAUAAACCAGUUAUUAUAGUAUUAGUGAAUUACUUUGUGAAUCAACGUCCCUAUAAUAUGACAUACUAUCUAACUGAUGGUAUCUAACCUUCUUAUCCAACUUUCGUCAAAUCAAUUAGAUUUCCUCAAAGUGAAUCCGAUAAGUUAUUUGCAAAACAUCAGGAGAGCUGUCGGAAGGACAUCGAACGUGCUUUUGGAGUGCUUCAAGCUCGAUUUAAAAUCAUCCGUGAACCAGCUCGCUUGUGGGACAUAGCCGAUUUGGGUAUCAUCAUGAGGUCAUGCAUCAUAUUACAUAAUAUGAUUGUUGAGGAUGAACGAGAUACAUAGGUUCAACGUUGGACCGAUUUUGAGCAACCUGAGGGAAGUGGAUCUAGUACACCGCAACCAUACUCGACCGAGGUGUUACCAUCUUUUGCAAAUCAUGUGCGUGCUAGAUCCGAGUUGCGUGAUUCAAAUGUUCAUCACGAAUUGCAAGCAGAUCUAGUGAAGCACAUAUGGACAAAGUUUGGAAUGUAUAGUGAUUGAAGAUGAUUUGUAUUGUACUAAAUAAAUUCCUUGUGUGUUGUAUGUUUAGUUUAUUAUCUUGCAUUUUAAGUUAUUUGUGUGUCACGUGUUUAGUUUGUUGUCUUGCAUUUUAAGUUAUUUGUGUGUCUCAUUUUAAGUUAAGAAAAUAAAAAUAAAUUAUUUUAUAAAAUUUUGUUUUUCCAAAAAAACUAAAAAAUAAAUAGUUAAUUGUAUUAUUUUAAUUUAAUUAUAAUCGAUAAUUUUAGGGCUAAACUACACUUUUCGCCCCCUAUGUUUCAAAAUGUUGCAAUUUUGGCCCCCUAUUAAAAAAAAUGGCAAUUUUGGCCCCUUUCAUCCAAAAAUUGCUGAGAAGACGCCACGUGUCCCAAAAAAAGGGCCAUAAUCGCAACUUUUUGUAAAGAUAAGAGGUCAAAAAGCAUAUUUCCCUUAUGUUAGGAGGUCAAAAGAGCAUAUUUCCCUAAACAUAUGGGGCAAAAGGUGUAGUUUAGCCUAAUUUUAGGUAAUUAUAAAAACAAAAAUAUAAAAUUAAAUAAAAAUAAGAAAUAAAAGGUGGUGGGGUAGAGUGUUGACUGAAAAAACCAUUGGAGAGGCAAAAAAAUUGAAUGAGUGUUGAAUUAUGAGAGAGAAAAUUAUGUAGAGUGUUAGAAAUUGAAAAAGUGGGUGUUGAAGGGUAUUGAAAUUUUUUUACCAUUGAGAAUGGUCUUACUUAAAACCAAAUCGUGACCAUUGGUUGGUUUAGUUCUUGUGUAAUCAAUCAAUAACUGAAGCUUUAAAUCAACGACAAGACUUGACUAGCUAGCUAGCUGUGAGCCUGUGAAGUCUCUGAAUAAUUUAAUUGAACAUUUACUUUAUACGUUGGACCAUAAGUUUGUUAUCAGAACUACAAUAUCAAAUUAUUCACUUAAUGCUGAUUGCAGAAACAGCUCUGCUAAUUUAAUGCUAGCUACUGUCCAGUUGUUGAGAACAGAGAAUUGAUACAAUUGCAGCACAUCUUCCGCCUAUGGUAAUUUCUCUUUUAUCUUCUCCUUCUUACAUGCAAACAUAAUAAUAACUACCACUUUAUUAUUGCAUAUUUGCAUUUAUGAAAAGUUAUAACAAUCUCAGUAUGUUUUCUAAAAUUAUUGGAAAGACUGUCUAGUUGUUGAACCAUAAUUAUAUUUCUACAACAGAGUUGUUGCAGUAAACACUACCUCGCUACUGCAUAUUGGAGAAUGAUCUUCAACAUUUGCUGAAACUGCUGGAACUAAGGUAAUCAUACUUUUAACAAUUUUAAUUAAUUUCUUAAGUUUUAUAAAUCAACUUGAGUUUUAUGCUUUUGUAUUAUUUUUUAGAGAACACCAACUUGAAUGGAUAAGGAUUGAAUCAAUCAAACAUAGUCUAUCUGUAAUAAAUUUUCUGUUCAAGCCAUGUUAUCUUUUCUUUUCAAACUAAGAGCUUAAAACCUGAAGCCUGCUUCCAAGUCAAAAUCCUCAAAAAUGUCCUCUAAUUUCAAGCAUUGAAAAAAGGGGAAAUAACAGUGGAUUGAUACAUACUGACGUAAGUUACAAAAACUUCAAUAUUUUAGAAAGCUACUACAUUGAUUAAAUAAAAGUUCGAUAUCCACUAUGAAACACUAACAGGAGAGGAGAGCCUUACCAUUUUGUAAAUGAUAUGAAAGGAUUAUUUAAUAAGUUGCAACAAUGCAAGGUCCUAUCUUUUAACUACGCACACAAUAUGCCAAAACUAUUUUGUAAAAGUUAUUGACUCUGCAGCUUUUGUUUGCUGCGGAACAUGAAUUACUCCUAAUUCUCUUGAUUGAAUCUUUAAUAUUGGAUGGACUCCCUGUUUCAAAUUACUUUGAUGAAAAAUGUGUCAUCAAGUAUCAUUUUUCAAAUGAACAGACUUCGAACGAAGAAAAUCUUACUACACAAAAAAAUUCUUUGAUGAAAAGUGUGUCAUCUACUAUCAUUUAUCAACCAUUUUAUUUCUCAAUACACAAUACAACACACACACACAAACAUAUAUAUGCCUAACUUUGAUCUAUUGAAAUUUAUUUAGAUGGCGAGUUUUCUGACUGAUUUGGCGAAGCCUUAUGUAGAUAAAUUGAUAAAUGGGGCGAUUGAAGAGUCAAGUUAUAUAUGUUGCUUCACGUGCAUUGCUAAGGAUUUUGAAGAAGAAAGAGCUAGACUAGAAGUAGAAAGGACGAAGAUGUUUAAGUUACUGCUCUUUCUUGGGAAGAAGAAGCCGAUAAGCUUAUUCAAGAAGACACAAGAACAAAACAAAAAUUACCACCACUUCACUUUCUAGAAGUUGUUUUAGGAAAUUCUGACGAUGCCAACAUGGUACUAGGGUUUAUGAGAUCCAAAGGCGCUGCCUUUUACUACCCCCACCGGACCAUGGGUUCCGGUGGUCUUGCCGACUCCUGUUUUCUUCAUCUUUUUGCUUUGCUGAAAGCCUUGGAGAGAGCAAAUGGAUUCGUUGUCAAUAUUGAUGAUCCGGAAUCUGUGCUUAACUUGAUCGCUAUGCUGAGAGACUUCCAAUUUGAUGGUGCUUGGAUUGAUGCUUUGGAAAAAGUUGUGAAAGAGUCCAUUGGUGUGUCAAACACUAAACUAGCAAGUUUGGAAAAGGCCAAGGGUCAAUCGGCCAUGAGGCUUGGACAAGCAACACUGAUUCGUGAUUAUCAUCAAAAACAAAUGGAGUUAGAGCAAGGCAAAAUUCUCUCACUUGACUUGGAGCGUGAAAGGAUCUUGAAGUUUAGGCAGGAACUUAACAAUGUUCGUAUGAUUUAGGUUGGGAAUUUGUUUUUUAGCACCUUUUUCAAGAUCCUGCCUAAACUUCAAGAUCCUUUCACGCUCCAAGUCAAGUGAGAGAAUUUUGCCUUGCUCUAACUCCAUUUGUUUUUUAUGAUAAUCACGAAUCAGUGUUGCUUGUCCAAGCCUCAUGGCCGAUUGACCCUUGGUCUUUCCUAACUUGCUAGUUUAGCGUUUGACACACCAAUGGACUCUUUCACAACUUUUUCUAAAGCAUCAAUCCAAGCACCACCAAAUUGGAAGUCUCUCAGCAUAGCGAUCAAGUUAAGCACGGAUUCCGGAUCAUCAAUAUUGACAACGAAUCCGUUUGCUCUCUCCAAGGUUUUCAGCAAAGCAAGAAGAUGAAGAAAACAGGAGUCGGCAAGACCACCGGAACCCAUGGUCCGAUGGGGGUAGUAAAAGGCAGCGCCUUUGGAUCUCAUAAACCCUAGUACCAUGUUGGCAUCGUCAAAAUUUCCUAAAACAGCUUCUAGAAAGUGAAGUGGUGGAAGAUUGGUUGCACCAAUCUCGACCACCGUCGCCACGGUGGAGUGGAGAAAACGGAGGACCUCCGUUACGGCGGCGAGCUGGAGGAGUAACCUGAACCCAAACAUCAAAUUUAAAUGAUUCACAUUUCCACAUUUGGAAAAACUUGAACUCAAUAACUGCGGGGACGGUAAAAUCAUCAAGGUAUCCCUAUUUUGUAUAUCUUUGUUAUUCGUGAAUCUAAACUUGAUGAUUUUAAGUCAGCAUAUAUUUUUAAAUGAAUAAUGUUCAAGCCUGCAAAAAACAUUAAAAUUCAAAGGAUGAUUAAACAUGCGGAUUUUUUAAACAAGUAAUUUUAUGUUGGGACAAAAAAGAAAACAUAAUAAUUUUAUGUGAACUAAAAACAUUUAAUUUUUUUAAACAAAUACAUUUUUUUAGAGUGUGUCUACUAAUAUGCACCUCUUAAAAUUGGUUCAAGGGUGGUUUACUAUAUUUAGUAAACAAUGAGAUUUAUAUUAAUAAAAUAUGAAGAACAGAAAAAAUAUUUUAUUAUAAUUUACUAAAAUAAAGAAGGGUCCACCUUUGGAUGGUCCAUAUUAAAUAUUAGAAAAAAUAGCGAGUUCAUCUAUCUGAGAACUCUUAUUUAUAGAGAAGAUGAACUAAGUGGUUGCCACUUAAGUGAAAGAAUAAAAAUGAGAAAUAUAUAAAUAAAAAUAAAGAGAUACAAAGACCAUGCAGACAUUAAACAUAUUCCUGGUACAACCAAGCUGAAAAUAAAUCAUGGAAAUACAAACCAAAUAGAUCAACCUUAAUCAAUCCUAACAAAACAAUCACUCAUUACGAACGCAACUCAGUGAACUCGCGUACGGGUAUGAAAUCAGGUUACAAAAAAAAUGACGAGUAAGCGUCUGUAGGAUCAAACAAGGUUCAUAAUUGACGAAUGGAUUGGCCGCAAACGUGGUAUCAAGAUUCAUGUACCAACAACCAUUGAACAAAGCAAUAGGCAUAAAAGCUCUUUUGAGCAUAACAGUCUGAUCACAAUCAAAAAGACUAAGAUGGAUAAGAAGUCAGUACUAGAGAGUAGCCCGCCCGUCUUCAGUCUUGCAGAUCUCAACAAACGUGGAAUAUCAGAGAAUCAAGCAAGCACAGAAACACCAAAUCAACCGAUUUCAAAGACGUGUUUGAUCUCAGAUCGAGGGAUGAGUUCAAUAUGUUAGUAACCAAACAACCCUUUUGAGUUAAGACAACCAGACCCUUUCGGGUUUGAGAAUCCAAGCCACCGCAAAAAAGGCCAUAUCUAUUGCCACCACCCACUCUCAUAACAGAAACACACGGCAAACACACAAAACAAAAAUGAACAACAACACAGACCAAAACAAACAACAACACAAAGCAAAAAUAAAAAAACGGUGAAACAAGUUGAACUUAGGUUUGCAAUUUUUGUAAUAAAGUGCAACAAGUUGAAAUAUGUAUUUCCAAUCUCCAUAUGUAAAGAGCUUCCUGAGCUAAAUGUUCUGAUGAUAAGAGAAUCAGAUGAGCUAGAGGAAAUAUUUGUAAUUGAAGGUGAUGAUCAGAAAGUGAAGAUUCCAAAUCUAGAAUGUGUAGUAUUUGAAAAUCUACCAAUCCUCAGUCAUGCCCAGAGAAUUCAAUUUCAAGCUGUAAAAAAUCGUUUCAUACGGAAUUGUCAAAAACUCUCUCUGGAAUCAACAAAAAUACAUGCCUUGUCUGCUUCAUAUUUUCGCAACGGUACACACUCUAUCCAAUAUUUUUAAAAACUAUUACAUGUUUGCUGUAAAUUAUUACAUACGAUUUGUUUAAAGGAGCGGUAAGAGGUAUGCAUGCAUAAGUAUUUCUAAAAUGUAAGGGCUCAUGUAGUGACCUAUCUAAUAGAAGCUUUGAUUUUAUGUAAAAUUUAAUUAUUAGGUAGAUUGAUAAACAAUUUUGUGCAUCUUUAAACUUGAAAAUGGUGAUAUACAAUUGAAAGUGGAAGUUUUUAUUUUAUUAUUAUGCUUGAGUUACUAUAUAAUGAUGUUAAUCUCUAUAUUAUUUUGCUGUAGAUCCUGAAUUGUGUAGGUAUUUCAAGACUCUGUUUCGACAACAACUACAAAAAGAGACCAAAGGCAACAAUAGUGGUAAUGAAAAUCCAGAAACCUCUAAAAAAAUUGCCGUUGGGGUUGAAGUUAAAGCAUCAUCAGAACAUGAGCUGACUUCUCCAAAGGUCAAUACCGAUCUAUUGAUUCAAGCUUACCGCACCAGAAUUUAAUCAACGUGACAAUGUAUUUGAUUCAACCAUGCUAUUUUUUGUGCAGAAAAAAAUGAAACGGACACCAGAGACAGAGCAUGAACUUGUGGAAAAUGUUCCCGAUUUAGAAAUACCAACAAAUUCAAAAGUGAUUUCCAGGCCAUGUCAAACUGCGUUAGAAUUUUAAUGGAUGUAAUUAAUAGCUGAAGAUCAUUAUUGCUUCUGUUCUUGUUACAGGAGUUGAUGAAUGAACAAUCGAUGGAACAGCAACGUCUACUUGGAGAACCUGAUACUACCAUCAAACUCUGUUGUCAAUAGCGGCCUAACGCGGCGCGGUCGCGUUGCGCGUUAGGCAAAAGCGGCUGAAAACCGGGUUUUGCGGCCGCUUUUCGUGGAGCGGGAGCGGGUCUAGCGCGGCACGUUUCCGGGUCGAAGCGAAAUUACAGAAUUACCCCUCACUUAAGUGACAUUAGAAAGGUUAAUUUUGUAAUUUUCAAAGCCCUAUUUCUUCACUUCAUUCCAUCGUACAGAGAACAGCCGCUUCUUUUCCUCUUCUCCCAAUUCAAUCGUACAACACUAUUAGGUUUUCACUUCAUCUCUUCACUUCAUUCCAUCAUCUCUUCACUUCAUCUCUCAGCUGCUCAGAUCUUUCACCUCAUCCAUCAUUCCAUAUCUCAGCUGCUCAUAAUUAUUGAAUUCGAAGUUUUAUUUCAUGUUUAGUACUUUUGUUACUUUAAGCUUUAGAGGCUUAAAGUGUUUGCUACCUUGAAUUUUAUUAGUAUUUCUUGCAAGUAUGUUCUUAUGUUUUGCCUAAGACAUGUUUUAUUUCAAAUUAUGAAUUGAGUAAUAUUUAAGUUGUUUUAGUAUUUCUUUUUCAACAUUAUAGUAUUUUAGUAUUAAAUAUAUUAGUGUCCGCGUCAUGUAAUAGCGCCCGCGUCGCGCCCGCAUACCGCACCGCGUCAAUUUUUGGUGUGGCCGCGCCGCGUUUCCGCUUUGACAACAGAGCCGUCAAACCUUCUCAGGUAAAUCAUGUAAUGUCGUAACACCGCGUUGUGCAUAUAAAGCUAAAAAUGAAAUACCGAAAGAAACAUAUUUUAUUUCAAGUGAAUCUUACAAAUAUGCACAACUAACUAAUUUACCUUUCUAUUGUAUACAAUUAGUUGGAGGUGUCUACCAUUUCAGAACCAAAGAAUGUAGCAGAAACGUGUUCCACCAAUUCACCAACAAAGAAUUAGCCACCUAUACAAGUAGUUACUCCUUGCUAGUAUUCUUUUUGACACUUUGUCUAUGCAGGAAUUGACUUAUACUACAAUCUUAAACAUCUUUUUAAUUUUAAGCAGGUUAGCGAAAUAAGUGUUGAAGAAGGAACUACUUUAUGGAUGAUGAUUUGUCCAUUCUCUCCUUCCGAAUCUUUCGUCCUUUUCGGUUUGACAACAGAUAUUAAGAAAGUACAAAAUUAGACAGGUUUAGUCCAUUUUAUUCGUAAUCCAUUCAAUGCAUGCUUUCGGUUUUUUGUAAGUGUGCAAAAGAAAAAACAUCUUUCAUUAUAUUUGGUUUCCUAAAAGAACCAAAAUUUUGGGACAAAAAUAAAAACUAAAAGAACCAAAGAUCAAGUACGGACGGAGUAAUAUGUAUUGAGGCUAAUCCAAAAAAUCAUAUUAAGACUUCAUGAUGAUAUCAUUUGUAUGUUUGAAUUUUUGUAGUAAUAUAGUGACGGCGAAAUGGCCAUAUCUUCUCCUCCAAUUUCCAUGACAAGGCAUUUUGCCACUCCAGACGUUCAUGUUAAUAACUUGCAGGAAACUAGUAACACUAAUGAUGAUCAAGGUGAAGACUCUUUGGAUCAAUUUUAUUUUCUUAAGUUAUCUCAUCACCCUUUUCAUUUUGAAGUUUAAAUCUCUUCUCUCACACCUUUUGUUCAGUUUCUCUAAAUGACGAUGCCGUCAUAAAAGUAACCUCAAUUGUUGAGGAACGAUAUUCUAAGGAUGUCGAAUUUGAAGUUCUAGAAUCGAAGCCCGCCCUUAUCAUUCCUUCGCCUCAAGCAUUUCAAUCUCCUUCGAUGCUAUCCGGAGGUAUAGAUUUUCUCCCUUCAUUUUAUUUUUUAGAACAUUACUUGGUACUCAGAGAGGACUAAUUAUCCUUUUCUAUACUUUCAGGGGACCCUUCUCAACUAGAUGAAGAAUUAGUAAGUUCAUCAUGAGGUCCAUUUUUUCAUUAAUAAUUGCCAUUCGAUAGGUUUCCUAUGAAACAAGAUUUAAACUAAUUUUUUUAUAAAGAUUUUUUUUUUUUAAGUCUAUUGCUUCCGAAUCUUAUAUCCAAAGUUAUGGAGAAUCGUUGCUCAAUAUUUGUAGAUGCUUAACACUGAAAUUCUUGUUUUCUAUUUUUAAUUUUAUUCGUAGUGGAAUCAGACUCUUGCAAAAUAUAAUAUAUGGUGUAAAAUAUAGUGAGGUUGAUCCAUUAUAAGAUAUGAUAUAUCAUUUAGUGAUUUAAAUCUGUGUAGGAAGAUCUUGAUGACCAAAUGGACAUGACUUCUUUUUCCAUUGCUACUACAGAGACCAAUGAUGAAGGUGAAAAUGCUUUGAAUCUAUUUUUAUAUUCUUAUCUUACUUCGAUAUUCAUCGCCCUUUUGAUUUUGAACUUUAUCCUCUCUCACAAUUUGUAUAGUUUCUCGAAAUGAUGAUGCUUUCAAGAAAGUAAGCUCAAAUAUUGAGGAACAAUUUCCUAAGAUUGAUGAUAUAAUAGUUUCCAAAUCUAAACCCUCUCCUUGAAUCACGUCUUUUGUUGCAUCUUUUGUUGCAUCUGAGUUUCCUCUGGUGUCUUCUAAAGGUAUUUUAUUGCUUGCAUUUAAUUUUUAACUAACUUUGGUGUGCUCAAGUAGGCUUAAAUAUUCUUUCCUAUACUUUCAGGGGACCCUUCUCAAAAAGUAGAAGAUUUCAGUUCUUCUUUGCAUGUCAAGAGGGAGCUUGAGCAACUAGUCUCCAAGAAGCAUUUCGAUUAUGAUAACUUGUCUUUGUUGACUGAUUUCUUUGUUAAGCAUCCUUUGGUUCUUUUAAACGACACUUCAUUGAGUAACAGAUACAAGGGUUAUACCUACAAUUGUCUAGCGGAGCUAUUGAAAUUCCUCCAAACUCAUAGUGUGUUGGAUGUGUUAGGUUCAAGCCACUCUGAAUUUGUUGAGUUACUACAAGAUGCACGCAGAUUUCCAUUUCAUAAGGAAUGGUUGGAUGAUAUCGAAAAGCGCGCUUUGUUGCCUGGUUUACAAGUCUCUCAAGAUGCAUUGCAAAAAUUGUUGGACUCAAAACACAUUUUGACUCAACAUGUGGCGGAUCUUAAGCAUCAAUUGGCUUCCUCUGAAGCUGUUUUGCAGAACAUCACUCAACAGGAGGCACAAAUUUUACAAACUCGGGCUGCUUUAAGUGAUCCUAUUGGCUACUAAACUAUUUUUUUCCAUACAUUCGUUCAAGAUGUUCCCUGCUUCUCUUUAUCCUUGAAUAUUAUUUAUUGCUUGGGUUGUUUUUCUGUUUUUCAUUUCAAAUGAAUUAAACAAAUCUUAUUGAUUGUUGUAUCAUUGUAUUAUUGAUAUCUUCCUUAUUUCGAAUAAGAAAACACGUUGAACACAUUUUGCUAUGCUAUACACCACUCAUCAAUCAAUAUGCAUCAAAUGCAUCCUAAGAUUUGGAUAAAUAUUGGAAAAUAUCAAAUAGAAUUUCAUAUUCAGAAGAUUAUCCAAACUAGUAUAUACGACAAACAAAAUGUGACUAAGAGAAAAGUUGGGAUCAAACAACAAAAAAAAUACUGGGAUACAGUUUCAAUAUGCAGAGAUGAUGAACGAAUUUAGUUUUGUAGAUUCAAUAGCAUGGUUGUUAUAAGUUACAGACGGCACCUGCAGUUGCAGCUGCAAUAUAAAGGUUUUUAAAGUCCUCCUAAUUAUAUUACAACCACAAUGUAGACAUAUUAGUGGUAUUUUUCAGAAUUUUAUCGCAAGAAGAAAGUUCUAAACGUAACAUGGUAAUAUGUUAAUGUUUAGUGUAGCCUCUAAAGGUCAGAUAGACUGUUCAGAUUUUUCAUCUCAGAACUUUUGAAAGGGCUAAGAAUAAAGUUGUGUUGUAAGUGAUUAGGUUCGAGCCAUUCUUGUACAAGGGGAAAUGAAAAACAGUGUAUAAACAAUGUCUAGUAAUUAUAUUCCAUCAUUGCUACUUUGUUAUGCUUUCCAUUGUGGGAACAUUUGUACUUCAAUAUUGUUCAUUUCUUGGGUGUAACGUUUCGUCGUUUCUCAUCCGAAGUGAACUAAAGAGUCUCAUUAUGUUUGUGUAUUUAAAACUAUUAGUGAUUGUUGCAUGUUACAUUGAUGAAGUUAUUUUACUGAAUCUUUCAUACAAUAUUGAUUGUGUUUGGGUGUAUUUAAAUAAUGCACCCAAACCCCAAUAUAUAUAUAUAUAUAUAUAUAUAUAUAUAUAUAUAUAUAUAUAUAUAUAUAGGACAUAUACUAUGAGAAUGUCAUUUUUAUAUAAUUGUAUCGUGUCAUUAGUAUUCCUUUUUUGAACACUACUAAAAUAGAAUUUUGAUUUUCUUUUUUAUUUUGUAACAAAAAAAUUGAAUUUUGAAUUCCUCAUGGAUCAAGCUUCGUAGAACAUUUGCUCAGAAGAAAAAAAAAGUUUCUUAGAACAUAUCCUUUUUUUUAAUUUAUCUUCCUAUAAAGUCUAGAUAAAUGCAUGCAUGCACAUUAUAUGAACCUCGUUGAUCAAUUAACAUUUUUGAAACGAAUGGAAAUUAAGCAUCACUCCCUCAUGUGCAUCUAUAGCUAGCACCAUUUGACAUUGAUGUCUUCGAACAUUUGGUGCAACUCUCAUAAUACCAUCCAAACUGGUUAGGAUUGAAUUUAGUUGUUUUUCAAAUAGUGAUGCAAUAUGUAUCCUAACACAAAUUAUGCACAUGAAAUAAAGAAUAAUGCAAUAUGUAUUUUUAAUUUGUGCGUCAAAAAAACACAAAGCAUGUUUGUGCAUAAAAAAAGCAGACCUUGACUAAGUUUAUAAAUCAGCAAUUGGCCUAACCUAAGACAGAUUGGAAAAAUCGUUGUACGUUGAGAAUAAGCCGAACUCUGACUUAAGUUCUGACUGAUGCUUUGACUCUGAGCUUGAGAAGUGUGAAGGUCAUGAGUCAUGACAACAAUUUAAGAAACAUGGUCAAAAAACAAUCAAAUCAGAUUGUGAAAUAAUAAGUUAGCAUGAGCUAAAAUUCAAUCAUCAUGACUGAAGGUGAGAAAAACACAAGAAGGGGGGUUGAAUUGUGUUUUCUUUUUCUCUAAAAAAUACUGUUAUCUUGAUUUUGGGGUGUCAAGUCAUUAAUUAGGCUUGAACCUUUCAAUCAUUGAUAAUCUCUAUUUUUUUUCUUGGGAAGGGUAAAAUUGAGAAAACCCUUAGAAACUCUAAGUUCGGGGGUCGUUUUCGUUACGGGAAGGUGUUAGGCACCCGCAAUGACUAUAGUACUCUAUCGGAACCGUUUUCCUAAUUUUAUGUCUACGCUUUAUUUUUAAUGCUAUUUAUUAAAAAAGGAAGUUGUUUAUGUUAAGAAUGGGGGGAGGAGUGUUUGGAUUUUUAUUUUAUUGAACUUGGAGAGGUUUUGACCUCUUGCCUACAUACCCUUUUAAGGGAUCAAAAUUUCAUGUAGUUCUCUUUCAAAAAAUGUUUUUGUGUGUUUCAAUUGAUUUUAAGUUUUUUGGAAAUGGGUUUUGAAGAAAGGAAAGAAGCCGUGAAGGCAUGAGAAAAAAUGGUGAGUGGUUGGUUCAAUUAUUAAGAAAAGAGUCUAUGUUGGAAUUAAAGUUCAUUUUGAGUUUCUCUUAAGAAAAUAAAGGGAAAAUUCAAUGGAGUUUUGACUCCAAGGUUUAUUAGGAAAAAAAAUUUCAAGUGAUGGAAUUUGCUUAUUUUUAAAAAAGAAGAAUAUUUUUCUAAGUAUCGCGUUCCCUAAGCAUACAUCUAAAGCGGUAAAUCAUCAUACAACGUGUGUGCGUGUCGGUGCUUGUAUCGGUGUACAUCAUUAGAGUCCAUUGUCCAUUACAUAGGCCCUAGUUUACAUUCUAUGGUCUUGCAAGAAUUUAAAAGAAAAAUUGAAACUACCUAAAUUUACAUGCCAACUUUAACAUAGAAAUGAAUAGUAAAAGACCUAAACUAUAAGAAAUGGAGAUGAAAUGAUAGAAUGCUUAUGAGGUGAAUGAAACAAGAAAUAAAAAUGGUUAGUAGAAUAGGGCAUAAAAUGAUAGAACAAGUUAGCAAAGAAAUACGAGAUAAACGGUAAAAACAACAACAAUAACCAAAAUGUAAAAAGUACACAUUACUUGCAACACAAGAAAUUAACAAAUCACAUUAAAAAUAGUACAAACAAACACAUGAUCAGAGACAUAUUCACCACAAAAUUGCAUAUCAAUCAUUCAUAUCGUGCCAAGACCUCAUGAACAAAUUAUGGCAAGAAAAUUCACAAGUUUAGUCAAAAAAUGAACAAAUCAACAAGAAAACAUUACAUAUAUUUUUUAUCAUUUUUUAACAUGUAAAAACAUCACAAAAAUGUUAAAAAUGCAUCAAGAAACACAUAGAAAUUUUUUUAGGAAUUUUUGCAAGAAAAUUAGAACAAACAGGGGUUCAAAUAGCAAGACAGCAAGGUGCAAAUAGCAAGAAUACUAACAAGAAAAAAAGGAAUCUGCGCAGAAGGAGGCCCAAGCCCAAAACCUAAGGCCUGGAUGCACAGGGAGCGUUGGAUUGAUCCAGGGAGGGAAACCCUAGAUCCAACGCUCAGGAUUGCAGGGGAUUGGACCGGUCUUGAACCGGUCCGGUCUAGUGGUCUAUAUAAGCAAGCCUACACCGGUUCAAUCACUUUGCUAUGUUCUUUCUCUCUCUUCUCUCAUCCUAGUGAGAGAUGCUCUCGCCUCUCUCUUCUCUUCCUCCGCCGGUUUCUGGAAUGAGCGGCCGGAGAAGAUGAAGAUCUGGCCGGAACCUUCAUAGGUCCGCCGGAAUCUUCAUCUUCUCCGGCGAGAUCUCCAGUUUUCCGGCAACCUCUAAUCUCACCAGAACUUCGAAAAUUUUACAACAAACUCUUCGUUUCUUCAUCCUAAACAUGAUUCUAACACUGGUUUUCACAAAUAAAGCUUGAAUCAACGUAGAUCUAAAGAUUUUGCUACGGUUUUGAAAGUAUUUUUAGGUUUUUCAGUUUUUUGAAAGAAACUCUUUGAAACUUUGAAGAUCUACAUUGAUUCGUUCUUGUUAUUGUUCUUGAGAAAGGAAAAUGAAGAUUCAAGUGUUACCUGUGAUUUAAUCGGAGAUUUCGAACGAAAAUCUUCGGAAAACUUCGAUCUGAUUCUGUUUCGUUGAUUUCGUUCUUGAAUCCGAAAAUAAAUCGGUGUUCUGGCUGGUUCGAUUCUUUCUUCUUCUUCACCGGUUCAAAUUCUUCUUCUUUUCCUCUUCCUCUUCACUGAUUCUCUGUGAUCGGUGCUUGAGUUUGCCAAUGGCGAAUUCGCGCCUUGAAUUGCAGAGAAUCCGGUUCAAUGAUGAUGAUUGUUUGAAGAAUCACUGAGAACUGAACGAAUUUAGUUGAAAUUGUUGAUGAAUUGUGAUUCUGGAAUUCUAGGGUUCAUGAAUGUUCUUCAUGUUCUUGAUAGUUUCUGAGUUUUUGAUCUAACUGAAUGGAGAGAGAAACUGUGAUUCUGUUUGUUGAGGUGGCGUGAAUUGUGUGGAUCCUCUGGUUUGUGCAGUGAAUGCACCUUUUAUAGGCUGUCAAGUGUGCUUGAGACCCAAUGGGAGAGGGACACCUGUUUUUUGGACUUAGGGACCUCUCUGCAAAAAAGAAAAAUUGAAGGAUUGGACUGUAAUAAAAAAAAUGGACUAAAAUGCAAUUUUUAAACUGUUUGGGACUGAAAUGCAAUUUUAGAAACUGUUCAGGGACUAAAAUGCAAUUAAAAAUAAAAUUGGACUAAAAUUGGUAAUUUGGAAAAAACGUAAAUUGAAACCAAAAAUAAAAUCAACAAAAGGACUAAAAUGAACCAAUUACAAAAAUGAGGUAUUUCAAAAUACCUCUCUGUCGAAAUUUUGACAGGAAAAGACCAAAAUGCCCCUAGGGACUAAAAUGACUCAACCUGACUCAGAUGCAAUUUUGAAAUGAUUUUAAACAAAGACUCAACAGUGAUUUGUAAAACAAGUUGAAAAGACUCGUAGGAAAACACAAGAAAAGUAAUGCAAUGAUUCAGAGAAUUUUCAAAUAACUUGUAAUGCAAGAAAGACACUUUGGAUAGUUUUAUGCAAGAAAAUCAUGAUUGAACACACUUUGAGACAGAGACAGUAAAAUAUGCAGAUGAAAAGAGAGUCAAGAUUCAGAGUAAAACAACAGUAAAUUGACAAAUAUCAGUGUUAGAAAAGAAAUUUGAAUGAGUAUUUUUAGGUCCAAAAUCAGGGUAUAACAAUUACUUCUUCUGAUAAUACUUCAGAAGCUGUUUUGGAAUGCUUCUGAUGUAAUAACCAGAAUCAGAUAUGCAGCGGAAAAGAUCAAAGCAGAGAAAAGAAAAACGAGACACAAGUAGUUAUCCUGGUUCCUUCCACAAAUCGGAAGUAGUCCAGUCCCCCUUGCACUUCCAAGGAGAUUUCACUAUAAUCACAAAGAUUACAAAUGCUCAAUACUCUCUAAGUAUGAGACUUCUCAAAAAUGCUCAAGCACGCACGCAAGAGUCUUCUAAUGCUCAAGCACACAGGCAAGAGACUUCUGUUCAAACAAAAAUACAGAGAAAAUGUUUGACCUUGAACACUUGAUAUACAAUCAGUAGUGUUCACAAAUACAAUGCAAUAAAAACUCUAGACUUGUGAAUUUCUAAGAUGUAUCAAAUCAGUGCAGAAAUUCAAUGUGCUUUGUAGAAUCAAAUUGACAGGGUUUUGGCGCUUUUUAACUUGUAUAUCUCUAUCUACAAUCUUCAAGUCUUCACUCCCUUAUAUAGAGGUGUGAAAGAGACGUUGAGAUGAUUAGCACGUCUAAAGAGUCGUUGAGUUCCUUUGAUCAUCCACCAGUAAUCAUUUGUCUGAUUUGGGUGUAGUCCUUUGAAGAAUUAGCUUCAAAUUCAUUCCCAUCUUGAAGGAACAAUUCUGCAGGCAUAGCUGUUGUCUUGUCUUGUAGCGUAGACAAAAACAGAGUAGUGGAGGUAGUGGUUGUACACUUGUACUUUGUCAACUCUAUUAACGCAGGACAAGUACUCAGUGUUCUUCAAAUGACCGUUGAUACCUCCCUUUCAAUUCUUCGUUCUUCUUAGACGAGGUUGAAACGAGAAACAGCUACUUUGAAUCUUCAGUUUAAAUUCACUGAUUAAUUGUACCUUCUGGUGAUGAUUUCGCUUCUGAUGAAAACCUUGCUUCUGAUGACGUCAUUACUUCAGAAGCACUCCAGCUUCAUAAGCACUUUAGCUUCAGACGCAGUUUUCUUCAGAUGCUUCAGAUUACUUUGCUCUCCAUUGUUCUUCCAAGACCUAUUGAAAUUGAUUGACUUGCCUAUGGUCCUGUACACUUGAACAAUUAUUAGCAAUAACCAAUUGACAAUUUUUAAUAUCUUGUUAUCAUCAAAAUUUAUUAUGGUUUAUUGUGAAACACAUUUUGUUCCAACAAUGACCUCUACUAUACUCCACACUACAAAAGAAGAUUUUUCUACACUCAUGCAGCAUAACAAUUUCUGGUACAUAAUCCACUAAAAAUUGUAAAAAAAAACAAAAACAAAAAGACCCUUAAAAUGCAGAAUUGUGAAAAAAGGAAGAAAACCACCUAUGAUGAAGCAAAAACUAAAACAGUGUUGAAAAAUGAACCCCUCAAGCCAUAAAAAUCAGUCAACUAAAGUCAUGCAUGGUCUCAGAACCAUGAAAAAAGGAAGAAAAUGACCUCUUACGAAGAAGAAAGAGAAACAGUGUUCACAGUUGAACUUAGAUACCGUUAGGGCAAGAUUUUUUACGGUCUAAAAGUUACUUCAAAAUAAAUUUAAAAUAAAGGCUUUUAAGAAAGAAGCUAAAGUUGUUUGGUUUCUUUGUUUUUUUAGUUUCAAAGCUAUUUUUAAGUUAAAUGUUGGUUGGGAAAAUAUUAUACAAACUUUGAUAUUUUUUUUUUUUAUGUUGUCCGGAUUCGAACCUCGGACUUGGCAUAUAUUUAUGCAUUGUUCCUAUCAUCUAAGCUAAACUCACGAGGACAAAACUUUGAAUUUCUUAUGAAUUAACAUAAUAAAGAAAAAAUGUUUAACAUAUUUUCUGAAGGCUAAAAAUGUUAAAAACGAAAAGAUAUUUUUUUUUUACAAAUACUAUCUUUACUCAAUAAUGUUUAUUUUUUUUAACAUGAAUGCAAAUUUGUAUCAUCGUAUAAAUAACUUGUUAGAUAUUUGAAUAGGAGAAACAAUUUAAGGAGCCUGAAAUAAUAACAUAAAUAAUAUCAAAAUAGCUGAUUUUUUCUAUUUCAAUUAUACUUUAUAAAAAAUUUCGUUAUAAGAAUACCAUAUUUUUGGUGUCUUUUAAAAAGAUAAGAAUUUAUAUUAUAUUUGUUACAUUGUUGGUGUCAUCGAAACAUAUAUGUUUAGUUUUUUUUUAAUAAGAAAAAAAUAUGCAGAGUUUGUUACAAUAUAAAGGUACAAUAUAUAUAUAUAUAUAUAUAUAUAUAUAUAUAUAUAUAUAUAAGUAUAAUUUUUUUAGGCAUCUAUACAUUUUUUGAAGAAAAGACAUCUACAAUUUUACUUUUGAUUAGAAUCAAAAUUUUAUAAAAAUAAUCAUACGCAUUAUGCAACGCCAAAAAAAUUAUACGCAGUAGCGUGACAAUAAAACUAACACACAUAAAGUAUUACUCUUUUUUUUUUGGUAGAUAGACGAAAUGGCAAAGCCAUUAUAAACUCACACACACAAGUAGAGGUGCCGGGGUUCGAACCCCGGUCAUGGCAUCCGGCCUAACAAUUUCGGCAUUUUUGCCAGUUGAGCUAGGACUUCUGGAUACAUAAAGUAUUACUCUAAAUGCUAAUGUGUGUGUCUGUAUAUAUUUGCGAGGUUGAAGAAAGAAAAUAAAAAUAUUUAGUAUCAUUAAAUGACAGCGUGAAUAAAAAUAUUUGUGAGGUUGUGAUGAUUAAACGAUAUUGAAAUUAAAUACAUAAGUGAUAAAAAGAUAAUAAAAUUCCUUUAAAAAAAGUAAUAGAAUUAAAUGGGACCUCCUUAAAAAAAUUAAAUGGAACGGUUCAAAAAAAAUAAUAAUAAAGUAGAAGAAAAAAACAUAUUGAAAUAUAAUAUUAAAAAAUAAAAGAAAAGUUUCCCAACGUGAAUUGAAGAAAGAUUCUUGUGAAAUAAAUUGUCGAGAAGUAGUUUUUUGAAGUAAUAUUCAACAACUUUUGGCCAAAGCUUAUUCUAUUCAAUUUUAUGCAUUAAAAAAGUACAUUUUUUAGUAAGUACUUAAUUGGUAUUGUAUUUGGCCUAACUUCUCCUUAAAAAUGUAGAGAAGUUGAAAAAAAAAAUCGGGUCAAACGGUAUCUUAAUCUCCCACAACGGCAGUGUAAAAGCAAUUGAAUUUGGGAGAAAAAAUUCAAAAAUAAUUAAAAAUAAAAAAAUUGGAAAAUAGUUAAAAGUUAAAAGUUUUUAAAAAUAUAAAAAUAGAUAAAAAAAUCAGUGAGGUAGCACUCAACCAAGCAACACUAAAAAAAAUUAUAUGCAUUAGCUUAACAAAAAAAACAGACAUAAAAUAUUACUAUAAACGUUAAUGUAUGUGUGUAUAUAUAUUCCCGAGGUUGAAGAAAGAAAAUAAAAAUAUUUGGUAUCAUUAAAUGACAGCGUGAAUAAAAAUAUUUGUGAGGUUGUGAUGAAUAUAUGAUAUUAAAAUUAAAUAUAUAAGUUAUAAAAAGAUAAUAAAAUUCCUUUGAAAAAAAGAUAAUAAAACUAAAUGGAACCUCCUUUAAAAAUUAAAUGGAACAGUUCAAAAAAAUAAAAUAAAAUAAAGUUAAAUGAAAGGAAAAAAACAUAUUGAAAUAUAAUAUUCAAAAAUAAAAGAAAAGGUUCCAGCGUGAGUUGAAAAGAGAUGAUUGUGAAAUAAAUUGUCGAGAAGUGGUUUUUUAAAGUAACAUUCAACAACUUUUGGCCAAAGUCAUUCCAUUCAAUUUUAUGCAUUCAAAAAAAUUAUUUUAGUAAGUACUUAAUUGAUAAUGUGUUUGGCCUAACUUUUCCUUAAAAAUGUAGAGAAGUUGGAAAAAAGCCGGGUCAAACGAUACCUUAAUCUUCCACAACGACAAUGUAGAAGCAACUGAAUUUAGGAGAAAAAAAUUGAAAAAUAGUUAAAAACAGAAAAAAAAAUGAAAAAUAGUUAAAAAUUAUUAAAAAUUAUAAAAUUAUAAAAUAAUUAAAAAAAAUUGGUAAGGGGCAAAAUGGAGAAUGCACCCUAAAACAUGUGAGGUGGCAACAACCAAAUUUCACCAAAUAGUAAAUUACAAAAAUGCUCCUCUUAAAGGCAAAAUGGUAAAAUCAUAGAGAUUAAUAUUUAAUAUAUAGUAAGUAGAUAGUAAGUAGAUUAAAAAAUGUAAUAAUGAUCUCAAAUGAUAUGACAAUUUUACUAAACUAGUCUUAAUUACUGUUGGUAUAGUAUACACUCAAUUCAUUAGAGAGUGUAAAUUACAUUUAUUUUGAAACAAUUUUUUUUUUCUUCUACGGCUACUUAAACUAGAAAUUUAGACAAACAAGAGGGUACAACAACAUUUACUUCAAACCAAAUCGUGACCAUGGGUUGGUUUCAGUUAUUGUUUUAUUAAAUAAGUGUGACCCUAUCUAUGCAUAAGUGAAGCUUUAAAUCAAUGAAAAGACUUGACUAGCUAGGUAGCUGUGAAGUUUCUGAAUAAUUUAAUUGAACAUUUAAUUUAUACGGACCCUAUCCAUCCCUUCUUCUUUUCUUUUCUGAAUACCAAUGCCUUAUUCACUUAAUGUUGGGUACUGCAGAUUGCAGAAACAGCUGUUAAUUUGAUUUGCAGAUUGGAAAACCAGGUAAAUAACAAUAUAUUUUGCUUGAUCAUUCAUUCAUGUACAAAGAUAAAGUAGGUUUUCUAAAAUUGUUGGAAAGAUCGUCUACUUGUUGAACAAAAAUUAAGCUUCCAAAGUAUAUUUCUACAGCAGAGUUGUUGCAGUCAACACUACUAGCUACUGAAUAUUAGAGAAAGAUCAAGAGAAUAGUUCAUACGGCUUGAACAUUUGCUGAAACAAGGUAACAAUCAAUGAUAUGCUCAUACAAAUUAUAUUUAGUACAUGCUUUAUUUUAUGAUCCAUGUAAUCACAACACUGUAGCUUUUUCUUAUUCUAUUUAAUGUUUUAAGUAGUUACUUCAAAUAUAGAAUUACCAAAGUUACAAAAGGGGAAAUAACAUUGGAUUGAUUUUUUUUUUUGGUUACAUAACACAUUGGAUUGAUAAUCACAUUAUUAUAAUAAUAAUAAUUAUUAUUAUUAUUAGAGAAAUGUUAACUAGUGUUAUUAAAGUGUCCUUAGGGCACUUGUUAAGAAGUCUACAGAAAAAAUGUUGUAUUGGAAAUAGUUUAAAAAAUAAUUUUUUUUACAAAUUUUUUUAUUUUGUUUUGAAGGAAUUAUUAUUAGGCUAAAGUGCACUUUUCGCCCCCUAUGUUUCAUAAUGUUGCGAUUUUGGCCCCCUAUUAAAAAAAGUAGCAAUUUUGGCCCCUUUCAUCCCAAAAUUGCUCGGAAGAUGCCACGUGUCCCAGAAAAGGGGUCAUAAUCGCAACUUUUUGUAAAGAUAAGGGGUCAAAAAACAUAUUUCCCUUAUGUUAGGGGGUCAAAAGAGCAUAUUUCCCUAAACAUAGAGGAUCAUUUUUGCCAUUUUUUUUAAUAGGGGGCCAAAAUCGCAACAUUUUGAAACUUAAGGGACUUUAGCCUUAUUAUUAUUAUUGGUAGAAAUUACAAACUAGUUUAAAGAUCUAAUCAGCGGUCAUGUCAACGUCGAUUAAUUGUUGACAAACAUUUAUUUAACGGAAUAACUUAAUUUUUUUUUUUUUAAGAAUCUGACUAUAACUUCUUUUUUGCUUAGAGAUUUGUUUAAAAAAAGUUCAAAUAAUUUAAGGAUUUGCACAUUAACUAAACUUUUUUUUUUUUUCAAAUAUCAAAUAUAUAUCAAAAUAUAGCCUUAGCUUUUCAAACUCUCAUCUUUAAAACCCUCUUAAAUUCAACUUGCAAAUCACACCGUAUAACUCAAUAUUUCAUUUUGGCUUAAAUGUCUCCCUGCAUUUUUAUCACUUUUUAGGAUUGGUCCCUACAUUUUUAUUUCAUCAUCUUGUAAUUAUUCCAUCAUCUUGUAAUUUGUUAAUUAUAUAAAACAAAAAAAAAGCCACCAUCCAAGUAUUUUCUCAACAAUUUUGUGUGCAGAACUUGAAUAUCAAGGACCAUUGCCUUAUUUCACUUGAUGAUGGCUACUGCAUAUAGCAGAAACAGGUGUUGUAGUGUCUGCUGCAGAACUUGAAUUGGAAAACAACAAUCAUUCAUAUAUAGUUGUUGAUCAAUCAUACCAUAUGAAGUUUUUUAGAACUAUUACCUUGAAAUGGAGAAUUAGUUGGUGAAACGCAGAAUUGAUAUCAUGCUCUUUUAUCCUCUCCUUCUUACAUGCAAACAUAAUAACUACCACUUUAUUAUUGCAUAUUUACAUUUAUGAAAAGUAAUAUUUAACCAAAAUUAUAUUUCUACAGCAGAGUUGUUGCAGUCAACACCACCUUAUUAUGAUCUUGAUGAUGCUAGCUACUGCAUAUUGGAGAAUGAUCUUGAACAUUUGCUGAAACUGCUGGAUAUAAGGUAAUCAUACUUUUAACAAUUUUAAUUAAUUUCUUAAGUUUUAUAAAUCAACUUGAGUUUUAUGCUUUUGUAUUAUUUUUUAGAGAACACCAACUUGAAUGGAUAAGGAUUGAAUCAAUCAAACAUAGUCUAUCUGUAAUAAAUUUUCUGUUCAAGCCAUGUUAUCUUUUCUUUUCAAACUAAGAGCUUAAAACCUGAAGCCUGCUUCCAAGUCAAAAUCCUCAAAAAUGUCCUCUAAUUUCAAGCAUUGAAAAAAGGGGAAAUAACAGUGGAUUGAUACAUACUGACUUAAGUUACAAAAACUUCAAUAUUUUAGAAAGCUACUACAUUGAUUAAAUAAAAGUUCGAUAUCCACUAUGAAACACUAACAGGAGAGGAGAGCCUUACCAUUUUGUAAAUGAUAUGAAAGGAUUAUUUAAUAAGUUGCAACUAAGCAAGGUCCUAUACUUAUUAGUUACAGGAUCCUAUCUUUUAACUACGCGCACAAUAUGCCAAAACUAUAGUAUGCCAAACUCCAACAAUUUUGUAAAAGUUAUUGACUCUGCAGCUUUUGUUUGCUGCAGAACAUGAAUUGCAAUAACUAUUACUCCUAAUUCUCUUGAUUGAAUCUUUAGUAUUGGAUGGACUCCCUGUUUCAAAUUACUUUGAUGAAAAAUGUGUCAUCAAGUAUCAUUUUUCAAAUGAACAGACUUCGAACAAAGAAAAUCUUACUGCACAAAAAAAUUCUUUGAUGAAAAGUGUGUCAUCUACUAUCAUUUAUCAACCAUUUUAUUUCUCAAUACACAAUACAACACACACACAACCAUAUAUAUGCCUAACUUUGAUCUAUUGAAAUUUAUUUAGAUGGCAAGUUUUUUGACUGAUUUGGCGAAGCCUUAUGUGGAUAAAUUGAUAAAUGGGGUGAUCGCAGAGUCAAGUUAUAUAUGUUGCUUCACGUACAUUGCUAAGGAUUUUGAAGAAGAAAGAGUUAGUUUGGAAAUAGAAAAGACAACUGUCAAGCAACGUGUUGAUGUGGCAACCAGUAGAGGAGAAGAUGUUCAAGCUAAUGCUCUUUCUUGGGAAGAAGAAGCCGAUAAGCUUAUUCAAGAAGACACAAGAACAAAACAAAAAUGUUUUUUUGGAUUUUGUUCUCAUUGCGUAUGGAGAUAUAGAAGGGGAAAGGAAUUGACAAAUAAGAAGGAGCAAAUUAAAAGAUUAAUUGAAACUGGAAAGGAACUUUCAAUUGGACUCCCUGCUCGUCUUCCAGGUGUUGAACGUUAUUCAUCCCAACACUAUAUUCCUUUUAAAAGUAGGGAAUCCAAAUACAAAGAGCUUUUGGAUGCAUUGAAAGAUGACAACAAUUAUGUAAUCGGGUUGAAAGGAAUGGGGGGCACAGGAAAAACUACAUUGGCCAAAGAAGUUGGUAAGGAACUUAAGCAGUCCAAACAAUUUACUCAAAUAAUUGACACGACAGUGUCAUUUUCUCCUGAUAUCAAAAACAUUCAAGAUGAUAUUGCUGGACCCUUGGGAUUGAAAUUUGAUGACUGUAAUGAAUCAGACAGACCCAAAAAACUAUGGAGCAGGUUAACCAAUGGUGAAAAGAUUCUUCUAAUAUUGGAUGAUGUGUGGGGAGACAUCGAUUUUAAUGAAAUAGGGAUUCCAUACAGUGACAAUCACAAAGGCUGUAGAAUUCUUGUAACCACGCGCAAUCUCUUGGUGUGUAACAGAUUAGGAUGCAGUAAGACAAUGCAACUCGAUCUGUUAUCUGAAGAAGACGCAUGGAUCAUGUUCAAAAGGCAUGCUGGUCUUAGCGAAAUUUCAACUAAAAAUCUGCUUGAAAAAGGGCGUAAAAUUGCAAAUGAAUGCAAAAGGUUACCGAUUGCAAUUGCUGCUAUCGCCAGCAGUUUGAAGGGCAUACAACGUCCGGAAGAGUGGGAAUGGGCCUUAAAAUCCUUGCAGAAAAAUAUGCAAAUGCACAAUGUUGAUGAUGAACUGGUUAAAAUUUAUAAAUGCUUAAAAUUUAGCUAUGAUAAUAUGAAGAAUGAGAAGGCCAAGAGACUAUUCCUCUUGUGUUCUGUAUUUCGAGAAGAUGAAAAAAUUCCUACCGAAAGGUUAACCAGACUUAGCAUCGGAGGAGGCCUUUUUGGGGAGGAUUAUGUCAGCUACGAAGAUGCUCGAAGCCAAGUUGUUAUAUCCAAAAAUAAACUCCUAGAUUCUUGUUUAUUGUUGGAGGCCAAAAAAAGUAGAGUGCAAAUGCAUGACAUGGUUCGUGAUGCAGCCCAAUGGAUAGCGAGCAAAGAGAUUCAAACAAUGAAGUUGUAUGAUAAAAAUCAAAAGGCAAUGGUUGAAAGGGAGAAAAAUAUUAAAUAUUUGUUAUGUGAAGGCAAGCUUGAGGAUGUGUUUUCAUGUAUGCUUGAUGGUUCCAAGCUUGAGAUUCUAAUUGUCACUGGGCAUAAGAAGGAAGGCUUCCACUGCCACGAUUUGAAAAUCGAUGUCCCGAAUUCAUUUUUUGAAAAUAGUACGGGCCUUCGAGUUUUUUAUCUAAUCUAUGAUAAGUAUUCUAGUCUAUCUCUAUCAUUACCUCAUUCAAUUCAGUCGUUGAAGAAUAUUCGAUCUCUUCUCUUUGCAAAUGUCAUUUUGGGUGACAUCUCUAUUUUGGGAAACCUUCAAAGUCUAGAGACACUUGAUUUGGAUGGUUGUAAAAUUGAUGAAUUGCCUCAUGGAAUCACAAAACUAGAGAAACUGAAAUUAUUGAACUUGACAUCUUGUAGAAUUGCAAGGAAUAAUCCUUUUGAAGUGAUUGAAGGAUGCUCGUCACUUGAAGAGUUGUAUUUCAUAGGUAGUUUUAAUGAUUUUUGCCGAGAAAUAACUUUCCCGAAAUUGCAAAGGUUUGAUAUUGGUGAAUUUUCAAACUUAGUGGAUAAAUCAUCAUUGAAGGGGGUGUCUGAUCUUGUAAUCUCAGAUAAUGUUUUCCUAUCUGAAACAACACUCAAGUAUUGUAUGCAAGAAGCAGAGGUUCUUGAACUAGGAAGAAUCGAGGGGGGGUGGAGAAACAUCGUACCUGAGAUUGUUCCUCUGGAUCAUGGUAUGAAUGAUCUAAUCGAGCUUGGUUUGAGAUCCAUUUCACAAUUACAGUGCCUCAUUGACACUAAUUCUCCAGUUUCAAAAGUCUUCUCCAAGUUGGUUGUACUAAAGCUCAAAGGAAUGGAUAAUUUAGAAGAAUUGUUCAAUGGUCCUGUUUCCUUUGACUCUCUGAACAGUUUAGAGAAGCUGUCCAUCAAUGAAUGUAAACAUUUAAAAAGCUUAUUUAAGUGCAACCUAAACCUCUGCAAUCUAAAGAGUCUUUCAUUGGAAGAAUGCCCGAUGUUGAUAUCCCUAUUUCAACUGUCAACUGUUGUUAGCCUAGUGUUGUUGGAGAAACUGGAAAUAAUUGAUUGUGAGCGCCUUGAAAACAUAAUAAUAGUUGAAAAAAACGGGGACGAAUUGAGAGGUGAAAUAAUUGAUGCUAAUGGCAAUACAAGUCAUGGCUCAAUGUUUCCGAAACUAAAAGUUCUUAUUGUUGAGAGCUGUCCGAGAAUUGAAUUAAUACUUCCGUUUCUCUCUACUCAUGAUCUUCCAGCACUAAAAUCCAUCAAAAUAGAAGAUUGUGACAAGUUGAAAUACAUAUUUGGUCAAGAUGUCAAACUUGGUUCGCUCAAAAAAUUGGAGCUUGAUGGCAUUCCGAAUUUGAUCGACAUUUUCCCAGAAUGUAAUCCUACAAUGUCUUUGUCCAUUAAGAAGCCAUCUUCCAUUUCUGAGUCACAAGAACAAUCAGAGCCAAUCAAAUGCAAUAUGUUUUCAUGGACUGAUAUCUAUUGUUGUGGUAAAAAAUAUGGGCACAACAAAUUGAGGAGUACCACAAUUACGAAAAUCCCAUUGGUUUCUCAGGAUCAACUGCUGGAUAACUUAAUGGUAACCCUCUUACCUUCUUCUGUGAUGUUAUUUUGUGUACUUUUUUAAGCCAGUCUGUCGGACUUGUAUUGUAGGAAUCAUUUGUUUUUAUUUUCUUGAAUUCUAUAUUUGCUCACUGAGAUUAUAUAAUUGCAGGAAUCAAAUUCAUAUCCUCUUAACAUAUGGGAAAGUGCUCAAUGUCUUUCAAGACAAUCACAUAUCUUGUGCAAUAUUAAAAAGAUUACACUCUGGAAAAUUUCAAAGAUGAAAUCAGUAUUUAUCCUGUCUAUUGCUCCAACAAUGUUGUUGGAGUCAUUGACAAUCUAUAAGUGUAAUGAAUUGAAGCACAUUAUAAUAGACAUGGGAGAUCAUGACAACACUGGUGGCAAUAACUGGGGCACUGUCUUCCCAAAAUUAAGAUUGUUCGAAGUUGAACAUUGUGAGAAAUUGGAAUACAUAAUUGGACACUUCACUGAUGAUCAUCAAAACCACACUGAGAUUCCUCUUCAUCUUCCAGCAUUGGAGACCUUCGUUCUUCACAAUCUGCCAAGUUUAGUCAGCAUGUGUCCCAAACAAUAUCACACGACAUUUCCACAAUUGGAAAGACUUGUAGUUGAAGAAUGCCCGCAGUUUAUUGGUGAUUUCAUAACUCAUCAUUCAAUAACAAGAUCGGUGGACGGUACAAUCAUCAAGGUAUUCAUCUUUAUCUCUAUAUAUCUUUGUUGUUUGAAAAUCUAAACUUGAUGAUUUUAAGUCAACAUAUGCUUUUAAAUGAAUAAUGUUCAAAUCAUGCCUGCAAAAACAUUAAAAAAAAAAAAUUCAAAGGAUGAUUAAACAUGCGGUUUUUUUAAAGAAGUAAUUUUAUGUUGGGACAAAAAACAAAACAUAAUAAUUUUAUGUGAACUAAAAACAUUUAAUUUUUUUAAACAAGUACAUUUUUUGUGUCUAAUAUGCACCUCUUGAAAUUGGUUCAAGGGUGGUUUACUAUAUGAAGAACAGAAAAAUAUUAAUAAAAUAUGAAGAACAGAAAAAUAUUUUAUUAUAAUUUACUAAAAUAAAGAGGGGUCCACCUUUGGAUGGUCCAUAUUAAAAUAUUAGAAAAAAUAGUGAGUUCAUCUCAUCUCUCUCAGAACUCUUAUUUAUAGAGAAGAUGAACUAAGCGGUUGCCACUUGCCACUUAAGUGAAAGAAUAAAAAAGAGAAAUAUAUAAAUAAAAAUAAAGAGAUACAAGGACUAUGCAGACAUUAAACAUAUUCCAGGUACAACCUAGCUGAAAAUAAAUCAUGAAAAUAUAAACCAGAUAGAUCAACCUUAAUCAAUCCUAACAAAACAAUCACUCAUUACGAACGCAACUCAGUGAACUCGCGUACGGGCACAAAAUCAGGUUACAAAAAAAAAAAUGACGAGUAAGCGUCUGUAGGAUCAAACAAGGUUCAUAAUUGGCGAAUGGAUUGGCCGCCAACAUGGUAUCAAGAUUCAUGUACCAACAACCAUUGAACAAAGCAAUAGCAUAAAAACUCUUUUGAGCAUAACAGUCCGAUCACAAUCACAAAGACUAAGAUGGAUAAGAAGUUAGUACUAGAGAGUAGCCCGCCCGUCUUCAGUCUUGCAGAUCUUAACAAAAGUGGAAUAUCAGAGAAUCAAGCAAGCACAGAAACACCAAAUCAACCGAUUUCAAAGACGUGUUUGAACUCAGAUUGAGGGAUGAGUUCAAUACGUUAGUAACCAAACAACCCUUUUGAGUUAAGACAACCAGACCCUUUCGGGUUUGAGAAUCCGACCCACCACAUAAAAGGCCAUAUCUAUUGCCACCAUCCACUCUCAUAACAGAAACACACGGCAAACACACAAAACAAAAAUGAACGACAACCUAGACCAAAACAAACAACAACACAGAGCAAAAAUAAAAAAAACGGUGAAACCCGAGCCUAAACAUAUUCGGAAGGCAAGAUCAAGAUCUACCGUGAAGCUAGCAAACCAACCCUUGUAGCACCUGAACAUAGCAAGAAGAACCACCAAAGCAAACCAACCCCAAACCCACUUAAGUGAAAGAAAAUAAAAUAGAAACGUAUUUUCGGGCCUCGAUUUGUUCCAGUUUUAUUGAGGAUUCUUUUACUAUAAAUAUAGACAUUGUAUCAGUGUAAACCUUGAGAUAGAGGGGGCUGAAAUAGGUUUAGAAAGACAACAACAAAACUAGGGUUUGUAUAGAGUUUGUCUCUUUGGAACAAACACUGGGAUUUGAGGGUUGAUUCACUUUGGGAAACACCAUUAGGAUUGAGUCUAUUGGUUACGGGAAGAGAUUGGGACUUUGGAUAGAAUUAGGCGGGAGACGUAUUCUUAUAACUCAGUGAAACGGAAGGCUGCUCUCUCCCUAGACUAGGUCAAUUUGGACUGAACUGGAUCUUGGACCGAACUAGGUCAACAAAUUCUCCUGUGUUCUCUCUUCUUUUCUCUGUCGCUGUUUUCUACUUUUGGCUUGUGUUUAUAAUUGUUCCAUACACUUUGUUUUGGUUGUUUGAUUGUCCUUGCUCCACACAUCAAGUUUGUUAUUGGUGUGAUUUUUGUUCGAAUUCACAACACCCACCAUCACGACACCGAACCUCGAGUCUCCAAAACACUUAAACCACUUCCAAACGACAACUAACAGAUCGAAGACGGAAGAAACAUGCUGGAGCGCCAGAAUGAGGAGAAGGGAAUAGAGGAACAAAGAAGGAAAUAGAGGGACAGAGAAGGAAACCCGUCGCACCAAAACUGUGAUGUGGAGGUUUUGAGCUAUUAUCAUUAGAUCGUGUGUUGUGAGUCGCCACACACUUCACAUUUACUCUUCGUCUGCUAGUAAUUUGUCGAAUUGAGGUCUUGAUAUAACACGUGUUGUAAUUUUAAAUAUCCAUGUUCCCACUGUUUGGGUUUGUUGGAGGAACUUGUCGUUGCCCGAACAUAGUCAUUUCUUGUUAGCCUUAUAGUGUGUUUGGACGAGGUAAUUGGAAAAUUUUAAAGAAUUUAGAAUUCUAGGCAAUUUAAAUGAUUCAAUUAAAUUACUUUCAUUUCUCAAUACUUUUGUUUGGAUGGAGUAAUAAGAAAAAUUAUUGUCAUCAAUUUUGGGCAACUUUUAUAAGUUUUAAUUUUUUGGGCCAAAUUUAAAAAUUGAAAUUAAGGGUCAAUUUGUAAAUUUCAAAAAUUUUGAGAGGUCAAGUUAUAAUUUUGAAAAAAUUGAGGGGUCAAUUUGAAAUUUUUUGAAAAUUUAUUGGGGACCAAAAUGCAAAAUUUGAACAAAUAUAACAAUGAAGAAUUUUGAAAUUCUUAACUUUUAGGUGUCUAUUGAAAUUCUCUAAAUUUAACUUGAACAAGUACUUCAUAAAUUUCCAUCAUUUUAAAAAAAAAAAAUUAAAUUGUUUUCCAAACAAUAAAAUUCACCUCAAAGUAUUUGAAUUCCCUCAUUCAAACACACUCUUAGAGUCUGUUUGUUUUGGCUUUUCAACAACAAGAAGCACUUCUACAAACCUCAAAAAGUGGAAAUUGAGUUUUCAAUGUUGUUUGGUUUGGCUUUUUAGAAUUGCUUCUAUCCUCCAACAGCAAUUAUCCUUAAAGCUAAAAUUCCUAACUUUUGGCUUUCCUAUAAUCAAUUCUACAUUAAAUUUUAUAUUUUGAUUAUUACAACCUAUUAUUUUCUUUUAUUGCCCUUUAUCAGUUCUCCUUCUUUUUGCUUUGUAAUUAAUUUGAUGAACCAAAUUUAAUCAGAAGACUUAACGAACCAAAUUAGCCCCCGAAAAAUAUUUAUGGUCAUGAGUUGCCAAAUUUUUGAAUUUUCCUUUACGGUAUCUCCAUUCAGAUUUACUGUAUUUUUUCUUUUAACUUUCUUUUACGCUAUAAGACUGUUAAUUAUUUAAGGUUUUUUUCUUUUGGGGUAGCCAAUGCUACCCAUAGCCCUUCCUCUUUGUCUACAACUUAUACAAAAAUGUGAAUGUAGGGGUUGAUUUAAUAGAGGAACAUAUGAAGUAAGGAUGUGAGUUUUUUCUUUUUUAACGAAUGGUAGAACGAUGGCAGAUUGAAAAACAAAAGGGUUGGGGUGUUGAAAAUUAAAUAACAAUAUUAAUUUAAUUAAACAAAAAGUUAAAUAAAUUUAAUCCAAAUAAAAAGUUAAAUAAAUUUUAAUGGGAGGUUUUUAAUAAUGUAAUAAUGUUACAUUAUAAUGUAACAAUAUUAAUUUAACUGAAAACACUCUUAGGUUUGCUUCCAAUUUUUUCUGUUUCCAGCAAAAGGUCAAACAAGUAUUUUCUACAAGAGAUAAAAAUUCCUUUCUUUGAGUGAACUACCUUAAUUCCAAUAAACACUUGAGUUUGAGUUGUUCACGGUUCUUCAUUUCAAUAAUGAUAACUUAUCUUUGAGUUCCUUGUCUUUCAAAUAAAUCAUCUCCUGUAACAAUAAUAGCAUUAUAGUUUUCCUCAAUUCAUUACAGUUAAAUAGUGUUCAAGUUAAGAAUAGAAGUUUCUUUUUACUAAUUCCUAAACUUCAUUACAAUUAUGUUUCUCUUGAUAUCGGUUGAGCAUAUCAAAUAUCAAAUAUCUCCACAGCCUAUUAUCAUCUCUAUUGUACUUACAGAACUUUGUUAUUCUUAUUUUAUGCAUGUGUUUAUUUCCCAUUCAUUUAUUGCAGGAAUUGAGUGGGAAUGUCGAACAUUUUUGUGCUUUGGAAAGUCUCGAGGUAGAUCACUCCAAUGUAGAAAGUAUCUUUCGUGUCGAUGAAAUAAAUGAACGGCAAAUGAACUUAGCUUUGGAAGACAUUGAUUUGGAUGUUCUGCCUAUGAUGACAUGCCUUUUUGUGGGUCCCAACAAUUCGUUCUCCCUCCAAAACCUUACAAGAAUAAAAAUCAAGGGAUGUGAAAAGUUGAAAAUUGUUUUCACCACUUCUGUAAUAAGGUGUCUACCACAGUUGUAUUAUAUGAGAAUUGAAGAGUGCAAUGAGUUGAAGCAUAUCAUUGAAGAUGAUUUGGAGAAUAAAAAUUCCUCAAAUUUUAUGUCUACAACAAAGACAUUCUUCCCAAAGCUAGAAAAAGUUGUUGUAGAAAAGUGCAACAAGUUGAAAUAUGUGUUUCCAAUCUCCAUAUGUAAAGAGCUUCCUGAGCUAAAUGUUCUGAUGAUAAGAGAAGCAGAUGAGCUGGAGGAAAUAUUUGUAAGUGAAGGUGAUGAUCACAAAGUGGAGAUUCCAAAUCUAGAAUGUGUAGUAUUUGAAAAUCUACCAAGCCUCAGUCAUGCCCAGAGAAUUCAAUUUCAAGCUGUAAAAAAUCGUUUCAUACGGAAUUGUCAAAAACUCUCUCUGGAAUCAACAAAAAUACAUGACUUGUCUGCUUCAUAUUUUCGCAUCGGUACACACUCUAUCCAAUAUUUUUAAAAACUAUUACAUGUUUGCUGUAAAUUAUUACAUACGAUUUGUUUAAAGGAGCGGUAAGAGGUAUGCAUGCAUAAGUAUUUCUAAAAUGUAGUGACCUAUCUAAUAGAAGCUUUAAUUUUAUGUAAAAUUUAAUUAUUAGGUAGAUAGAUAAACAAUUUUGUGCAUCUUGAAACUUGAAAAUGGUGAUAUACAAUUGAAAGUGGAAGUUUUUAUUUUAUUAUUAUGCUUGAGUUACUAUAUAAUGAUGUUAAUCUCUAUAUUAUUUUGCUGUAGAUCCUGAAUUGUGUAGGUAUUUCAAGACUCGGUUUCGACAACAAUUUCAAAAAGAGACCAAAGGCAACAAUAGUGGUAAUGAAAAUCCAGAAACCUCUAAAAAAAUUGCUGUUGGGGUUGAAGUUAAAGCAUCAUCAGAACAUGAGCUGACUUCUCCAAAGGUCAAUACCGAUCUAUUGAUUCAAGCUUACCGCACCAGAAUUUAAUCAACUUGACAAUGUAUUUGAUUCAAACAUGCUAUUUUUUGUGCAGAAAAAAACAAAACAAACACCAGAGACAGAGCAUGAACUUGUGGAAAAUGUUCCUGAUUUAGAAAUACCAACAAAUUCAAAAGUGAUUUCCAGGCCAUGUCAAACUGCGUUAGAAUUUUAAUGGAUGUAAUUAAUAGCUGAAGAUCAUUAUUGCUUCUGUUCUUGUUACAGGAGUUGAUGAAUGAACAAUCAAUGGAGCAGCAACGUCUACUUGGAGAACCUGAUACUACCGUCAAACCUUCUCAGGUAAAUCAUGUAAUGUCGUACCACCGCGUUGUGCAUAUAAAGCUAAAAAUGAAAUACCGAAAGAAAUAUAUUUUAUUUCAAGUGAAUCUUACAAAUAUGUACAACUAACUAAUUUACAUUUCUAUUGUAUGCAAUUAGUUGGAGGUGUCUACCAUUUCAGAAACAAAGAAUGUAGCAGAAACGUGUUCCACCAAUUCACCAACAAAGAAUGAGUCACCUAUACAAGUAGUUACUCCUUGCUAGUAUUCUUUUUGACACUUUGUCUAUGCAGGAAUUGACUUAUACUACAAUCUUAAACAUCUUUUUAAUUUUAAGCAGGUUAGCGAAAUAAGUGUUCAAGAAGGAACUACUUCAUCUAAUGCCAAGAGAAGAACGACAUCAUCACAGGUGAGUUUAUUUUAUUUAACAAAGCCUUCAUAUUAACUUGGUCUUUUUAUUACAAUUCAAUGACCAUGGAAUUGGAUUUGUAAGAAUCAAGCCUUAAACUAAUUUCGAUAUAUUGAGAAGAAAAAAAUCGGAAUCUACAGCUUUUGAAUUUUGAAAAAGUUGGAUUUAUGGAUGAUGAUUUGUCCAUUCUCUCCUUCCGAAUCUUUCGUCCUUUUCGGUUUGACAACAGAUAUUAAGAAAGUACAAAAUUAGACAGGUUUAGUCCAUUUUAUUCGUAAUUCAUUCAAUGCAUGCUUUCGGUUUUUUGUAAGUGUGCAAAAGAAAAAACAUCUUUCAUUAUAUUUGGUUUCCUAAAAGAACCAAAAUUUUGGGACAAAAAUAAAAACUAAAAGAACCAAAGAUCAAGAACGGACGGAGUAAUAUGUAUUGAGGCUAAUCCAAAAAAACAUAUUAAGACUUCAUGAUGAUAUCAUUUGUAUGUUUGAAUUUUUGUAGGAAUAUAGUGACGGCGAAAUGGCCAUAUCUUCUCCUCCAAUUUCCAUGACAAGGCAUUUUUCCACUCAAGACAUUCAUGUUAAUAACUUGCAGGAAACUAGUAACACUGAUGAUGAUCAAGGUGAAGACUCUUUGGAUCAAUUUUAUUUUCUUAAGUUAUCUCAUCACCCUUUUCAUUUUGAAGUUUAAAUCUCUUCUCUCACACCUUUUGUUCAGUUUCUCUAAAUGAUGAUGCUGUUAUAAAAGUAACCUCAAUUGUUGAGGAACCAUUUUCUAAGGAUGUUGAAUUUAAAGUUCCAGAAUCUAAGCUAUCCCUUAUCAUUACUUCGCCUCAACAAUUUCGGACUCCUUCAAUGCUUUCCAAAGGUAUAUAUUUUCUCCCUUCGUUUUAUUUUUAAGAACAUUAUUUGGUACUCAGAGAGGACUAAUUAUCCUUUUUCUAUACUUUCAGGGGACCCUUCUCAACCAGAUGAAGAAUUAGUAAGUUCAUCAUCAGGUCCAUUUUUUCAUUAAUAAUUGCCAUUCGAUAGGUUUCCUAUGAAACAAGAUUUAAACUAAUUUUUAUAUAAAAAAUAAAAAAUAAAAAAAAUUCAGUCUAUUGCUUCCGAAUCUUAUAUCCAAAGUUAAGGAGAAUCGUUGCUCAAUAUUUGUAGAGGCUUAACACUGAAAUUCUUGUUUUCUAUUUUUAAUUUUAUCUGUAGUGGAAUCAGACUCUUGCAAAAUAUAAUAUAUGGUGUAAAAUAGUGAGGUUGAUCCAUUAUAAGAUAUGAUAUAUCAUUUAGUGAUUUAAAUCUGUGUAGGAAGAUCUUGAUGACCAAAUGGACAUGACUUCUUUUUCCAUUGCUACUACAGAGACCAAUGAUGAAGGUGAAAAUGCUUUGAAUCUAUUUUUAUAUUCUUAUGUUACUUCGAUAUUCAUCGCCCUUUUGAUUUUGAACUUUAUCCUCUCUCACAAUUUGUUUAGUUUCUCGGAAUGAUGAUGCUUUCAAGAAAGUAAGCUCAAAUAUUGAGGAACAAUUUCCUAAGAUUGAUGAUAUAAUAGUAGUUUCCAAAUCUAAACCCUCUCCUUGGAUCACGUCUUCUGUUGCAUCUCAGAAACCUCCGGUGCCUUCUAAAGGUAUUUUAUUGCUUGCAUUUUAUUUUUAACUAACUUUGGUGUGCUCAAAUAGGCUUAAAUAUUCUUUCCUAUACUUUCAGGGGACCCUUCUCAAAAAGUAGAAGAUUUCAGUUCUUCUUUGCUUGUCAAGCAUUUUGAUUAUGAAAACUUGUCUUUGUUGACUGAUUUCUUUGUUAAGCAUCCUUCGGUUCUUUUAAACGACACUUCAUUGAGUAACAGAUACAAGGGUUAUGCCUACAACUGCCUAGCUGAGCUAUUGAAAUUCCUCCAAACUCAUAGUGUGUUGGAUGUGUUAGGUUCAAGCCACUCUGAAUUUGUUGAGUUAUUACAAGAUGUGCGCAAAUUUGGUUUUGAUAAGGAAUGGUUGGAUGAUAUUGAAAAACGCGCUUUGUUGCCUGGUUUACAAGUCUCUCAAGAUGCAUUGCAAAAAUUGUUGGACUCAAAACACAUUUUGACACAACAUGUGGAGGAUCUUAAGCAUCAAUUGGCUUCCUGUGAAGCUGUUUUGCAGAACAUCACUCAACAGGAGGCACAAAUUUUACAUACUCGGGCUGCUUUAAGUGAUCCUAUUGGCUAUUAGACUAUUUUAUUCCUUGCAUUCGCUCAAGUUGUUCCCUGCUUUGAAUAUUAUGUAUUGCUUGAGUAGUUUUCGGUUUCUCAUCUCAAAUGAUUGAAACAAUCUUACUGAAUUUGUGUAUUUUGAAAAUUAUUAUUGAUUGUUGUAUGAUCAUCGUAUGUUAUACAUGUUGGUCAUGAAGUAUUGAUAUAUUACUUAUUUCAAAUAAGAAAACAUGUUGAACAAAUAUUGUUAUAUGGAACACAUUUCAAAUGUAUCCUAAGAUUCAAUAAACAAAUCUUGACUAAGAGAAAAGUCGAGAUACACGACAAUAUGCAGAGAUGAUGAACGAAUUUAGUUUUUUGUAGAUUUAAUAGCAAGGUUGUUAAUUAUAGUCGGCACCUACAGCGGCAGCUGCAAUAUAAAGGAUUUUGAAGUCUCCUCAAUGGUAUUACCACCCAAUAUGGAUGUAUUAGUGGUAUUUUUCUGCAUUUUAUCGCAAGAAGAAACAUCGCAGCGUAAUAUGUUAGUGUGUAGCCUCUAAAGAUCGGAUAGACUGUUCAGAUUUUUCAUCUCAAAACUUUUGAAAGGGCUAAGAAUAAAGUUGUGUGUUGUAUGUGAUUAGGUUGGAGCUAUUCUUGGAAAAGGGGAAAAGAAAACAUUGUAUAAAGCAAUUGAUGCACUUGGUACACAUCUCCUAAGUACCCUCAAGCACCAAAUAUCAAUCCAUCAUGCAAUUGUAUCUACAUGAACAUGAUCAUCCAGUAAUUCAUAGGGACCUCAAGUGUGAUAACAUACUUGUCAAUGGACAUCUUGGACAAACAAAAAUUGGUGACUUGGGUCUAACAGCGAUUCUUCGUGUUUCGCAACCAACGCACAGUGUUAUAAGUACUUAUUUUUUUCUAGACAAAUGUUAGCAGCAGCGAGAAUUUGUUUGUAUUAGGAAUUGAAGACUUGAUCUUCUUCAUAAUACUCCUUUUGUGUGCACCAGCUCGUACCACUGGACUUCUUCUACUGUGGGAGAAUCACCAGAACUGUAUGAUGAAGAAUACAAUGAACUUGUUGAUGUGUACUCAUUUGGCAUGUGUGCUUUGGAAAUUAUUACAUAUUAUUGUCCUUAUAGUGAGUGUGCUAACACGGCGUAGAUAUACAAGAAAAUUCAGAUAUUUUGUAAAGUCGGGAUUCAUACAUAAACAAUUUUGGUUCUAAUCUGUUUCCACUUUGUAAAAAUUAACCAAGUUGACUUUGAAAUUUCACAAGAAUCUCUGAAUCUCUCUCUUUGAGGUUUCACAAUUUUACUGUUUUGAGCCGCCAGGAAUCAAUCAAUUGGUUGGUAGGUUAGAUUCCAAAUUCAUAUGAAAAGCAAAGUGUUAAGAAGCAUAAACCAGUUAUUAUAGUAUUAGUGGGGCUGCCAUUAUUGUUCUUAUCAACCACAAGCAGCCACCUCUUUGUGGGCUAGUAGCUUCUUGGCCCCCACACUUGUAUUUUCCUCCACCAUUUUAAAUGUGGUGAGAACCAAUCAAUAUUUACUCUGUUCAUAGUUACCAUCAAAUUAAUAUUUCAAAAACAAUUUACAAUUUACUCAUUUAGAUUAUAAAAUUGUUUGAAUCUAGUUAUAAGACAUGUUAAUUUAUAGAACGUAUAUUUACUGAAAUUCUUUUUGUCACGUAUCUAAAAAGAAUUUACUUCACAUGUUGUGGAUAUGCUUAUUUACUUUAUAAUUAAAAUUUUAAAAUACGUUGUAUCAUGAGUAAUUUCAAAGAGUAACGUGUGUAUCAUAAACUCUUGCUCAAUAGUUGAGAUAUUUUUAGUUAUGUGCAAGAGUGAAUUUUCUAUAACAUAGAAUAUCACAUCUAAAAUCUAAAAUAAACAAAGCACGCAACAUCUAAAACAUGUGGCAAUUCUUGGUUGGAACAUAAUAAUAUCCAAAUCCUCAUAUGUCCCUAUAGAAUCUUAGAAUCCCACUAGAUGAAUCUUAAAUUCUGGCAUCUUCUUAACAAAAAGGCAAAUUUUGAUUUUGAGAUCUUUGCUCUUGCCAAACAAAGCAUAAUGAUGCAUGCAUAAUUAGAAUUAGAAUAAACAAACGAAAUGUGGAACAUUAGACAACAAAUUUUUUAAUUAAUAAUAAUAAAUAAUACUUACCAAAACUAGACAUGAAACUACAUAACACAUUAGAUAUUAGAUAUAUAUUAGAUAUAGUCCUCUUUAAUAAUUUCAACACCCCUCCAUCACUCUCUAAUUUUCAUGUACCUAUUAUAUUAUAUGUCCCCCUAUUUUUUGACAUAAUAUAAAACAACAAAAUAAUUAAUUACAAAAUAACUUAGGACAAAAAUAUCUUCAUAGUGUUGGAGAAAGAUAAUCUUAUCUUACUUACUCUAGUGCUCUACACUCUUGGUCACAAGGGUAAUUUAGGAAUUCCAUCAAGUACAAACAGAACACGACAAAAACCUCAAUAUUAACGACAAAGACCAAUAUACCCUUAGGGUUUAACUUGGCCAUGUCAAGAACUCGUCCAAGUCAAACUCACCAAACUCUUCUUUUUCUUUCUCGAACGGAACAAAGUUAACAUCCGUUAAAUUUAACGGCGCGUCAAUAUCAAAGCCAAACGCAUCCACAGCUCCGUAACGUAAACCGUCAAACGGCGUUUCGCCGUCGCAGAAAGGUAGAACGGAUGUCGGAGAAGCAAAACCGUCGCCGGAGAAAAUCUCAGGCGAACCUUUAACGCUUUUCUUGUCGGAGGCAUCGUUUGGAAAGUUGACGGCGGCGACUUUUGGACCAUAGAUCUUCGCAGCGGCGGCGUCGUAAACAGCGGCGGCUUCCUUCUCUGUGUUGAAAGUUCCGAGCCAGAGACGUUUUCUUUGAAACGGGUCACGGAUCUCUGAUAUCCACCGACCCGAAGGUCUUUUGCGAACACCACGGAAUAUGCUCCGGCGGUUAGAACCGCCGGAGUUUUUUGUGGGUCGUUUUCUGGGUUUAUUUAAAUGGGUCGGGUUAAUGGAGCAAGAUGAAGAAGAAGGUGAAGUUGCUUGAGAAUCAGUGAGAGAAGGAAAUUGCAUGGUGAUGUUAGUGAUUUCCUUCUUCACUCUUCGUGGGGUUUCAUCGUCGCCGGAGGAUUCUGAAUCGGUUGCGUUGUGGUCGGUGAAAAUGACCCGGAGAAGCUUUUUGUUGUUGGGUUUGGUUUUUGUGGUGGUUUUGCAUGAUGGGUCGGGUUCAAAAUUCGAGCUUGAAGGGUUUUGAAGCUUUAAGGUUGAUUGUACGGUCAUCGGAGAAAACUAAGAAGAAAAACAACGAUGUUUUUGUUUUUGUUUUUGGUUAGUUUAAGGAAAGUGAAGAAAGAGAGUGAGGAAAUUAAAAGGGUGGAUUAGAGAGAGUGAGAGCGGGAGAGAGAGAUUUUGGCGGGAAAAUAAGAGAGAGAGGAGGUGAAGAUAAGGAGAGAGUGAAGAGAGAGAGAGAGGGAAAUAAAAAGAAGAAAAAAGAGAUAGAAUUGAAGGGUAUUUAAGAAGUGUCCUAAUUGGAGGAAGAAAGAAAUAUUUAUCUCGUGAUAGGGUCAGAGUUUUGGUGAAGAUAUUGAAGGUAGGGUUAAGGAGAGUAGAGAGAAAAUGUAGUGUGAGUGAGUGAGUGAGUGAGUAGUGGAACUUGGAAGGGAGGGUCAUGACUAAUGACUCACCUUAUGGAUGUGUCAUGUGAGUGUGUAUGUCAUUGUCGGUAAGUAGAAAUAAAAAAUCUAGACAGCUUGCACCUACCCCUCAUGACACGUUGCUCUUCUAAUUCAAAAUAUUUCAUUUAUGUUCUUACAAAUUUUGGUGUAAAUUAGAUGAAUGUAUUCAAAACUCGAGCUUUUUUAUGUCAUUGUUAAACUUCCACGUAUGAUCUUAAAUAAAUGUGUACCAUAGUCCUCAAAUCACAGUCAUCAAAUUGAAAAUUUUGAUCUUAGUUAGGGAGCACAAAUUAGAAGGAAGAUUAGAACAAACAACAAUCGUUGUUCCUAUAGACAGAAAUUGCGCGAUUGACGUGACUUUUUUUUAUAGUUUAGUUUAUUUAUUUGGUCGAAUUAUUAUUGUAGUUUCUAACUUUUUUAAUUAGUUUUUCUUUGAAAGAAAAAAGCUUUUUAUUUAGUCAAAAUUUAUACUCUAACUAAAUCGGUCGAAUAAGUAAAUGACUCGUGGCCAUACCGUUGGGCAUGUACUACAAUUGUUUUUUAGAGUUUGUCUAUUAGGACACAGCUAAAUUAAUUAGUACCUAAAAUUAACUGAAUCAAACUCGAAAUAUCAUCAUUAAUGCAACAAAGGACAGAAGAGGGUGAAGUUUUUAAUUUCACUAUUUUGUAUCAAAUUAAUAAGGAGUACUAUAAUGUUCUUUCUGUGUGACACAGAAAUUGCAAACAUUAAUUAUAGAGACGAAAUUUGAGACUACACGUCACGUGGUUUUUUUAACCUUAAUGUGUUUUGGGUACAAAGUACAUACGGUAGAAAUUUUAGUUGUGAUUUUUAUUGUACUCAAUUUAGGUGUUUGUAAUCGAAGCAAAUAUCAUUUUUUAAUUUAGUUGUGUAUCUUAUUAUUGACCCCGAAAUGUCUUCCUAUAUUAAUUCAAACAUGUUUGAAUCACUACUCACUAUAGUGCUCAAAUGAUAUGAGCUUACCAAGGAACUUUACAUUUGGGGGUAGGGUAAUGUUAAUUGUUAUAAACUUAAAGAUGAUAAUGAACUUGAUGAGAGUUAUUUAUUUCUUUAUGAUAAUCAUAUAUUAAAUGUGGAGAGGAUUGACUCAAUGGUAAAGUAAGAUAUGAUUUUAGUCUCAAGUUGGUUCGAAAAUGCUCAAAAUAUAUAUUCCCUAUCUGAUAAAUAAGUUAUAAAUAUUUUAUUCAUUUGAUCGAGAUGAUGAUUUAAUAUUUAUCAUGAUCAAGGUUCGAACCUCAUUAUACUCGAUAGAACUUAAUAUUCUAUAUGACAAAUUAUAAAUAUUUUGUUCAGUUGGUCAAGACAAUUAUCUCGUAUUUGAUAUGAUCAAGUUGAAACCUUUUUGCUCCGUGAACUUAAUUUUUUUCUAUAGUUUUUAUUUUUAAAGACCUCUAGGCCUUGUAUUAGAACGAGGCAAAAAGCAAUAUGGCUAAGGAUGAAUUGAACAAAGGAAAUUAUAUGUUAAAUAACACCCUCUUGAAGGGGAAAUUGCUUAAAAAGUUGUAGUUGGGUUAGGUUAUGGCUUGAGAAUGAAGCAAAGGCAAAUAAAGAUGCUGGCAAGUCAAACACGUGUUAUGAUAUAGCUACAUUGGGAGAGAAAAGAAGUUGCAAAUAAUAAUUGUUGUAAAAAAACAAACAAAAGAAUUUGAAAAUGAGUGACUCUCCUUCCUUGCUUGGUAACCAAGGGACACAUUUUUGGUAAAUUUGUCAUAGGGGCUGGUCUAUUCUCAUGAGGAUAUUAAUUAUUGACUUCAAUUCUAUCUACUACUCCUAGUAGUACUUAUUAGUUGUUACGGGACUUAAAUUUACUUUAUCUUUUUCUUGUUCCCUAAGAUUUUUUCAAUUAAUUAUAGGACUUCAAUUAAAAUGUACAGCAAUUUCUCGUUCGAAAUAAAACACUUCAUCUGUCUCGUGAUAAUUAUCAUGUUUGUUGAGAAAUUUUUCAGCAGGGUUAUGUUAACUUAUGCGUUAAGAAAUCUAAAAAUAGCAACUUUGUAUUAAAAAAUAUAAUAUUUUAAUGGUCAAAUGUAUCUAAAGGUCCUUUAAGUUUUUCAUUUUUCUCAAAAUAGUCCUUUAAGUUUUAAAAGUCUCAAAGUGAUCCUUUUAAUUUUUGAAUCGUUUCAGAAUCAUACUUUCCGUCAUUUAAGGAGCAAUUUAGAAGGCUUUAUAAUUAUGGUCAUGAGUUGGUUAGAUCAAAUCCUCAUAGCAGAGUGCAGAUCAAAGUUCAACCAUCUGAACAAAGUGAAGAAGGUAAUGGAGAAGAGUUCAUUCAUAGACCAUUGUUGCCUAGCUUUCAGAGGGAAGGAAUGAUUCUGAAACGAUUCAAAAACUAAAAGAACCACUUUGGCAAAAACAAAAAACUUAAAGACCUUUAGAUGCAUUUGACCUAUUUUAAUUUUGAAGAAGUUGAAUGCACGACUUUUGAUACAUACAUUUCCAUAAUUAGUUGCUUAAUUUUGUCAAAAAAAUAUAAUUAGUUGUCUAAUGCCCUUGAGAGCAUAAGUUAGCAUUUGCCAAAAAAACAUGUGUGUCAGUUAAAAGUGGUUAGUAUAAAAGUUAAAACUUUAUCCCCUUGAGCUUAACUCAGUUGGUAGGGAUAUUGCAUUUUAUAUGCAGGGGUCGGGGUACGAACCCCGGACACUCCACUUGUAACACCCCGUUUUUCCAACUUAAAAAUUUCAUAAAUAUUUAUCAGAGUAAACAACAUUUAACGGAAUGCUACACUUCUAAAAUAUAAUAAAUGGGAUAAUUAACUAAUCAUCCUUCUAAAAAUCAUCAACAUAAUAUUUCAAACUUUGCAGCGGAUUAAAUUCAUUAACAUAGAUAAGUAUUUGGCACGAAGGCCUCUUCAUAAAUGUCUCAUAAAAAUCCAUUCUAAAACAUAGUCAUAAAUCUUCAAAAACAAUACGUAAGGAAUAGAAAAGCAAUAACAAAGUUUCCAUCCCGUUACGUAUCAGAGCACCUAAGACACACGAGCCACCACUCCUACUAAUCUUUAAUACCUGCAAGUUACUCAUACGAAGAGCAACAUUUUCAAGCAGAAGGGGUGAGAUUUCACAAAACAAUAAUAUUAAACAUAUAAUUCAACAAUUAUAUUUAAUCAACAUAAAAUCAUCUUAACAUUCAUUAUAGAUAAUAAUAUAUCAUUUAACACUUCAAUCAUGGUUUGUAUAAACAAUUACAACUUCACAAAUUAUCAACAUAAACGUCCUUGACUCGACAAAUGCGACUCUAACUCAACUAUGCAACUUAGACCUCUUAUAUGCAUGUGGUACCAAUACGGAGCAUCAAGCCUCAAUCGCUAUUUGAGUAUUAAUAUACUCCAGAGCAUCAAGCCCCUAUCGCUAUUUGAGUAUUAAUAUACUCCAGAGCAUCAAACCCCCAACAAAGAAUGCUAAUGCAUGGACUCGACUUCUUAAACAUCUUAAAUCGACAACUCUUGUAUAAUCCAAUAAUUUGGAACCUCAUCAUCUUAAUCAACUUAGACCGACUCAUGCAGCUUAGUUAAAUAACAAACAGCAACAUAGACAGCACAUAAACAUCUCAAGAUAUAACAAUGUCAAAUAAUAAUCAAUCAUCAACUUAAACAUUUUAUAUAAUUCACAUAAUGCAUAUACAAAUAUAUCACAUUACUAACAACAUCAAAUCAUGAACAAAAACACGUAACAUCAUAAAAUAAUUUUCAAUAUAACUAUCAUGCCUGUAAACAUUAAUUUUAAUAUAUUCUUUCGGCCAAAAUAGCAGCAAAUAUUCGGUGCUCAUACAUAUGCAUAUAAUCCUUUAGAAGUAUACUCAGUUUAUAACCUAUUUGAAAUUAGCCACGACACGUAAAUAAUUACUAGUGUAGCAACUCUAUCCAAAACAAAUACUAGUGUAGCAACAAUUCAUAAAUAAAACACUAAAUAAAUAAAUGCAUGAUUAAUGUAUUAGCAUCAUUAGCCUGUUAAGCAAUAUAUUUCUUUCUACAGGUAUUAGCAUCAGACUACGUUAGUUAAAAUUAAUGUUUUGUGAAACUAGAAAUCACAACACAAAUAACCAAUUAGAGAUCAGAAAAGCACCGCUUUCGGUGAACUUUUGAAUCGUAUUCAAAAUUAUUAGAUAGCCGAAAUUAAUUUAUCAAAACUAGGAUUCAAUAAUAUUCCUAUGCAGCAUCUCUCCCGAAUUUCAAAUAUAAUUUCUCAAAUCCUCAAAUCUAACACAACUACAAGGUUAAACCAUUUUUCAUCAAUUAAUCUCAAAUUUCUCACCUUAACCCUAAUUCUCAAAUUCUCUAAAACCAAUCCUACACUUGUUAAAUUUAAUCAUCAGAAUUACAGACUUAAUAGAAUUGAAUGCUAGUCUCACCCUUACUUUUCUUAAUUCUACUUAAGCCCACUAAACUUCUUUAAUUUCUAAUUCAGCCCCCCAAAUCUACUUAUUCAAUUAUUUAAUCAUAUUUUAAUAAAUAAUAAAAUAAAACCACUUAAUAAAAUAUCAAAAUACCACAUAAUCAAAUAAAUAAUAUAAAUCACACAAAUCAUAUAAAUAUAUUCUAAACUCAUUAAAAUAAUCAAAUAAUUAAAGAGGGCGUUACACCACUUCCUCACAAUUAAAUUGUGUGAGUUCUAACCACUAAACUACUUGUAAAAAAAAAAAAAUUAAAACUUCUUAAUGAUUUAGUGGUCACACACUUAAACAGGCGGUGUAUAAACUGAAAUUUUUACUAAUUGUAUUUAUCUAAUUAAUAAUAUGUGCAUCAUUCGUAAGUUGUUAUUUUUCAAAUUACUUUUAUGAUACAGAUAGUUAAUCAAUGGUUAAUUUGGUAUUGUUGUUAAUUCUUUUUUUCAUUUAUAAUAAUUUCUUUUUAAUUUGUUUGAAAAUAUGGAGUAUUGUUUUAACAUAGUAAAAUAUUUUAAAGCAUGUAUUUUUCAACAUAAUACUGAUUUUUCUGUUUGAUUUUAAAAACUCUAGCGGCAUAACGGCAAAGAGAAGAGAUUACAAUAGGCUCACACAAAAAUCUAAUUGUUAAUGUAUCAAGUCUGAGUUAAAAGGCACACAUCAAAUAAAAAAUUAGAUAUUGAAAAAUAUAUAAGUUGGAAAAAAUCAUGUACCCUAUAUAAAUUUUAGUUGAGAUAUAAAUAUAUAAUGUUCAACUCACUUAUAAAGUUGUUCAAAUGACGAUACAAUGAUCUUUCAAGUUCCUCUUAUGACCUAGCAUGUACCUAUCCCAGUCUUAUAUGCAAGAACAACGAAACUUUUCAACCAAAAAUACAUUUUCACCGAAAUUUAACAACAAAUCCUUUGUUUUGACCAACCUCCACCAUUCAAAAUGUCAAUGUUAUGCUACAUAGACCGUCCAAAUUUGAAUAGAAGCACAAAAACUUCAAUUUGAAUGGUUUAAAAUAAAAACGACCUUUAUAUUAAAAACCGUCAAACAUGGUUGUUGUGUGGCUUAAAUUCAAGACUAAAGUAACAUAGUAACAUGUUUUAUUUUGAAUAUUUUUUAUUCGUUUUAUUUGUAACCAGUUUUUUUUUAAUAUAUUUAUCUAUGGUGUGUUGGUUUCCAACACCAACGCGUAUUGAACACCAACACCUAUUUGUAACCAGUUUUUUUUCAUUUGCAGAGUCAUAACCUUUGAUAUUUCUUUUUUUUAAAGAGAGUCAUAACCCCUUAUCACUUGAUACGCAAAUUAUUAUUCUUCAAAAAAAAAGAUACGCAAAUUAUUUACCACGUCAGCCAAUUCAUUAUUGAUUUUUAAAUAUUUUUUUUUUUUUGGUAGAUAGACGAAAUUGCAAAGCCAUUAUAAACUCACACACACAAGUGGAGGUACCGGGGUUCGAACCCCGGUCAUGACAUCCGGCCUAACAAUUUCGGCAUUUUGCCAGUUAAUAGACGAAAUAUAUUUUUUUAUUUCUAUGAUAAAGAGGACAUCUUUUGUGCAUUGUGAUUUUUUGUUUGUUUGUAUUCCAAUUAAAAGUAGCAACUGUUAGCCGGUGCUUUCCAGCAGGCUGCCAUGUUCGGUUGCAAGUUGCAACAUAGUCAGUCAACUCAAUUCUUGAACGGUGUCAAAACGAUGUUUCCUUUCUCUGCACUAAAUGAUUUUUUGGAAUAAAAAACACUAGAUUUUUUUUCACGCCUUCUCCCCUAAGGACAGAAAAUCACAAUGGCACGUAAGAAAUGUUAAGCACAUUCCCAACACUCAACUCCAUCCUCAAUAAUAAAGUCUUAAUCAUUUAAGAUUUGGUAUUUAAUAGAUACUUUCAUUAAAAAGAAAUUUUUAUAUAUUUUUUUAAGAAAUUUGUGUGAGAUGCUGGGUUGGAGAAACUUAUUGUUUAUUAGAUGUUACUAUUAAAAAAUUAUGAAUGAGUGAUGUGUACACGUGAAACCAAAUUCCAAAAAAUUAAAGUAAUUAAAGUACUAUUAAAAAAUUCUUCAUCGUGGAUGCUCUAUUGUUUAACUCACUUCGAAAAUAGCUUCUAUAUACAAUGGUAAGACUCGUAUAUUGUUUAUCUCUUGGGUUUCAAGUUUCAACCAAUUAAAGUAAUAAAUAGUGUUAGUAAGAGAGUGAUCCUACACUCUUCCUCCACAUCCAUUACCCUUUCAUUGUUUUGUAUUUUGUGAAGCACGCACAAGAAACGCCCAAUGUGACUCAAAAGAGUGAGUUUUCACUUUCGUGAAAGGACCAUAAUUGGUCCACAAAUAUCAUCAUUAAACCAGUGGCUACACAGUCUUUGUGGUCCACAACACAACAUUAUCCAAAACUUUUAAUUCUUUCAUUGUUAUCCGAAGCACGGUCCAUGCAAUAAAAUGGCUCCUUAUAAAUUUGUAUACUGGUAUACAAAUCAACCAAAAACAAGACUAGGACAUAGAAGCUUAAGUUAUAGACAACAGAGUGGGGAGAACUGAUGAUUGUACCAGUUGAAGCCGGUACCAGUCAUCGCGUGGAGCAACUAGAGAAAAGUGGUUUGAGGUAGAUUUUUAGGUUGGUAAGCAGCAAAAAUGGUGUUGUGCAUGUCAACCAGUAGAUAACAUAUAAAUAAACAAUUCAAUCUCAGGAACGACGAAACAUCCACAGGCAAUAAUCACCAUGUUCGUAACUACAAUUUUCAUUUAUCAUCGCUGCUUGGGAAUAGAAUGUCAACAAGCAGAAAAUUUGCACCAGAUGUCUUAAGAAUUUUCACAAAAUGAUAAUCAAUUCCCAUUGCCAUGGUUGAGUUCCAUGUAGACAAUAAAUAACAAAGCAAUCAUUCAAAAUAUCUUUUGUUUUACAUAAAACAUAAAUGCACGGUUGCAUUUAACAGCUGAGGAGGAAUUGGUCAACCCAUGGCAUACUUCUGUGUCCAGCUGCGUGCGGUGGCUUCAUACUUGGUCCUGUCAGUCUUGUACAUAUGUGCAAUUUCAGGCACAAGAGGGUCAUCGGGAUUUGGAUCCGUCAACAAUGAGCAGAUUGACAAAAGCACCUAAAAUAGUGAAUGUUAGGUUUAUUUUUUGCAAGAUUUAGAACAACAUGACACAUAAGAACAACAACAUUACAAAUACAGGUCACUAAACACGGAAAAAGACAAUACAUACAGUUCUUAAAUUAAAUUCCUAUCAAUCAUAUGAUCAACUUAUCAAAGUGACACAAACUAUAUCUCAAGUCAACGGAGAAUAGAUAUCUAUAUUCAGCUACUUUUAGAUUCAAAAUAUUAACUAAUCUGAAUUUUACUCUUGUGAACUAAUAUUCCAAAAAGAUACAGUUCUUCGGUGCUUUUAAAAGCUGGAGUGUAAACAAAUCAUGAAUUAUUUUCUUGUGCUAGAUUUUCAAAUCUAUGAAUGCUACUGAGAGUACUGAGCUUUCCCAAAAAAAUGACACCAACACAAGUAACACAUCAAACAUGUUAAACACGCCAAGAGACAAGUGUAAUCUGUAUCAAUAGAACUACUAAGAGUGCAAAAUACAUGCAUAGACAAAUUUGACAUGUGAAAAUAAAUUCAACAUGCUCCAUUUUCCAAACAAUUAACAA
rnacentral:lncRNA from 1 species